UUUUUUUUUUUUGGGGGGUUCAUGAGCAAAAAUAUUGCUUCUUUGUCUGCUCUUUUUCAUUAAUCUUCAAGUAAAUGGGUUCCAUGAUAGAUCUCCACGGCAAAUAACCAAACUGGUUUUCUAAGCCACCGUUUGGAUACAAUUUAUAAAUUGGUUUAAAAUUUAAGUCAAAAACAUUUAAUUUCAACUACACAUUCAUAACCACCGCUCGUUAUUAUCCACACAUUUUGUGGGACUCACGACUAUUUCUCUUUAUAAGCCAUUUAUAUAUGGAGGCUAAUAAAUUUGAUUACUUUAUGUUCAAUGAUCCUCCCUUAUAAUUUAACAAACAUGAGUUAUGUUCUAAAUAACUCUAUAUUAUAUACGAUCUUAUGCGUCUCCUUCAUUGCAAUAAAGAGGCAUUCUAAUGUUCUUCCUACUUAUACAAAUUAAAAAGAUGCAAAUAGAAAUCAACCUAAUAUGUUGUUUUUCAUUUAUCAGUAAGAUAGAAUUGACAAACAUUUGCGUCAUGGAAUUUUUUUUUGAACUGCAACAGCCACUCUCCAAUUCCUUUUAUUGAUGACAAAACGUGCUGUUUAACUCACUAACAGAAAUCAAAUAGUUUACUAGUAAUUCAAUAAGAACUACCUUGCUCUUUAAGAACUGCAUAUUUGCUCAUCAGACAAUCAAUUUCUGCCACAUUUUCUAAUUUAAAUCCACAAUAUAUAAUCGAAUUCAAAACCCGGAACAUUUUUGAAGUCAACAACCGACAGAGAAAAGUAAAACCAGAAAAGGGUAAAAGAAUUACCCGCAAUUGUAACAGGAGAGUUAUCAUCCUUAGAUUGUACAUGGUCAUUUGCUUUAGAAAGUAAAGUUUGUUGAAUUCUCUGGCAAAGCAAACACGCCAUCUGCACUGCCUUCACAGCAACUUCCAAUUCUUUAAAAUACUUAUCCGACACAAAGGAUUCAACAGCUGAAUUAUUAUGAUCUUCCAUAGUUGCGCAAACAAUGGUUUGGGUUUUGCUAAACCGGUAGUUAGUUAAAAUUGAGAGCAAUUUUCUAUCAAACAAUGAAGAGAAACUUGGUGUAUUUGGGGAAAUGUAGAUAUUUCUUCUCCUAGUUCGGAUUUGGAUAUGCAGAAGAGGAAUUUUAGCUGAAAAACUUGAGAGAGACAUUGGGCAUUUUAAAGAAAAUUCAGUCAUACAGCACGCGACAAAUACAGGGGAAUUUCUAUUCUUCGAUUUUCUUGAUGUUGUGCGCCGACUCAAGCUGCUUGUGAUGUGAAGAUUGGGUUUGAUAAAGUAAUGGAUUCGGGGUCCAAUUAUUGGAAAUCUUUCUGUAAUUAUGUUAAACGUCGAGUUAAUUUCAGCGAUUUUGUCAUAAAUUUCAAAAUGACCAUUGAAGAAAUUUUCUUUCUUCCAUUCGUAACAGCUCAAGUUUGUGAUGGUUGCUCAGAUUGAAAACAUCCUACAAGUCAUACGCAUUAAAUUUCAUUGUGGAUAGAUAACACGAUAAGAGGAGUCAAGAUUUGCUGUCACAUUUUGGUGUAUAUUCAAUUAAUUCUUGACAUGUUAUCAAUAAUUAAUUUGUUGUAUCAGGUCUAUCCUCGUUAUCUUCACCAUUAAGUUACGAAAUUAAUGAUGUAUCAAAAAUUAAUUGGAUGAACAACAAAAUUGGACAACGGAUCUUGGCUAUGUUAAGAGGACGGUAAGGGUUGUAGAUUAAGGAUGAAAUUAAGGAUCAGGUCUUUUCAGUCUUUUUAUUGCGAAAAGUCAAACGUUGGCCCACAAAUUUUCAAAUUUAACAUGAUUAGGUGUGAGGUAGCGUGUUAACUAACGUUGCAUUGUGUUUACGAUGCAACUUUGGUAACGUUUAAGAUUUUAGGUUGACGCUUCCAUUUUAGUGAUUGUUAGUGUCAUCAUUACAAGCUCGAGUGACUACUAAUAUAAUCAUUUUGAGUUAUAAAUAUUACUAAUUAUUGCUAUUAUAUAUUUUAGUAUUCUUCACUGAAAUUAACUUAUAAAUUUUCUUUACAUUUUCUCUAUUACAAGAGAUGCGAAUUUAAAAUAGUAACAUCGCGAAAACGAGAAACUAGUAUGAAGAAGAGAAAUUUAAACUACUAUUUAAAAUUAUUUUUGAAAUAAGUAAAUAAAAUUAAGGAACAUAAAUUUGAGUUAUGAUCUAGACGUCCAUUUCAUUUUUAAACUCGAAAUUUCAAACUUCUAAGAAAGUUGUUUCACCCUUUCAAGCAAUUUUCACGUUCAAGAAAGUCAUUAUAUAUUAUUCUUGAUGUUCUCAAUGCUAGCUACUAACAUAUCAACUAAAAAUAAUUGAAAUGUAACUUGAAAAUGUUGUAUAACAAAUAACGGAAGCACUAGAUUUUAAUACAGCCGUGCUACAGUAUUCGCAGGAAUGACCGUGGGGUUGACACACCACACACACAUGGAGGUCAGGAUUAUUUUAUUCAUGGGACCCACGCCAGGCAUGUGAGUGUGCGGUCAACCUCGCGGGUCGUUUGCCAUUUUCCAUUUUAAUAAAAGCUGAUGGAAUAUUAGGUUGGAAAAUUGUUGGUCCAAUAAAAUGUUUAAUUAUAAUUAAAAGUUGACUUUGAUUUUAAUUUUAAUUCAAACUUUUAAGUUGAACCAAACACGGCUUAAUAUAUGAAUAUUACAUUACAAAUUUAUCCAAUCGAAUAAGAAAAGUUUUUGUUCACUUCAAAAUACGAAUGAUUGUAAAUGGAUUGCCAGAGCAUAUUCCUUUCACUUAUUAGUCAAGUUAGCCAAACACAUCCCUGCAACUAUGCAAAUGCAACCCAACACAGCACACACUUGACUGGAGGCUAACUUGGAUAAGGAUUUAGUCCUUGUUUGGUAAAAAUUUAAAUUUAAUUUUAAUCAUAUAUUUUAUGGGAUUCAUAACUUUUUAUUACGCAUUUCAUCAAUUUUUAUUAAAGUCAAUUAAAUAUUUUAUUUUAAUCCCUAUCAAACGACGGCUUAACAUCAACCUCCCAUUGAUUAGGCUGACUGUAAUUUCUUUGUCUCAAAUCGAGUUCGUCCAUUCGAUUUUAAUUUAGCCCAUGUUUGGCCCCCAUUUACUGAAAAUGAAAAUCGGUGAAAUAGUUUUUUUUUUUUAAAUGAAUGGUUGAAAAAGAAGAAAAAAUUUUCGAUUUAAGUGUAACAUUAUUUUAUAAAAGAUUGUAUGAUUGAGAAUAGAAAAAAGAAAAAUGGAAUGAAAUUUAAUGGGGUUGAACGGGGGCUUAACGUAUCAAGUAAGUUUGAGUUAAUAUUUUGAAGAAGCACUUUUAGGCUAAAAUGUUAAGGUUAUGUUGAUUUUGAAUUAAUUUUCUGUAAGUUUGUAUGAUGUAGUCCUUAUGUCAGCAUUCGGUCACCAGCCACAACUGAAAAGAAGAGAUUAAUCUUCCUUUGAUUUUAGUCAUGUCUAAUCAAGAUAAUUUAAACAUAAUUAUAUGACAUAUCGUUAGGUCAACAAAGGCGGCUCUCGAUCCAAGUUUAAAAUUUGAAUCACGUUAUUUGCCCGUGAUUUGUGUUUUUGUUAUCGUUAGAAAAAAAAGUUAAUUCUAUUUAUAAAAAAAGAAGUCAAAAAUAAUGGUCGAAAUAAUGAAAUAAUGAUUAAAAUUUGAUUUUUUUUUUUUAAAAAAAAUCACAAUCAAACACUGAUAUUUUACAACAACAAUGCUACAUGGACAAGCUCAAAAAUAGGGUAAAAAUGUAUCGAAACACAAUUAGACACUUUGAAACAAUAAAAAAAGCAGCUAACCACUUUAUUGUUUUUAACUAUUCGCUUGUUUGGCCCAUUAUAAUGAAAUUUUGAAAAUAAUCUAUUUUGAAAUAAUAAUUUUUGAAAGAAUGUGUGAUUAAAAAAAAGAGAAAUUUUUUUUUUAUUUAUAAAUAAUAUUAUUUUAUUGAAAAAUGUGUGAUUGAAAAGAAGAAAAAAAUGUAUUAAAAUUUUAAUGGUGACCAAUAAGUGCUAUAUUUACUGAAAUAAUGGAUAAAAUUGAUUAAACAAAGAAAAGAAAAAUAUAAAUAAAGAAUAAAGAAAAAGAAAAGGAAACGUACAAUAAAAAAUGCAGUCAAUCGAUACACGCCCCAUGAGUGGCGCUAUAGGAUUGGUCAGCCUGGUAAAGUGGAGCGAUAAUUGGGUCCAUUAAGCAUGUUGGCCAAAAUCAACUAUUCAUUUAUGGGAACAUGGUACCCGUCACAUCAUGAGAAACCCUAACAGUCCAAGAAUUUUGGAAAAAUCAGGUUUCUGUGUCCAUUGUUGUGAAAAGAGAAAAAAAAGAUAAGAAUAUAAAGAAGUUAAUAGAUUUGUGUGUAUUUUAUUAAGAAUCAAAACUCUAUAUUUAUAAGUAAGAAUUAUGGAUACAGUGGUCAUAAUUUCUAGAGUUGUAGGGGUAAAAUUGUCAUUCACUAACAAACCUAGUAAACUUACAUUUACAACAAAAUAUUUGUCUCGUUAAAACAUUGAUUGACAAAAACUCAAUGGAACAAAAAAUCAAACGAAGAAAAAGGAGUACACUUAUUUUGGAGUGUUAAAAAUAAAUUGUCUCAUUAAACCUUACUGGGAAAAUUCAGUGGGAUAAAAUCUAAGCGAAGGAAAAAGAGUAAAGCUACUCCCGUGAUGUCGACACUGAAAAUAUUUAAGUCGAUGCAUUUCAAUUUUGUGAACCAAUUUUUUGAAUGUAGAUGUUGGUAUUGCUUUUAUGAAUAAAUUGGCCACAAUAUCACUUGAAGGAAUUUGUUGGACGCUAAUAUUGUCAUUCUUUUGAAGCUCGGGUGUAUGAAAGAAUUUUAGAGAAAUAUGUUUUAUCUUGUCACCUUUGAUAUAGCCUCUUUUGAUUGUGCAGUACAAGUCGCAUUGUCUUCAUAAAAAAUUGUUAGACUAUCUUUUGUUGAAAUUAGCUCGCAUGAUGCUUGAAUAUGAUGGGUCAUAUUUCUCAACCAUACACAUUCUCUGCCUGCUUCAUGGAUUGUAAUAAUUUCAGAAUAAUUUGAGGAUGUUGUUGUCAUUGAUUGCUUCGCAAAUCUCCAUGAUAUAGCUGUUCCUCCACGUGUAAACACAUAUUUUGUUUGUGAUUUAACUUUAUGUUGAUCGGAUAGAUAACCUGCAUCUGCAUAUCCCACUAAGGUAAAUCCCGACUUCUAAUAAUAAAAUAAUCACGAAUCAAUAGUACCUUGUAGGUAAUGAAAAAUAUGUUGAACAUCAUUCCAAUGUCUAUGAGUUGGUGUCGAGCUAUAUUAUGCAAGGAAUUUAUAGAAAAAGCUAUGUCUGGUCGAAUGCAGUUUGCAAGAUAAGUUAAUACUCCAAUUGCACUAAAAUAUGGUACUUCAGGGCCGAGAACAUUUUCUCCAUCUUCAAGUGGACGAAAUGGAUCAUUUUCACAUUGAAUAAUCGAAUGACCAUAGGUGAUGCCAGUGGAUGUGCAUUAUCCAUAUAAACGUGUUUUAAAACUUUUUCUAUAUAUGUAAAUUGAUAAAUAAAUAAUCUUUGUGGGAAAUGUUCAAUCUAUGAUCCGAGACAAAAUUUGGCUUUUCAAAUUUUUCAUCUCAAAUUCAUUUUUCAAAUAAUCAAUAGUUUUGUUAAACUCUAGGAAUUCCAAUUAAAUUUAAAAUAUUAACAUUAGCUGCUACAAUUGCAAAUCCAAUAUAUGUUUUCUUUAUGAAAACAUAUAGGCUGAUAUCGUCAUUUUUAUAACUCUCAUUCAACAAAUAUUCCUUAAGGCGAUUAUAUCACAUGCGUCCGGAUUGUUUUAAUUCAUAUAAUGAUCUUUGCAAUUUAAUUGAAAACAUGGUUCUCAGGCAUGUAUCAUUUGUUCCUGACACCUUAAGUCCUUUAGGGACUUCUAUAUAUAUGUCACUGUCAAGUGAAUCAUACAAAUAUGCAGUUAUUAUAUCUAUAAGGCAUAUAUUAAGCUUUUGGGACACUGUCAAAGUUAUUAAGAAUCUAAAAGUGAUGGUUUUAAUUACUGGAGAAUAUGUUUUCUAAUAAUCAAUUUUUGGUCUUUGUGAGAAAUCUAGAGCUACUAGUCAGGCUUUGUACCUUGUAAUUUCAUUAUUUUUGUUUCUCUUUUGUAUAAAAACCCAUUUGUAUCCCACAAGGAUUACUUUUUCAGGUGUUUGAACUACAUGUCCAAAUACUUUUCGUUUCUAUAAGAAAUUCAAUUUUGCCUGUAUGACUUUUUUUUUUUUGGUCAAUCAUUUCUAUUUUGACAGUCUUUAAUUAAUUAUAGUUUAUGAUCCUCAUUUUUUAGAAUAUCAAGAGUCACAUUAAAGAAGAAAAUAGUAUCUAUAACAACAUUAUUUCGUUCCCAUAAUUUAUGAGAUAACAUAUAAUUUAUUGAAAUUUCAUUAUUUUUUGGACAUUUGUGGUUCUUGAGGAACCAUAUCUUCAAUAUUUAAUUGAUCAAUCUUUUCUAAUGUUACAUCUUCUGAAGUUUUUGGUCGAUUUUUUCAGGUACUUUUCUUUUUCAAGGUACGGGUCUUUUGAACCAACUGAUCGACCACGGUUCUAGAAUAUUUGGAAUUCAUUUGUCACAGUAGAUUGUCGUUCAGUGACAUUAAUUUUUCCUGGAAUAUUUUCUGCUGGUACAUAUGACUUUGCCACUUUUCUCGUGUCAACAAAUACAUUAAAUAGUUGAUUUGAAACUUUUUGCAAAUAAAUGAUUUUUUCAACCUCUUGCUCACAUUGAUUGCUGCGGGAUCAGAGUGAGAUAUAGUUGUUUCAUUCUAAAAAAUUUUAACUUAUUUUUCAGGAUGUAAUUUUUUCCCUCCCAAAAUUAGAAAAAUCGUUGCAUCAAAAUGAAAAUCUACAAAACGUGCAGUAAAUAAAUCACUCGUUAAAGGUUCAAGAUACCUAAUAAUAGAUGGUGAAUCAAAACCUACAUAAAUCUCAAAUCUUUGUUAAGGGCCAAUUUUAGUAUGUUGUGGGGGGGGGGGGGUAAAACAAGGAUUUGGACAGCACAGCCAAAAAUUCGUAGGUGAGAAAUAUCAUGUUCAUGACCAAAUGCCAGUUCCAAAGGUAAAUAUUGAUAAUAGGUCUUAUACAAACCAAUGAUGAAAUAUGUAAUGUGGCAUGACCCCAAAUAGAAGCUGAGAGUUUUGUUUUAAUAAGUAAUUGUCUAGCAAUAAGUUAUAAACUUUUAAUAAACGACUCAGUUAAACUAUUUUAUGUAUGGAUAUGCACAAUUGAAUGUUCAAUUACAAUCUCAAUUGACAAAUAAUAAUCAUCGAAUACCUGUGAUCUAAAUUUACCAGCAUUGUCAAGACGAAUAGUGUUAAUUAAGUAAUUGAAAAAUUGCACUCGUAAUUUUAUGAUUUGUACAUGUAGUCUAGCAAAAGAUACAGCCCUAUUGAAAAGUAAGCAAAUAUGUGACCAUCUAGUAGAAAAAUCAAUUAAUACCAUAAAAUAACGAAAUGGUCCACAUGGUGGGUGUACUAAACUACAUAUAUUUUCAUGAAUUUUUUCCAAAAAAAGUUAAAAAUUCAACAUUGACAUUUUUAGUUGAAUGUCUAACGACUAACUUGCCUUGCGAACAAGCUACACACGGAUAAUAAUUAGAUAAACGAAUCUUCUGAUUAUUUAAAGGAUGUCCAUGUGAGUUGUUUAUUAUUCGACACAUCAUUAUAGCUCCUGCAUGUCCAAGUCGAUCAUGCCAAAGUAAAAAAAAAAAAAUUGGAUCAGCAUACUUUUGGUUCGUGACAGUAUUUGAUUCAACCAUUUUUAUAAAUAUAUAGUACAUAGCAAAUGAGAGUGCAUGAAAAUUUUCUUUUAUUUGCUUCUUUCCAGAUACAAGAGAAGUUAUUCAAAAAUAUUCAAUGUUAUUUUCUGGUAUCGUCUCAAUAUGAUAUCCAUUGUAGUAGAUAUCUUUAAAACUAAGCAAUUUUUUUUUUUUUUGGAUUUGCUAGAAUAUAGUGUAUUGUCAAUAUAUAAUUUUGUCUUAUUUGGUAAAAUAAUACAAUCUCUUCCGGAACCUUCAACGAUAUUCGAUACACCGAUAUCGUAUUAACAUUAUUUUAUGGUGUAUAUCGUAUUAACAUUAUUUUCUUCUAAUGUUAAAUCUAUAAAAUAUUUUUUUCUUGAAAAAUAGUAUGUGUAGUUACACUAUCAUUCAAGUAGAUGCCUUGACAAUCCAUCAUGAAUCUAUAACAAAAUAAAUAUAUUUUUAUAAAAAAAAAACUUGAAUUUAAAUUCAAAAUGGUAAACAUAAUUUAAUACUAUGAAAUUAACGAUGCAUAAUAAAGUUCAUAAUAUUUUUGCGAAUAGUAAAAACAUAUUUUAAACUAAAUUUCUAAAAUAAAGGGAACUAGAGACAUAGAAAAUAAACUAAUCUAUAUUUUUCAUCACAUCAUACCAAUCAAAUGGUCAAUAUUUCCAUUUGGAUCAGUAAAAAAAUCAAAGAUAUUCAAAUGAAUCACAUCAAUCGAACCAUUAUAAUCAGCAAAAUUUGUCUCACUUUUCCUUUUCCUUGAUUGAUUUUUGUUAAAGAUCCAUAAGGUAUUUUGUCAUACGACGAGUACAUGUCCAAUUCCCUUUUAUUCCACAUCUAAAGCAAUUUUCUUCGUAUACAUUUUUGGAUGUCCUACUUUAAAUUACUUUGUGCCUUUUGAAAUUGUUGCCUUAUUGUUGACUAUUUCGUCCAUGAUUUAUUCCAUGUGCACGUCCACGUCCGCGUCCACGUCCAAAUUCGUGUCCGAUCCACGUCCACCUUUUUGUCUUGAUAUUGUAUUUGCUUUAGGCAAUGUAAUGUCAAUUGCUUUUAGGCAAUGGUACAGAACCAAAUGGACAUAACCCAUGAUUUUUCACAAGCAGUUCAUCACUUUGUUCAGCAACAAACUGGCAAGAUAUAGUCUUCGUUUGGCCCGCAUUAAAUUUCAUUUCAUUUCAUUUUUCUCUCUUCUAUUUUCAAUCAUACAAUCUUUCAUAAAAUAAUAUUAUACGUAAAUCGAAAAUUUUUCCUUCCUUUUCAAUCACUCAUUUUUCAAAAAUAUCAUUCCACCCAUUUUCAUUUCAAAAAAAUGGAGGCCAAACAAGGGCAUAAGUUAUGAAUACUUUUUGAAACCACGCUUACAAUAUUGUUGCUGCAAGAGCUCAUUCAAGGCGUAAAAGGUGAAAAAGGUUUAUUCCAACAUAUUUUCAUCAGUGAUUUUUUCUUCACACAAGGUCAAUUUCGAACAUAUUUUGAAUAGUUUAGAAUUGUACUCACUAACAGUUUUGAAGUCUUGUAAACAAAAGUGCAUUCACUCAUAGCGGGUUUUGGGGAGGAUUAUAGACCUUUGAUGAUAAAAAUUUUCAAUUAGUUUUUUUCAAAGAAUUUGUGGAUUUGUCUUAGUAAAAUAUUCAAUUUUCAAUCCAUCGUGAAGAUGAUGAUGAAUGAAGAUAAGUGUUUUUGCACGAUCCUCCAGGGACUCCUUAUUUCCUUUUUUUAUUGACUCUUCCAAACCUUUUGAAAAAAGAUGGAUGUCAGCAUCGAGUAUCUAUGACAAAUGAUUUUUGCCAGCUAUGUCAAGUGCAGCAAACUCGAGUUUUGUGAUAUUUGCCAUUUGAUUAACUAGGCAAUAAAGUAAAAGAAAAUACAAUUAGUUUUGAAGAAAAAGAAAAAAAAAGUUAAUAUCAACAUGACAUAAGUUACGUAUUUUCUUUCAAAGAUAAACACUAAAAUAACAUGUUCUUCGAAACAUGUGUUACUUCGGAAGCACAUUGUAUUUUACUAUUACUUCUUCAAGAGCAAUAUGUCAUUAUUAUUUUAGAAUAUUGAAAAUUAUAAUUUAUACUUUUCAAGAACAACAACAAACUAUUUAUAAUUGAUAUAUCUAAGGUUAAUAUUUUUCUGGACUAUUAAUUAUAAAGUUGUGCUACUUCAGGAGCAACAACACGAUUUAUUAUCAAUUUAAAGUUUAUAGAAGAAUAUCUAAAAAUAUUUGAUUACCAUAUAGAUAUGAUAUGAAUUUAUAUAGAAAAAUUAAUUACCAAACAUAGGAAAAAGAAUCUCCAUACAUGGAAGUUAACAAAAUUGUCUAAUUUUUUUUAUUGGCUAAAUCAUUUACUAAUAUGCAAAAGUUACUAAACAUGCACAUGAAUUCCACAUAUACAAAAAUCAAAGGUAAAACUAAUAUGUGGCAGAUUCAAAGGACAAAAUUAAUACGUGAAUAAUAUGUGACAAAAUUGAUUGUGUAUGAACCAAAAGACGUGAAUUAAUGUGUACAAAUUACACAAACAAUCAUGAAUUAAAAUUAAUAUGUAUACCAACAAAAAAAACAGGAGAAUAAGCAACCCGGUUAUGAUAUAUAUGUACAUUGAAAGAAUUCACAUACCACCAAAUUAAUUUUGGUAAAUGUGAUAAAUAUUUAUACUUCUAAAAAAAAUUAAUACAUUUAUUAAAUUUUGAAAAAUUAAGUUAUCAUGCUGAUAAUGUGUUGUGAAAAGAAAACAAAAGAGCGGAAAAUAGAGAGAAGUCAAUAGACUUAUGUGUAUUUUAUUAAGAAUCAAAGUCCUAUAUUUAUAUAUAAGAAUCAAGGAUACAAUAGUAAUAAUUUCUAGAGUUGUAGGGGUAAAAUUGUGAUUCACGAACAAACCUAAUAAACUUACCAUUUACAACAUCCACAAGUAAUAUUUUCUGAAUAAAUUGUUUUUAAUUAUAUACACACCACAUUAAUGAGUAUCGGUGCUUAACUUAUGUUAAGUACUAGUGAUAUAUUACACCAAUUAAUUGGUGAAUUAUUAAAUUUAUAAGACCUAUCAUUAAUUUAUUUAUCAAUUAAUUGAUGUACCAUAUCACUGAUACUUAACAUAAGUAAAGUACCAGUGUUCAUUAAAUUAUAUAUAUGAAAAAUGCAAUUAACCUUAUUAAGGAUGAGUGAAUUACCCAAAUGAUCAUCGAAUUUUGCAAAAAGCUUUUACAGGGUCACUGAACUAUGUAAAAGGUUUCCACAGGCUCAUUGAACUUUGAAAAUCACUUCAUUCAUCACCAAACUUUGUAAAAAGUUUUCAUGAGAUCACCAAACUCAAUGUUCGAUGAUGAAUUAAGUGAUUUUUAAAGUUCAGUGAUCUCGUGGAAACCUUUUGCAAAAUUCAGUGAUAAAUUGGAUGAUUUCUAAAGUUCAGAGACCUCGUGGAAACUUUUUACAAAGUUCAGUAACUAUUUGGAUAAUUCACUCUACAAUUGAUAUCGAGUUUUCUCUCCAACCUAAAUUUCUUUUUACUUUUUGAUUAUCAUCAUUACGAUGGGGAUAGAGGAUAUGUAUUAAACUCUUUUUGAGAAAAUGACAUGGCACGGGGGUUGUUUUGCUUAAUGCCAAUGCCGUGAUUGGAGAUAUGCGUGAUAAAAGGGGUAAUACACAUAUUCGGCAGAAUGGAAGUAAGAUAAAGUGUUGACAUUGUGAUCCACAAGUAGCGGAGGCCUAUGUUCUAGGGAUGAAAAUAAGUUAGCAUCUAUUAAGGAUUGGUGUGGGCACAAGCAGAGGCUUGGGCUCAGUUUGAGUAAAAAUGGUUCGAGCUUUUUUUUUUAACUAGAGUCAAGCUGAGCUUUUGUUCCACCAAGACAUCUAGGCUCGACUCUUGCUUUCGAUACAACUCUCCAAAAUGGAUCUUGGCCUCGAGCUGCGAGCUGGGUUGGCUUGGGCAUUUUUUGGGCCAAGCCAAUGAGCCAAAUUGAUACCUCUAAAGUAGAGCUUGCUCUUUAGCUGAUUUUAAUCUUCAAUUCAAUAGUAAAAACAACCACAAGUAUGGCAUAGUUGAAGGCGAUUUUGCUAAGUGAUUGAAAUAUGGUAGUUUGGCCCAACCGGGUCUAAAUGUGUAAGAAAUUACCACUGCAGGUGGAAGUGUAAGACAAUAAAUAAAGUGUUAACCUUUUACAAAUCUUAUAUGGGUUUUUCUUGGUUUUAGAGAAAUAAAGUUGGGACAAUUUCUGUAAUCUUGUGCUUUGCCUGAUUUUUUCUCAAUACUUUUCUUCUAUAAUUAGGGUCCGUUUGAUUGUUAGAAUGAAAUUUGGGUGGAAAGAAAACGAAUUUCAGAUAAUUGAAUUGCCUCCAAAUUGUUUUAUUGGAAAUUGUCAUUUAAAUGUGUUUGAUUUGUUUAAUUUUUCACCUGAAAAUUUUUGGAUCUUUUGGUGUUAGUUUGACUUUGUUUUCCGUGAAAAUUAUUAGUUAAAGAGAUGAAAUUUAUUACAAUUGUGGAUAGAAUUUGUUUCCACUGCCAAAAAAAAAGUAGAAAUCAUUUUCUCUGGUUUUCCACCAAUUCAAGGAAAAGAAUGUCAUGUGGGAAGGAGGGGAAAAUGAAUUCCAUGGAAAAUUUAUGCCAUCAAACAUGCAAAAAGUAAGAAAAUGCAAAAAAAAUUCCAUUUUCCAAGGAAAUUUUUUCAUAUCAAAUAGGUCCUUAAUGCAAUUGCAUGGAAAAUUGACUGACAGGGACAAGAAACUUCAAAUUGCUUGCUUGAGGCAAGAAACUUCAAUGCUAUCAAAGUUGCGGAUAAAUUUUGAGGUAACCUUGUUGCGGAAGCUCUCUCAAAAGAUCUUUAAACGGUGGUUUUCCAGGCUCAGUCCAACGUACCUUUCUCUACCAACAACCAAUCCAAACGGCUCCAAACCACAACCAAUUGAUUCACCUUAGUUGCUAUACAAUCUUAUCCACGUAGGACAAGAAGGGAUGAUGAUUUAUCGCCACAAAGGCUAAGAGAAGACACCACAAAGGUAUACUAUGAAAGAACCACCAAUUGCACACGUUAUACAAGCGUUCUGGACACCUUUUUCUCACACAAAAGGGGGGCAGCCGGGAUUCACUAGUUUCUUCUCUCAAAAUCACACAAUCAUCAUAUCAAAGAGGCUAGGGUUAUAUUCAUAUAUAUACUCUAGGGUUAGGCUUUAAGUUGGGCCAUUAAAGGGGUAAACAGGCCAAGAUUCAAGCCAUCCAUAAGGAAUACAAUUGGGCCGGGUGUAGCUCAUGGACUUGGUUGUUGGACUUAUUUCAUUCAUCGGCCUAUGUCUAUGAAAUAAUAUUAACCCACGUUAACAUCAUAGCCCGGGAUUUAUUGGGUAUCAAAAACCCAACAAAUCUCCACCUUGAUGCCCAAUAAAUCUGCAAGCAAUCAAAACACACAGUUAACACUUGCAUAAUCAAGGUAGCCAAUAAAAUUGGAUCACAGAUCUUACCUCAUGUUUCCAACUUGAAACACAUACCAUACCUGCUUCAUGUACUCACUGGAGCUAAGGUCAAAAACACCCAAAUAGAAGCAAAUAUUUAACAGUAAACAAUUAAGAGCAAAUACACAUGCGAUGACGAUGUACUAUAGGAUAACACACACGGAUCUUUUCAGAAACAUGUUCAUAUAGAACUAUAGAUUAACACCAAGUCAAUCAAACCACGGUCAACCACAUAUGCAACACAUACAUAAAUGACCCUAAGAAAAGAUCUCACCACACUUAUCCUAUCCCAUUCCGUGUUGCUCACACCUCGAGAACACAUAUCUCCUCUCAUCGCCCACCAAGCUCACUAGACAGAUCACUCAACUCAUGUCUAACUAGUAAGUCACAAUAGAUCCUAAGUCCAUGGGAUAAUCCUUUAUCUCCACAUCACUUCUCCUAACCUACGUGGAUAAUGGGUCUCCACCUAACAGAAGUGAUAGAAGUGCCUCUCUCACACUCCACCUGAUCAGGGUCUCUUUCCAGAUAAAGGAUCCUAGACAUUUGAUUACAUCUCCACUCGUGAUCCAAAUGUCACACUCUACAUCCCUCGUGCAUAUCACCAAUGCACCUCUAGGCAUCUAUACUUCACCUUACCAAAAGACAUCCAACUUACUGCUAAUGCAUCUCAAACUCACUAUGGCAAAACAACAUCUUUCGGUGACCACAAAGGUAAAUCCACUCACCAAUGCUCCCAAAAAUUCACAAAGAAAAUAGUGAAGGUGGCACUCUCAAAGAGAAUCGAAGAAAGAGUCAGCUACUUCACAACACUCACAAAGGAGGCUCACAAAGAGGAAGAAUAUAACCCUAACAUGGCUGCCUCACAUAAUCUCACAAACCACACAGGCUCACAAAGAUAAAGGAGAAAAACAGCUGCCCAACUUUCUUCUCACUACCACACUCUCACACCACUCACAGAGCAAAUUGAGUAUGCCACAAAACUUAACCCACUAUGCAUGUAAACAUAUUACACAAAGUAAUAAAUCACUCUAAUUCAUGCAGUUACACAUAUCAAACAUAUUGAAAGUGUAAGAUCAACAUCGCAACAGAAUUAAGUGACCACAUACAUGCAGAAAGGAUUACACACAGAUGCAAUGCAAGAACCAGGUUUAUUCUCUCAAUAAACCUCACUAGGAUCACUACUCGACCCUAAAGUCAUAUUCGCCUUGUCUCUAUCCUCAUCUUUCAUCUUUUUCAACUAUGUCCAAAUUUCACCACAGUUAAAAUAUAUGUUAUUUUUUGCAUUUACCUUAGACCCACAUUUGCCAACAAUGCCAAAUAAUGACCACAAGUAAAUUAUGAACAUAAUUCACAUAGAAUAGUCCAGUAAACUUUCCUAAGGCCACAUGCAAUUCUAAUAAUGUAGAAAAAAUUGACAGCAAAUUCACAAAGAAUUUAAGGCAAAUAAUUAACAAAUAAUUCCUAAGUCUAGCAACAGGCAAUGGUUACCCCUUCAUGGUAACCCCAAACCUAAUGUCACCCCACACGAUGACCUCUAAUGCAAAAAAUUAAAUAUUCUACACAUUUAUUUUAACUGUAAUAAUAAAAACAAAGAACACGAUACCGAGCGAACUACGUCUGAAGGUCUGUAAAUAUCGAGAGACGCGAACUCAUCACUUUAGGACUAUCACUAUUUGUCCUAAAGUCUCAGAAAACUGCAGCAACCAAAAAAUCACGAUCGAAUCUGGAACGCUCGAAGAACAACGCUGUCCAGAUUCUACUGUGUACUCUGAAACAGAAAACUUUCAACACGAAAAAUGUUAAAAAUAAUAUGAGGAACAAACUACCUGAAGAGACCGUCUCCAAAUUCAGUCUCACGCGCCCUCACGUGUGGACUCUCUUCUCUGGGCGUGGGCCUCACGCGCCACCACACGCGCCUCCGUCUACCUACACGCGCCGCCCUGAAGGGUUCCCCUCCUCCUGCACGUCACGCCAGUAGUCUCCGUUUUCCCAAACUCCUUCUGGAUUGAUCAUAAAACGCGAAAAAUGGUGACUGAUUUUAACAGUUUUUGGACAGCUUCUCGAUCUGAUUUCUGCUGCGUUUCUGCCUAUUUUUUGGACGAUUUCUGGUAGAUUUCACGAGCCAAAACCUUCACCUUGAAGCUCUGAUACCAAUUGUUGUGGAAGCUCUCUNNNNNNNNNNNNNNNNNNNNNNNNNNNNNNNNNNNNNNNNNNNNNNNNNNNNNNNNNNNNNNNNNNNNNNNNNNNNNNNNNNNNNNNNNNNNNNNNNNNNNNNNNNNNNNNNNNNNNNNNNNNNNNNNNNNNNNNNNNNNNNNNNNNNNNNNNNNNNNNNNNNNNNNNNNNNNNNNNNNNNNNNNNNNNNNNNNNNNNNNNNNNNNNNNNNNNNNNNNNNNNNNNNNNNNNNNNNNNNNNNNNNNNNNNNNNNNNNNNNNNNNNNNNNNNNNNNNNNNNNNNNNNNNNNNNNNNNNNNNNNNNNNNNNNNNNNNNNNNNNNNNNNNNNNNNNNNNNNNNNNNNNNNNNNNNNNNNNNNNNNNNNNNNNNNNNNNNNNNNNNNNNNNNNNNNNNNNNNNNNNNNNNNNNNNNNNNNNNNNNNNNNNNNNNNNNNNNNNNNNNNNNNNNNNNNNNNNNNNNNNNNNNNNNNNNNNNNNNNNNNNNNNNNNNNNNNNNNNNNNNNNNNNNNNNNNNNNNNNNNNNNNNNNNNNNNNNNNNNNNNNNNNNNNNNNNNNNNNNNNNNNNNNNNNNNNNNNNNNNNNNNNNNNNNNNNNNNNNNNNNNNNNNNNNNNNNNNNNNNNNNNNNNNNNNNNNNNNNNNNNNNNNNNNNNNNNNNNNNNNNNNNNNNNNNNNNNNNNNNNNNNNNNNNNNNNNNNNNNNNNNNNNNNNNNNNNNNNNNNNNNNNNNNNNNNNNNNNNNNNNNNNNNNNNNNNNNNNNNNNNNNNNNNNNNNNNNNNNNNNNNNNNNNNNNNNNNNNNNNNNNNNNNNNNNNNNNNNNNNNNNNNNNNNNNNNNNNNNNNNNNNNNNNNNNNNNNNNNNNNNNNNNNNNNNNNNNNNNNNNNNNNNNNNNNNNNNNNNNNNNNNNNNNNNNNNNNNNNNNNNNNNNNNNNNNNNNNNNNNNNNNNNNNNNNNNNNNNNNNNNNNNNNNNNNNNNNNNNNNNNNNNNNNNNNNNNNNNNNNNNNNNNNNNNNNNNNNNNNNNNNNNNNNNNNNNNNNNNNNNNUACUUGGAGGUCUUGCCAAGUUCUUGAAAAUGGGGUGCUAAAUGUGUGAGAAAAUACAUUUGAAGCUGUGAGGUGUCAAAUACUUACAAGAAUUUUUUCACUUAUAAAUUUAGGUGUGUUGAGGUAACAAAGAGUGCAUUGACCCUUCAAAAUCAUGAACAAUUAAAGUUGGAACAAUUCCCUUUGUGUUUGUCAAAUUCUUCUUGUUUUCAUCAUGGAAGUGCAAUUACAUGGAGAAAUGGCGACUGAAGCUAGAAACUUUAGUAUUGUCAAAAGUUGUUUGUAAAAUCCAAGGUAACCUUGUGUCAGUGGAAAUGGUGGGAAUCGAUUGCACCUUCGAUAUUGUGGGAACUGCCUACUUGUACCAUCAGACCCAAGUGGUCUUGGCCCAACCUAAUUUUAAAAUAAGAAUAACUAAAUUUAUAGGUAAUUUAUUUUAUUAGUCACUAUUACAUUUAGAAAAAAACUAAGAUAUUGUUUAACGUAUGACUUCGUUGACAAUAAAAAUUUCAAAUCGACGACAAAAAAUGUUACAAAAUUAUAUUUCAUUAUGGGAGAAGUAAUGGUACCAUUCAAUCAAUUUCUAAGAUGGUGUAAACUUAGAAAUUUCUUCCAGAUGCGAAAUAUUACGAACAUUUUAAAUCUCAUGCUAUUUAUCAUUUAUCAUUCAAAAAACAAAAAAUACUUAAUCUAUAUCUUCUUUUGCAAUGUCUAUAAAUAUUUCAAAUGAAAAAGUUUUCUCUUAUUCAAUGGUUCUGUUGAUCUCAAAAGGGGUACCCUUGAUGUGUCAACAGAUCACAAGGUCUUUCCCAUUUAUGCGAGCUUUGUUCCUGCACACCAAGACAAUCGUUAGUCACACAUGGCCUUCUCCGAUGGGGUGGAGCUGCCUGCGUGUACUCCGACAAUCAAGUUAGUUUUGGAAAAACAAACAUAUGAGUGUGGGAAAGCAUUAAACGUGAGCCUCCAAAAUAAAAGCUUUGGGAGUAAUAUAGAAAAUAAAGAAAGCAUUGUUAUAACAUGGAAGUCUAAACUUGCAUCACCUUGGAAUGUUAUCAAUUGUGAGCUUAUAGUGUGGGAGAAAGAGUAAGGACUGUCGGAUGAAAAGACACGUGGUCUCAUCGUGCAAUUGGAGCUUCCCAUAAUGGGCAUCAAUCAAUCACGGGACAUAAAUCCUAAUACUGCUUUCUCAUCCAUAAAUCCUAGCUUGUGACAAUGGACUUGACUAAAUAGGUUGGCUGUGGCGGUGGUAGCAAAGAGUCGUCACAUCAAUCAUGUCAAUGAUUUAAUUACGAGAUUUCUUGCCAGGUCAUUUCCUCGGCUCCGCCUCUGCUCCCCGAGCUCUUGUAUGAGGGUUCAGCCAUAUGGGUUCGGCCACGUGGGUUCACAUACAUGGGUUCAGCUACGUGGGUCACAAAGGGAGGUAUAACAAUAGUCCCCAAAGUCUAGGUAUAAUUAUUCAUAUAAUAUGUGGACCUAAAAAUCAUGGGUGAAGAGAGAGAAAAAAGAAUGAGGUAUAACAAUAGUCCCCAAAAUCCAAGUACGAUUAUUCAUAUGAUGCGUGGACUUGAAAGUCAUGCGUGUAAUGAGGCUUCAAAGAAAAGAGGCAAGCCUAUGUGAAAUGAAGCGAAGUCGUUAUGAGGCUUCAAAGAGAAAAAGGCAAUGCCUCGAGGAGAGGCGAGCCUAUGCAAACUGAAGUAAAGCUGUGAUGAGGCUUCAAAAAGAAGAAGUGAUGCCUUGAAAAGAAGCGAGCCUAUGUAAAUUGAAGUGAAGCUGUGAUGAGGCUUUAAAGAGAAGAGGCGAUGCCAUCUAGAGAGGUGAGCCUAUGUGAACUGAAGUAAAGCUGUGAUGGAGCUUCAAAGAGAAAAGGUGAUGCCUCGAGGAGAGGCUAGCCUAUUUGAACUGAAGCGAAGUUGUGAUUAGGGCCUUUAAUUCAAAAUUUUGAUGGGCACCUCUUCGUUUCAAAGCUGUGGAUGUUUUUACACAUGUAAGGCUGGGAUUGACUUGGGAUUAAUCUAAGGUGGAGCCACCACAUGUCUCCAUAUAUAAAAGGGUUGGGCUUCCCAUUUGUUUCCCAUUUCAAUUUGCGAAAUUAUGGCUUAUAGACUUCAAUCCUUGUUCUUAUAAGUUCUCUACAACUUUUCGAUCACCUUCACUAAUUUUCAACGAGUAACUGCCUUUGUUAGGUUUCAGUGCACCUGAAAUUUGUGUAAGUAAGAAUCCCAUCUUUCGUUUUCAAGUUAAUUGCACCAAUGGCCUCGUCUUCGAAGAAAAAUGUCCCCGGGGGUUUCAAGAAAAUGGACAUGGAACAUAUAUAUGCUAAAGCUAGUUUGGCCCCGCCUAUUCCAACUGAAUAGAUUAUGGAGGUAAUGAGGGCCCCAAUAGUACGUAAAUGAUGCCAGAGUGUCCCAUCGAUUACAGUGUGAGGUAGGGGGCCGUAUUAUGGCCUUUCUAUGUGGAGGAGAGUGAGUUAGAUACUUUCAGGGAAAGGUAUAGGAUCCCUAAUACAAUAGAGAUGAUCGUGCUGACCCUAGAUAAGAGAGCAUGUUAUCCUAGGGAGGGUUGUGUUGCGGUGAGCGAGGCUAUCUUGAGUUGGGGAAUGAAGUUGUCUCUGCAUCCAUUCUUUAGAUACUUACUUAGGUAGCAUAACCUGGCCCCUACCCAAUUAAUAACAAAUGUAUGGAGCCAAUUGGCAGAGAGCCUUUCUUCUCUGGAAAGAGGUUAGUUUUGGCAAGGAUAUGCCUCCUCAUAUGUUUCAAACGCUUUUCCAGCCACUCAUUGGGUUUAUAUUCCUCCUUCAUAUAGGACACUCCUACUUCGAUAAAAGAAUUGAAAGUCCUCAUGGUUCUGGAUUAGGGGUCGUUGGCAGACGGUGGAAUAGAAUGCGGUCCUAGAGAUAACCGUACCGACCCAUAUCAUAAGUAUAGUGAGUCUAGUCCCUGUUGAAAAUUUCUUAUGUAUUACAGCAAUGUAUGUUUCUAAAUCACGUUUUGCACAGCUACAAUUGACCAAUUUGAGCUUGAUCCAUUUGAGUGGGCCAUCGUCAGAGCUAUAUAUGAGCUGCCUCCAGACAAGCAGUUCUUCAAAAUUGGUCUUGGAAAGAGGGCCUUAUUUGUGACUCAUUUACUAAUGGUGACCAAGGGUAAUUUAUGGCAUGGCCAUCUCUUUCAUUCGAAGCAGUUUGGUAUUUUGCUAACAUUAAUUGUUUGACCAUUCUGCUUGUAGAGCAACAUGAGAAGAAGAGAUAUGUCAAGCCUGAUAUGUUCUACAUGAGAAAAAGGAAGACUCUGAGUUCCGGAUCAACCGCUUACAAGCAUCAACGGGAUGAGCUCGCCCAUUUGUCAAAAUUGAACCCUCUGCUCUCUCCAAGGAAGAAAAGAGACAAAAAGGGUAAAGAAAAAAUUGACCCUUUUGCUAGUGGGGAAAAAAGAAGAAGUUGGUUCUUACAAAAAAUUUGGGCCCCCUCAUCUACAUAAAAGUCAAACUGCGGUUGACAAGUCCUUGAAGAAGUCUAAUCGAGUCAGAGCCAAUUUUCGAGAUAAAGAUAAUAAAGCCCGAAGAGAUGAACAAGGAGGAAGGUGGGCUUAUAAAGUAAGGAAGGAACAAGUACGUCAACCGAAGUGUCCCUUCCAAGGAUAAGGCUCAAAACUUUUUGGGUGGCAAAUUUAAUGAAAUUGCCUCGAAGGUGCUAGAGAUGCUCUUUGCCAAGGUCCAAUCGGCCACAAGAGUCUACUACAAGUAUUGCACUGAUAAAUAUUCAUCUUACACCGAGACUUGUGAGUCGAUUGAUAUGGUGGAAGUUGGCCUUGCCCUGCAAGUUUGCUUGCAAUGCUUCUUUCUGAAUGCACAAAUGGACAUGAGGAGGCUAUAAAGGGCAAAUCUAGAGUUCGAGCAAAAGGCAAUUCAACCCAAAGCAAUGAUCUACUUUCUUCGUUACCAAGUUCUACGGCAUGAGCAAGGCAUUUUUACUACGUUGAUUGACUUAUGGUGCAAAUCCAACCUUUUACAACGCUUCCGGUGACUUAUGAACAAGGAGCACUGAUCCUAAUACAAUAUUGAUCUUUUUAGGACCUCAACAUGGCCUUCAUUAUUGAGCUUUACGGCACCUCAAUAUGACCCACGCUUUAUCAAAGUGAUUUUACAAUCAAAUCAUCUCUUGAUAAAUAAUACAAGUAACGAAUGAUAGCUCAAAUAUUAGAUGAAAAAAAUUGAUGAAAAUGACAAUUAAAAAUAAGAUUCAAUUAAUCAAAGUGUUUCAAUGAGAAGACGAAGAAGAAUUAAAUACAAUGUAAAUUCAAAUAAUAUUCUUAAGAAAUAUCUCUCUUUCAAUAAAUGAUUUUAAGAAAUCAAGUAUUAAGAGAGAAAUAAGAAACUUUAAUGAAUAUAAUAUUUUACAAGUUUGAUUCAAUCAAUCAAAGUUUUUCAAUGAGCAGAUUAAGAUGAAGUAAAUAUUAUGUAAGUUCAACAAGAUCUUUUUAAGAAAUAUCUCUCUUUAAUGAAUGUGUAAUAAAUUAAGCACUAAGAGAGAAAAUAUAAAACUAUGAAUGAAUAUGAUAAUUUUAUAAAUUUGAUUCAAUCAAUUAAAUUUUCAAUAUGAAGAAGUUGAAAAGUUUAUGCAAUAUAAAUGCAAAGAUCUUCUUAAAAAAUAUCUCUCUCUUUUAAAAUUAAUAUGAAUAAGUUAAGAACAAAGAGAGAUGAAAAACUUUAAUAAAAGAAAUUGAUUCAAAAAAUUUGAUUUAACAAUCAAAUUUUUUAAUAUGAAGAAGUAGAAAGAUUUAUGCAAUGUAAGUGCAAAUACCUCCUUCAAGAAUAUAUCUUUCUUUCAAAAUUUAUAUAAAUAAGUGAAGCACCAAGAGGAAUGAAAAACUUUGAUGAAAGAAAUGAUUCAAGAAAUUUGAUUCAACAAUCAAAAUUUUUUAUUAUGAAUAAAAAAUGAAAUUAAAAAUAUAAAUUAAGCUCAAAGAAGAUUUUUUUUACAAAUAUAUCUCAUAAGAAAACUCUCUUCAUAGCUAUUGUGAUGAAUGGAAGUUCAGUGACAUUGAUAGAAUUCAAAACAGAAAGUUCCUGCCCAUCCGAAUAACCAAACUAGCCAUUGUACAAUGCUAAAAAAAAAAGUGAUAGCUGGCAAAUCAGACAUCUGCCUAGUUGACCGUUGAUAGUUGACUUUGACCAUUGACUCUUUUUUUGGGGGGAAAUUAUGAUCCAAGUUCAAGUAUGACUUUGAAAAAAAUAAUCUUACUUUUGAUUUAAAACAUUUUAUGCAAGUGAUAGUGAAAAAUAACUUUUUGUGAACAAAAUGAUUUUUGAGCUAUUGUCAUUCAUUACUAAAGAUCAAUUGUUAUACCUUUACAUAUGAUCUAGAAAAUCUAGCCUUUGAUCUUGUUUUGAAGUUUCUUCCAUGUUUGGCUCAUGAAAUUUUGAUCUUUAUCUUUCUUAUCAUUUAGCUUCAAUGCUUGAAUUCGAUCUUGACUUUUCUUGGCAUUUAUCUUUUAAACUCUCGUCUCAAAUAAUUUGACUUGAAUGCAUAAGCAACUUCCAUUUUGAUCUUCAUUUCUAGUUCGAUAUAAAUGCUGGAUUGAUUUUAACAUUGAACUAUCAUUACUCAAAAUAAAUUAUUAGAAAUAAUAUUAAUCUUGUUUGUUAAGAUUAAAGCAUUGAGGAUGAAGUCAAACAUAGGUCAACAGUUUUUCCAUCUCCACAGUUAAUGUGAUUCUUCCUAGGAACAAUUCUGUCUUCCAUAAAUCCAUACAAAGGGAGAGUCAUGGGGUGCAUCUUAUCAUAAGUUGCUCCAAAUAAAAUAUUAACAGAGCUUUCAUUGUCCAUGAGCAUGCGAUUUAAGCAAUUCCUUUCCACAACAACUCUUAGCACUAAAGCAUCACAGUGAGUAUAGUAGAUAUCAAUUGUGUCUUCCUACGUGAAUGUUAUUGGUGAAGUGGCAUUGACCCUACGGGGAGUGUUGUUGACCAAAUAGCUUGUCAUAGGGGGAAUCUUUAGCCUCCAUGGCAUAGUUCUUUUGAGUUUUUUUGGACUCCCCUUCAACAUAUGGGCCCCCAAUUAUCGUAUCAAUCUCCCUAAUAAGAUCAUUUUUCACAUGAGCGUGGGGGUUCCUUGUUUUGUCUUUGUACAUCCCUGGGCCUUCCCAUAUUCUUUUCAUUUCGUUGCCUAGGCAUUUAGUCUCUUUAUGUCCACUUCGUCUCCCCGUGCCAAAACUUUAAACCCCGCCUCCUUUGGGACACGUCCCUUUGGUUUCAAUGUGCAUUCCUUCUGUUAAUAUACUGGUCCAUUGGCUCCAAAUGAUAGGGCCUCGACAUGUAGUCAUUAGUCCUAUGGCUGUGAGUUUGGUGAUAGGUGUAAUACGACCUAUUUCUAGGCUCAUUGCCCCUUCUCUACCUUUGCUCCUUGGUUGGUUCGGUCGUGCUUGUAUGUCGGAGCCAACAUCUUCAUAAGAUAAAGAUGGCACUGUGUUCGAUGUUGCAUUAGCUAAAGCUUGGCCUGAAGUAGGGGCGAUUGUGUGUUCAGCUUGGGUCCAUUGCUGGCUUACCAAAUGUGAUAUGGGGCCUCGCUUCUGUUUUUGUAGAGGUGGAAGCCCCAAUGAAGUUCGAUUGCGAUGAUCGAUUAAUUUUUCCUUGACUAUUUCGCUUCUCAUCAUAUUCGCUAAGGCAUAAUAGGUGGUAGGAUUUUGAUUCCGUACAUCUCUCUAGAAAAAGAGUUUCCAUGUUGAAGACUCCCUUUAAUGCCGAUAGAGCCUCCCUUAUUAGUUACCUAUUCAUGGUGGGUCAUUUCGUCUGUAAACCUAGCCAAAUAGCCCUUCAAAGUUUCACCUGCUUGUUGUCUCAUGUCCUGUAACCUUUGGAUAGGCUUCUUUCUCCUUACUUGAAAGGUACUGAUUCAAGAAAGUCUUUUUUAGAUUAGGCCAGCUUCUGAUGCUGUUAGCUGGUAUGCGACUAUACCAGGUUUCAACAGCUCCUGAUAAAGUUAGGUGAAAAGCUUUGCAUUUCGACAUUGGCGAGGCUCUCUUGAGAGGCAUGUGAGUCUUGUAAUUGUUGAGGUGUUUUGCUGGGUCUCUCUUCCCUUCGUACUUAAGUAUUUUUUGGGAUACCAAGUGGCUCCGAACAUGUGCAUUCCUUCAUUCUUACGAAAAUGGAAGACUUUCAUUGUCAUCGUCUAGUUCAAAAUAUCUACAUGGACAAUCUGAUAUACCCUCUUCAGCUUGAUACCAAUGUGGUUGGGAUGUUCCAACUUGGUUUUGUAGGUUCACCAUACCCCUUAUUUCUCUCCUAUUUCUAGGUGGUCGAACUUCUCGAGGCUCCCACUCUAGGCCAUAUUCUUGCUGCCAUGGAGUGAUGUUGGGACCUAUUUCAAGGCCUUAAAGCUCCGAUUCGGUCAAAAACACUACGGACCUUUGCUGUUCCAAUCUUGUGCCUAUUCUGGGGGAAGUUUCCAGCUUCCGACGGUAGGUUAUCUCCAGAUCUAUUUGGGGCAUAACUUGAGGAUAUUCGUGCCUACUUUCCUUUUGAUAUUGCUCGGCUCCAUUGUUUGUCCCUGUAGAUAGGCCCCUGUGUUAUCAUCCUGAUGAAAAGUUUCCUAUUGAGGAGCUUGAUAUCAUGCUUUCCCAUGUAUCUGCAUAAGUAGUUGUUGCAUAAUAGCAUUUUGCUGGGUUAUGUUUCUCAUGUUUUCUGCCAUUUUCCCCACUUCCCUCAUCAGACGUGCGGUAGUGCCACCUCGUUGAUGUUGGUGGUGGGGUCUAUGGGUGGUUCGUUCGAAGGACUUCUUCUUUAGAAGCCUCCUGUUGACGACUUCUGCUUUGGGAACCAUAAUACUUGAGCUCAUAGUGUAUCGUUGAUCCUUGUGUUAUCAAUAAAUUUCAACAAAUACUUUUCUCGAUGUCUUUUUCCUGUUGUCCUUUCUUCAAGGCCCGGUUGUUGUACAAUUGUUCUCAAGAUGGCUUUCACCACUAGGAUAUUUUUGGUUGUAGUGUGUACUUUCUCACAGAUGGCGCCAUUCUGUUGACCUCAAAAAAUGCACCUUUGACGUGUAAACAGAUCCCAAGGCCUCUCACGUCCAUGUGGGCUUUGUUCCUGUGCACUAAGACAAACCAUUAGUCACACGUGGCCUUUUUCCGGUAAGGGUGGAUCCGACCCCGUGUACUCCGAUGGUCAAGUUAGUUUUGGGAAAACAAACAUAUGAGUGUGGAAGAGAUUUAAACAUGAGCCUCCAAGACAAAGAGGAUCGGCUUUGGAAUUAAGAUAGAGAAUAAAGAAAGCAAAGUUAUAGCCCUUGUUUGAGCUACAUUAUUGAAAUGAAAUUGUAUUUUUGAAUAGUGUAUUGAUAAGAAAUGCGUGGUUAAGAAAAUAAGGAAAAAUUUUGGAUUUACGUAUAAUAUUAUUUUAUUGAAGAAUAUGUGGUUGAGAUGAUGUCAAAUCACUGUUGAAGAAUGUAUUUUCUUGAAAAAAUGUAGCUCAAACAGGGCCAUAAUAUGGAAGUCUAAACUUCCAUUACCCUGGAAUGACACUAAGCUUUUAUAGUAUAGGAUAAUGAGUAAGGACCAUCGGAUGAAAAGAUACGUAGCCUCAUCUAUGCGAUUGGAACUUCCUAUAGUGGGCAUCAAUCAAUCACAGGACAUAAAUGCUAAUACCGCUUUGUCAUACAUAAAUCCUAGCUUGUGGCAGUAGAUUUGACUGAACAGGUUGGCUAUGGCGGUGAUGGCAGGGAGCCAUCACAUCAAUAAAAAAUAAUUACAAGAUUUCCUGCCAGGUCCUUUCCUCGACUUCGCUUCUACCUGUCGAGGCUCUUGCAUGAGAGUUCAGCCACAUAGGUUUGUAUACACAGCCACAUGGGUUCGCAUACAUGGGUUUGGCUGCGUAUGUUGGGUUUGGUAUAACAGGUUUCAUGGAUGCAUGUAUGUUCUUAUUAAUGUACUCUUCAAUGAGAAUGCACCUGCUCUUGAAUAUUGUAGACCAAAAAUUGAGAAUCCACUGCCUAAUUCCUUGAUUUUGAUCUCAAAUUGCUAAAGAAUUGAUGAGAAUUCAGUGUGUUGGAAUUUAACUCAUAAGGUUAUAAAUUCAGAUGUAUAUAAAAAAAAGUUACCUUAAAUUUAUUUAUUGACUAGCAAAAAUUGCAGCAUUACAUUUAUUGACUUUCUGUUUACAUGAAGAUAACAGAAACUUUUAAAUCUUUAUGAUAGUUACAGUUAAAUGCACCGUGACACUUGGGAUCCAUUUGGCAUGACAUCUGCUUUUGAUUUUGUUUUUUUGUAAAAGAAUUUUUAGGCAAAGCCACCUUCUUUUUUAUUUAAAAACUAAAUUUUAAAAGAGAUUUCUAUUCCUAAAAUGUUUUUAAAAAAAGUCAUAUUGAAUCAUCUUCCUUUAAAAGCUCUUUUAAUUAUCAGAGCACUUUUAUGAAUUUAGCCAAACAGGUUCAAAAGGUGCUUUUUGAUUUUUCAAAUGUCAUACCAAACGUGCCCUCAAUGGGUGUUUGAAUUCUAGAAUGCACUUAGAAUCUUGUUAAUGAUUCAAUGACCCUUUGAUCAUUUUGAAAGAAAUUGCAUUUAUGAAAAGGGCAAUUUGAGGAUUUUGUAAAAGAGAGAACAAUAUUUUAAGAUUUGAAAUAGAGAACGGCAUGUAGCUAGAGAUGAAGGAGAAAGCCUAAGUGUUUGUUUGAUAAAAUGUUUCUAAAAUUUCAUUAACUUUUUAAAAAGUUCAAAUUUACGCUAAAAGAAAAGAACAUAUCCAAUUCAUCUUCUCCAUUCAUAUGUGAUGGGCCAUUCACCAUUAAAAUUUGAUGGAUAAUUUACAACAUCACAUUUAUCAUUGUUCUUCUUAUUUUACCCUUAUUUACACCUCUAAUAAGCAUAAACUCGGGAUGAAGAUCUCCAGUUUAUCGACCACAUAUUCAAUCUCAUCAUCUUCUGUUCCAAAUUUUAUGAGUAAUCCAAUAUUAUAGCAGUCAUUGUUAUUCUUAAGGUGAAAUAUGGUAUUCUCUGUGUCAUUUCUUAUUUAUUUUAUUGGAAUGAUUGCAUGAAUUAUUUUCAUAGUACUUUUAAUUUUGAAUGGCUAACUUUGAAAGAGGGGAGAAGGCCGGUGAAAAAAUUGGGUAAGACUAUUAUCCUUGAUUUUUGAAAAAAGAAUUUGCAUUUUUGUUAAGCUAAUGGAGUAUUUGACUGUGGAUAGAUGGAAGGAUAUUUUCUGCAAUGAAAGGUAAAUGUGAGGGUGAAAUUGCCAAAAAUGAAAAAAUAGGAACGUUUUGCACAAAAAUAUUGAAAGGUGGGAACAUUUUGUGUUAAUUAACCUUUGUUGAGUUAAUGGAACAUUUGACAGUAAGUGGAUAGAAGUACCUUUUUCACAAUGAAAAGUGAAAAGUGAGGAUAAAAUUAUCAAAAAACGAAAGGUAAAGACGAUUUGUACAAAAUGAUAGAGAAUUCUUUCAAAUUUUUACCGCCACAAAUCGCUUAAAUCAAAACACAAAUUAAUAACUAGUGAAUAUCACCACACACUAAUUGACAUGUUUUUUAGAAUUUAGUUUGACAUUUAGGGUGUACUUAGUGUUUGCAAAACAAUCCGUCCCGCCAGAGUGGGGAAAAAAANNNNNNNNNNNNNNNNNNNNNNNNNNNNNNNNNNNNNNNNNNNNNNNNNNNNNNNNNNNNNNNNNNNNNNNNNNNNNNNNNNNNNNNNNNNNNNNNNNNNNNNNNNNNNNNNNNNNNNNNNNNNNNNNNNNNNNNNNNNNNNNNNNNNNNNNNNNNNNNNNNNNNNNNNNNNNNNNNNNNNNNNNNNNNNNNNNNNNNNNNNNNNNNNNNNNNNNNNNNNNNNNNNNNNNNNNNNNNNNNNNNNNNNNNNNNNNNNNNNNNNNNNNNNNNNNNNNNNNNNNNNNNNNNNNNNNNNNNNNNNNNNNNNNNNNNNNNNNNNNNNNNNNNNNNNNNNNNNNNNNNNNNNNNNNNNNNNNNNNNNNNNNNNNNNNNNNNNNNNNNNNNNNNNNNNNNNNNNNNNNNNNNNNNNNNNNNNNNNNNNNNNUUUUUUUUAAAUGACAGUGAUAUUCGGAAAAAUUUGUUAUUAAAAGUAAGGAAAAUUUUGUUAUUAAAAGUAAAGAAAAAUUUUGAAUUUACAUAGAAAAAUUAUUUUAUUGAGAGAAUGCAUGAUUAAAAACAAAAAAAAAAAAAUGAGAAGAAGAAAAUGAAUGUUUGAAGAACAAGAAUAAAAUAAGAGCUUAAUUUUACUUAGCCUAGUUUGCAUCUUUUUAAAAACAAAACUCUUUAAUUUUUAUACUCAUUCUUAAUUAAAUAUUUAUACAAUAAAAUAUUUUACAUUUAAAUCUAUUUUUUUAUUAUUUUUUAACUUCACAUUCUUAAAAACAAAAUCACUAUUUAAAACAUUAUUUUUUUCCACAUGCCAUUAAACAGGGGCUUAAAUCCGUUUCUAACCCCCCAAAAAGAAUUCCAUUCAAACUCAAUAGUUUAGGCUUUAGGGGGAAAAGAAAGAGCACGCAGAAUGACGUGAAAUUGCAGAAGGAAUAUCUGGGAAGAUCCCAUUCCCAGCUGGCCGGCACCAUUCGCAUAAAAAAUUCAGUCCAUUGUACGUUUUUGAUACUAGAAUGAAUCCCGCACCAUCACAAAUCUUACACCCACAAAAAUGAUUUUGUUUUAAAUUUACGAAGAGGAGAUUCGUUAACAUCUCAAAUUCUCACAAGACAAAUACACAGAAAGAAGAGAGGGAGAGGAAGCAUGGGGUUUGAAGGGAAACAGAGAAAAGAAGAAGAAGAAGAAGAAGAGGGAGUAAUGGCUACAGAUUUUUUCUGGUCAUAUACAGAUGAGCCUCAUGCCUCUCGUAGAAGGCAGAUACUCUCUCAGUAUCCUCAAAUCAAACAACUCUUUGGCCCUGACCCCUUUGCUUUCCUCAAGGUAUAUAUAGAGGAUUUUCAAAUGUGGGUUUUUCAGAUCUGUGCUAAAAUUCGUAAUGUCGUUUGAAAGAUUCACUUUUUUUUUAAUAAUGUGUUGGAUUUUUCUCUUUUGCACUAUGCAUUUACGUUCAAUUUCAAAAUCAGUAAUCACAUUCGUCUCAUUAAAUGUUGUGUUUACCAUUUAUUGAUGGCAUUAUCUGAUAUUAUACCGAAAGUGACGUAGUCAAUUCUGCAAUUAGUGUUCAUAGCUAUUGGGACAACAUACAUGGUGAAAUGGUUCGUCUUGCCCUGCUUUAAAAAUUAGAUAAAUAAAAGAAAAAAGCUACUUUACCUUUUAAAAUCGUAAAUAAGCUUCGUUAUUCCUCUUUUCCAUUUGUGAUUCAACUCUGCUGUUAGAUUAGCAAUUAAGCUUGCAUUCAUCUUAUUGAGGUGCCAUAGAAAUUCUAAUCUUUACCUUUUUAAUCUGUGUCAUGGUUCCUAUGGGCACCUGAAUCCCACAUCAUUGGAAGUGUGAGCUUCCUUUGUGUGGUUUCUAUUGGCUUGCAUUCUCCAACCUCAUUGACUAGUUUUUGUGGUCUAGCUCUCCAAAUUGAGCCUGACCAAUGGUAUCAGGCAUCAUGGUUUGUUAUGGUUCCCGUUGGUGUGUAUGGGAGAGCCAUACUCCAAAAGCUAGCCAAUGAAAUUGGAUAACCCAAACCAAUAUAAACCACACAAAGAAAACUACACUUCCGAUGUGGAAUUUAGGUGCCCAUACAGCCCAAUGGGAAGCAUGAAAAACCACCAUACUUCUGACUCGGUGUCCAUGUCGAGAAGGCCCACACAUCCUAGAAACCAAGACCAAAAGACAUGAUGUGUUAUGCUCAAUUGGGAGAGUCUGAUCCCAAAAGUUAGCCAGUGAGGUUGAAGAACUCAAGGCAAUAUAAACCACAUAAAGGAAGCUUACACUUCCAAUGUGGGAUUCAGGGGAACCAUGACAAUCUGAUUCACCUUUGUAAUGAUCCAGAUAACGAACCUCAGUACAGUAGCUAAGAAUCCAAUGAAAUUCAAUUGCAUUUUUAGACAUUGUACAAUGUGGUACCAAUGAUCAUCUAGACUCAUUAUUGACAGUCCAACAGAUGAAAUUAGGGAUUCUAUUUUUCUAUUUGAAUGAAAGAGAAAAAUCACUUUCAGUUUCAUAUGACCUUUUUCGUUAUUUUGUUUAAAUGGUUACUCGUUUUACAAUCUUUGAUAUAAUGGGACUAGGAGAUCAUUAUAUUCUGAUCUACAUUGUAAUGUUAGACUAACCUCUAAGUUAAUUCAGAAACAUAUCUUAACGAUGUCAAAUUGUGUUUGAAUUUCUAGCUGUUCAUAACUUCAUUUUACAUUCUUUUAUUUCAGAUUGCUAUGGUUGUUGUUCUUCAGCUAUGGACAGCAACCUAUCUCCAUAAUGCAGGUUGGCUGAAGAUAUUGAUAGUAGCUUAUUUUUUUGGAUCUUUCCUCAACCACAAUCUCUUCUUAGCCAUUCAUGAGCUAAGCCACAAUCUAGCCUUCUCAAAGCCAGUUUACAACCGUUGGCUCGGGAUUUUUGCUAAUCUUCCCAUCGGUGUACCCAUGUCUGUAACUUUCCAAAAGUAUCAUCUUGAGCACCAUCGUUUUCAAGGGGUGGACCGAGUUGAUAUGGAUAUCCCAACUCUCACUGAAGCCCAUCUGGUGAGGAAUAUCGUUUCUAAAUCGAUAUGGGUUAUUCUCCAACUCUUCUUUUAUGCUUUCCGACCAAUUUUUAUCAAACCAAAACCACCGGGCAUAUGGGAGUUUGUUAAUCUAAGUAUCCAGCUCGCCCUUGAUGCUGGUAUAGUACAUUUUUGGGGAUGGAAGUCAUUUGGCUAUUUGAUACUGUCCACCUUUGUUGGAGGAGGGAUGCACCCCAUGGCCGGUCACUUCAUCUCUGAACAUUACGUAUUCAAACCUGAUCAAGAAACAUAUUCUUAUUACGGUCCCUUGAAUCUUAUGACAUGGAGCGUAGGAUACCACAACGAGCACCAUGAUUUCCCUAGGAUCCCCGGCACCAAGCUUGCUAGGUCCCGUAUUAUUUAAAAGGUGGGUCCCACUGAAAUUUGGGCUCAAAGUUGACCCAUUAAACCAUUUUUUCCAACAGUACAUAAUGGACCGGACGGUUGGCUCAGAAGGUGAGGGAGAUUGCACCGGAGUUCUAUGAUAAUUUAGAUUCAUAUAAAUCUUGGAGUCAGGUCAUCUACAUGUACAUAAUGGACCGGACGGUUGGACCGUUCAGCCGGAUGAAAAGAAAUAUAUCUACCAAGAAAUCCGAAUAAUUUCGUCUUCUUUCCGGGCUGAAUAUGCGAGAUGCUCUUUAGUUUUCUUGAUUUUUCUUGAUUGUUUUGUUUUGAAACAUUAUUUACACGCUGUAGGUUAGGUUUUGUAAACGAGCCUUCGGUUUUUUGACCAUCUAAUAUAUUGUUAGCAUUUAUCUAUCUUGACCGGGUCGUUUAAACUUCUUAUCAAUGAUAAUAAGUUGGUAACAAGAUAAACAAAUCGAUGUAGGCUGAAGCAUAAAAUAAACUAAAGAAUACGAUCAAAAUUCGUUGAUUCACAUAGAAUGUCGGGUAUUGACUAUCUAGGCUCGUUGAUUCAUGUGUAAAUUAUGAAAAAUAAUUCGAACAAGAUACUUGAGUCAAACAAUACCAAAAUUGGACUGACAAAGAACAAAUUCGAAUUUUGUAAUUUUCAUUCAACGAACCAUGUCUGAGGCUUGGUGCAAUAUUUUUGAAGUUGAUUUGUCACGAUUCGCAUUGAGAUUAUCGUCCAUGUUUGAGGCUCUAUAGAGCCUCUAAUUGUAGCUGAGGCUUCUAAUUAUAUUUUUGGUCAAGUGUUAGUCCUUGACUCCUUUGCUCGAGUACAUCUCAACGACUAAAAUGUUUUUAUGAUCCUAUAGGACUUGGCGAUCGAGACAUAAAUAUUCAUCCUGGACAUGUGAAAGCACGAUGUGAUCCUUCUGGCAUCCAAGUGGACUAAAGGUACAUAACAUUAUUGGAAAAAAAAAUGUUGAACAAAAUCGUUGAAUUUGAAAAUUUUCUAUAUUAGACUGACAAGAAUUCAAACAAAUUCAAGUUUUGUAAUUUUCAUUCAAGAAACCAAAAAUUAAAUUCAUUUUUUAAACGUAUUAACGGAAGUCAAAAGACAAUGUCAACAAAAAUAAAUGACAACACAAUUUUCGAAACCAAUUAAAAUUGAAUCAUGGAUAUUAAGAGAAACGUGAAUAAAUGAAAAGAAAAAGCUGGAACCUGUGAGCCAGCUAAUAUUUUCCCAAGGUCUGAGGUUUCCAGCCAUCAGCAUUUUAGGACUGAAUUAAAGCAGCAAUACUUAAAUAAAAAUUCUAAAAGACAAAAUUGAAAAACGUAGUAUCAUUUUUAUUAAAUGAAAUGGCUAACAAAAUUUGAUUGAAUUAUCAUCCUUUUCCAUUGGGUUGUUCUUUAAUUUUUGGUCACAAAAUCAUUAAAAAUAAAAUCAAGUCGUACAAGGCAAGGAAAUCAUGCACAGUAGAACGGGUGGUAUUCUUUUAACCUACCAUUUAAUGUUGAAUAAUGCUAUUUGCAAUCGUUCACUAUUAUAGUCAUACUAGUAUCAAAUCACUAACCGCUACAUAUAUGUCAUGUAGAACGAUUACAGUAGAAGCGACUUCAAAUAAUGUUACUCUUUAAUAUUACAUUAGUGCAACAUAAACUAGAGUUAUAAUCCCAAUAGAAUAUGUGAAAAAAAAAAAAAAAAAAAACCUAGUUUUUUGUUGGAUAAAAGAUACUCCUUCCGUCCCAUCUAUAUAGACUAACUUUUCUUUUUCUUUUUUGUCCCAAUUAUAUAAUGAUGUUUCUUUAUUGAGAAUAUUUUAUUUUGUUCAUUUACUAAUGUAUCAUCAUUUAAUUUGCCUAAUUAUAACUAAUUUUUCCACUUAAUCUUAAAAUUAUACAAAUAUAAAUAAGGGUAAUCUAGGAUUUUUUUUUUUUUUGUAAAAAUUACAUUUUUAAUAAUAUUAAAUAAGAUUUCUUAAUUCGUAUGAAAAACAAAACAAACCUAUAUAAAUGGGAUGGAGGGAGUAGUAUAAGUUUUUUUUUUUGAAGAUUUUUUUAUUUUAUUUUUCAUAACAUUAAAACAAAUUGACUUGUACCAUUUGAGUUAAUUACUGUCUGUUUAUAUAAAAAAAGGUUGAAUCCCAACUUUGAGGGCCCUCACUGCCUUGUCUUAGAGUUUUGUGAGGGAAGUAAAUUGUGGGAUGUGUUCCAACAGGUCAGAGAACAAAAACUGUAUGUAUACUGCGCCUACAAGGAGUCAAAUUCCAUGUCUCAGGAAUCGAACUCCCACACUGCGGUUGCCAGUAAGGCGUGAGAUAACCUCACUUCUGUUUAUAGUCAAGAUGACAAGUUGGUAGCAGCGUCAUCAGCAUCCACUAAUUAUCAAUGUUUUUUUUUUUUUUUUUGGCUUAUUCUGAUCUUCUAUUAUAUUACAAGAGAUUAUGGCAACGGGACAAGUUUCCAUUCUCGCCCUCAUUCUGCUGUGUAUUUUUGUUAUCCUACCCCAACUUCAUACUUUAUUAAGACGGGGCAGGGCGGAUUCAAGUUGGGACAACUUUUAUUUAUUUAGUUUUGUUUUCAUUUUUUUAUAUCUUUAGUUGGUAAAAAUUGUUUACCUAAUUUUUUUUUUAAAUAUAUUAAGAACAAUUCAUAUUCCCUCCAAAUUGGAUGAUAAUUCUUUUCAUUUUAUUUGAUAAAAAACUUAAAUUUGAAAUAAACUUUAGACGGGAUAGAUGGUGGGGAGGGGACUAUAUUUUUCUUACUCGAUCCCGUACCCACCUCGAGGCAACGACCCUCACCUUACACUCGCUCCUUCCCCAUUUAUCAGAUUAAGCGGGUACUUCCCUCUCCAUAUGAUGAUGGGCUUCACGGAUAUUUAAUUUAACGAAUUUAUUUGUCAUUCCUUCUCCGGUCGGCUGUCACUUAUUUAGUGGAUUACUUUGUUUACUUUUCCAAUUAACAAAAUAUGCAAAUAAUUCUAGAAUUCGUUUUAAAAAUCAAGAAAUAUAAUAAAUAUAUCCAAAAUACAUACUAAAAAUCAGCUUAUUAAGGGCAAGUGGGAUUUUGUUUAUUUCAUAAUAUCCUCUAUAAUUUUAGCAAGAAGAUAGCUGUCACGACGUCGAUGAUGUUAUGGGCUCAAUCGCCACUGAUGAUUAACAGAUUCGUGCUCUAAUUGGAUAAUUGGUUCUAUAUUAUUGUUACAUAAAAUGAUUGCAGAAUAUAAUAUUUUAUUAAUCUAAAAGGAACAAAAAAAAGGGAAUUGAAAAUUGCUGAAAGGAGAGUAAAUGUGUAAAUUGAAACCUACGUAAAUAUAGUUUUCUUAAAACAGAUUCGCCAACUCACCAUAUGUACUAGAGGUUUCGUUUGAAUGUCUAUCUCUUAAGAUACAAUGGAGAAAUCAGUAGAAUAUGAGCAUUUGAGUUUCAAUUUAGACAAACAGAAUUUGUGUUAGGAAUUGUAAAUUAUGCAGUAUGCAAACAGAGUAUGACAAUUUUUUAUGUAGAAUAAUGAAAAAAAAUAGCUCAGUUAUAGAAUUGGCCCACCAUGAAUGGUGAGUUUAAUCCAUCAGUAAACAUGCCAUUAACUUCAUAUUAUAAUGACAAUAACAACUGGAGUUUCAGCAGUUUCAAAAGUUAGAAUGAUAGUUGGAGAAAGCAAAAAUUAGGAAAUAAAAGUAAAACGUAGACACUCGAAAGGGACUAAUUUUUGGCUCCUUCAGUCUAAUAUUUGUGUACGCAGGUCAUGCUUGUAUAUAAGUUCAAGGUUCAAUGUACAAUUCGAUUCGUGAUUUGCACCUCCGAUCGCGUUUGUGGAGAGAGUCUCUAAACUACACACGAUUAUACCCUUUUAAAAUAUAUCUAUAUAUAAAGUGAUCUUUACUUUUCUCAUUUUCAUAUGUGGGAUAAACUUAAAAUAGUUUUUUCUACAAUACUUUUUCAAUUCAUCAACUUUGAUCUUCAAUUUCCCAUUCACCCAACCAUCAAUUUUGAUAAGUAAAUACAUGAUUUCGAUGUUCUUAUGGAAGAGAACACAAAUCAACUUUGAUUUUUCAAAAUGAACAAACAAGUCCCAUUCAAAAUUAGCCCACUAGCAUUUUUUUUUCCUAACAUUCCCUCACAUGAAUGACAAUUGAGAAAGGCAAAGAAAUGGGAGACAAAAAGACUUGAUGAUAUACUUCAACGAUUGAAACCUGCAUAGAAUAAGUGGGUAUUACGUUUGAAUAUUUCUUUGUGAAAGUAUAUUUACUUUACUAGCUAAUCAGUUGAUAUGAUGUGUUUGAACUUUUCUACCUUUUUAUGUAAAUGAUGAUAUACUUCAUACAGGCUUCUUCCUAACACAAUUAUAUUUCAUUGUUAUGUUAGUUUAUGGCCAUAAACAUACUCCUGGUUCUAUGGGAUUUUGUGAGAAUUGAGCCCCAUACAAUUUCAUUAAAAGAGGUCCUACUUCUCUCUCUCUUACAUAAAUGAUUUCUUAUUACAAGCAACCUACAUUACUUAGCUUGAUUUCCUACGUAUAACAAUCAUUAAAAACCUAUUGUUUUUCCUUCAUCCUUAUAGGCAUUACUGUUACAUCAUAAGAAUGGAUAAGAGAUAACAUUUCACAUGGUGAUACAAUUAACUCUUUAAAAUCAGGUUGUCAUUUUAAAACUACAUUUUGGGAUCUCCAAUCAACUAUGUUAGCUAUUCUUCAUAUUAACUCAUUUGUUCAAGGGCUUAAGUCUCAUUUCUUUCAACAACUUUCCAAUUAACUCUCUACUUAAUCAUUUGGUUAGCGGAUCAUCAAUGUUAUCUUUGACUUUACAUAGUCAACAGAGAUAACUUCAGUUGAGAGUAAUUGUCUUAUGGUAUUAUUCUACAACGUAUAUGUCUGGACUUACCAUUGUACAUUUUUCCCUGUGCCCUUCAAUUAGUGUUUGACUAUCAUAAUGUAUGCAAAUUGUUGGCACGAGAUUUGACCAUCUCAAAAUAUCUUCUAAAAAGUUUUGUAGCCACUUAGCCUCUUCACCACAUUUAUCUAAAGCUCUAAACUCAAAUUUUAUGGUAGAUCCGACUAUAACUAUUUGUUCUAGAGGAUUUCCACGAUAUUGAUAUACUUCCCAAUAUGAACAGAAACCACUAGUGGAUUUUGAAUCUUUUAUAUUAGAUAUCUAGUUUACAUCACUAUAUCUUUCAAUGACUGUUGGAUAUCUGGUAUAAUAUAGUUUAUAGUUAGUAUCUUAGUACUAUUUGUAUUCCUUUCUAGUGGUUAGUUCUCGGAUUAGUCGUGUAUUUACAUAGUUUACUAACUGCAUAUACUAUGUCUGGUCUUGUACAACUCAUCUAGUACAUCAAACUUUGAAUAAUUCUAGAGUAUUCUACUUGAGAGACACUAUCGCCUUUACUUUUAGAUAUAUGCUAACUUGUAUCUAUCGGUAUUCUAGUCAUACUAGUAUCAUCCUUGUGAAAAAUUUUCAAAAUUUUAUUUGCAUAAUGUGAUUGGCUUAGAACGAGUUCAUCUGAUGUUCUUGUAGUUUUAACUCCAAGUAUCACAUAAGCUAAACAUAUAUCUUUCAUGUCAAAUCUUGAAUUUAACAUAUUUUUAGUAAAUUUAAUCAUCUUAUCUUUCCUACAAACAAUAAACAUGUUAUCCAUGUAAAGACAUAAAAUGACAUAACUAUUUUCGGUGUCUUUGACGUAAAUGUAUGUCACCCUUAUUUAUCUUAAAUCCAUAUUUCAUCAUGACAUCAUCAGACUUUCAUGCCAUUAUUUGGGUGCUUCUUUCAAGUUGUACAAUAACUUCACAAAUUUACGGACUUUCUUUUCGUGCCCUGGUGAGGAAAAACCCUUAGGUUAUUCCACGUAGAUUUCUCCCUUUAAAUCUCCAUUUGAAAAGAUAGUUUUAACAUCCAUGUGAUGUAUUUCAAGAUUUUGUAGAGCUGCAAUCGUAGGUAUUAUUUUAAUAGAUAUUAUUCUCGUCACUAGAGAAUAUGUAUCAAAGUAAUCAAGGCCUGUACGUUAUCUGUAACCCUUUAUCACCAGUUUAGCGUUAUACUUUUCGAUAUUUCUAUCUAUUUUCAUUUUCUUUUUGAAAAUCUAUUUGUAGCUUAACGGUUUACAUCUUGAAGAAAAAGCCACUAGCUUAUAUGUAUGAUUUACAAUAUGGAAUCUGUUUUUACUUUUAAUGACCUCUUUCCAUUGAGGUUCAUAUGAAAAGUUCACAACUUUUUGACAACUUUGAAGUUCACUUUCUAGUAAAUAAAUUAGAAAAUUAGGACCAUGAGAUUUUUCUAUCCGUUCUCUUUUGCUACGUCUUGGUUCAACUUCAACCACCUCUUCUUGUUCUUGGUUUUGACUAUUUCUAACCAUAGUCUCAUGUAUCCAUUUAGAAGAGCUUGCUUCCUCUUUGGAUCUAUACGAAAAUACAUGUUCAAAGAAUUAUUAAUUUCUCGAUUCCAUUAUUUUAUUUUUGUAUAUGCCUGGGAUUUUAGACUCGUGCACAAGAAAUCAAUAUGCGCUACUAUUAUGUGCAUAACCAAUGAAGAUAUAAUCCACAAUUUUCAGGCAUAUCUUUACUUUCUUUGGUGUUGAGACAACAAUUUUAACAAGAUACCCCAAUUCCCACAAGUAUUUAUAUGAAGACAUUUUUUCCCUAACUCAUAACAGAACUUCCCUCUAGAUGUUCUGAGGUGAUUUAAAACUUACUAACAUUACAUUCAUCAUUUCUUAUAAAGUAUGAUUUUAACAUUCAACAAGACCAUUUUGUUUCAAUGAAUAAGGUGUAGUGGUUUUAUGUAUGAUUCAGUGUUAUGCACAGAAUUCAACAACUAGUGCUGUAUAUUCAUCACCUCGAUCACUUCUCAAUACCUCAAUUUUCUUAUUUAAUUGAUUUUCAAACUUAUCUAAUAGAAAACAAAUUUCUCUAUUGCUUCGUCCUUACUUUUAAGCAGGUACUCAUAACACUAUUUUGUGCUAUCAUCGACAAAAAAUAAUAAAGUACUUUUUGCUACUUCUUGUUUGUACAAAUUUUAAAUCAUAGAUGUCACUAUGAAUUAAAUCAAGUGGUUCUAUAUUUCAUUCAAUUAAUUUUGGAUUUCAAUUAGUAUUAGAGCUUGUACUCUCCUUCAAAAAAUUUUACAAUCUUGAGUAAUGGCUAACCAAGUUUUUCAAAAUUUUGAGGGGCACUCCACAAACCGACCUCCUUUCUUUAAUGACACAUACUAUAAUUAUUGGAAAGUUAGGAUGAUGCUAUAUAUUCAAUCAAUUGAUUAUAACAUUUGGGAAGUUAUUGAAUACAGUCCCAAUGUGCCUACCAAGACUAACAAAAUAGAUGGGAGACCAUAUGAAACUAUCCCUAAGCCUAAAGAGGAAUAUGAUGAAGAAGAUAAGAAAAAAUUAUCGUUAAAUGUCAAAGCUAAGAAUCUACUUUAUUGUGCACUAGAUAGAAAUGAAUUUAAUCGAAUUAGCACAUGUGAAUCGGCAUGAUGUUUGGCAUGCACUAGAAGUCACUUAUGUUGGCAUGAGCAAGGUUAAGGAAACAAAAAUAAAUUUGUUAGUUAAAGAAUUCGAAAAUUUCUUCAUGAAACAAGAUAAGCUUAUUGUUGAUAUGAUUACACGUUUUACCAAUAUUGUGAAAAGACUUAAAGGUUUUGAUCGUAAAUUUACUAACGAUGAACUUGUUAGCAAAAUGCUUAGGUUCUUAAUGGAGGAAUGUAGCCCGUUGAGGAUGUUGAUUGAGAAUACCAAGGAUAUAAAUACAUAUCCUUUGAAGGAGCUCUACGAUACAUUAAUAACCUAUAAACUCAAUAAUGCCGAGGUCAAGGAGAAAACAAGAAAAAGCAAGGAAGAAUCAAAGGAGCCCCUCAAAUGACAAAUUUCCUCAAAAUCAAAAAUUGAAGAAGGAACAUCAAAGGAAAAAUGAGCAAUGAAGGGCCUAACGAUUUAGUUCUUCUAGUCAAAAAAUGAAGAGGUCUUCGUAAUAAUCCAAGAUUUCAAAGGAGGAAAAAUGGUGAAGAAAGAAGCAAGAAGAUUAUUUGCUAUGAUUGUGAUAAUUCCGAUCACAAAAGAAUCAAGUGCCUGAACAAAAAGAAAAAUUUCAAGAAAAAAGCACUUCAAGCUACUUGUGCUUCAUGGCGAUCGAAGACUAGGUAAGCGUAAAUGAAAAAUGUUCUUAUGAUGAGUUAUCAAAUUCAUAUGAUGAAAUGUUUGAAAAUUUUGAAAAACUUGCCUUGAGUCACUCCAUUCUUAAAAAAAAGAAUUCUUUGUUAAAAGAUGAAAUAAAGAAAAUUUUGGAAAAACAAAAAGAAAAAGUUGAUCAUGAUUAUUAGUGAAGGAGAACAUUUCACUAAAAGAAAAAGUGGAAGAUUUAACGAAAAUUAUUCAUAAAUUCAUCGAGGGAAAGAAAAUUUUGAUUUAAUACUCAGUAGUCAGAAUGCGUUUUUGAUAAAGGGAAAAUUGGAUAUAAAAACUCUUUAAAACAAAAAUAUCUCAAAAAUAUGUUCAUUAAAACUUCAAACACUACAUGUAGUUUUUGUAAUAAAAGUGGACAUGUAGCAUUUAAUUGUCUAGCUAAAAGAAGCUAUCUUUUGAAAACAAGUAUAAGUGGAUUCGAGAGUUUACAAAAACUAACUACCAAGGACCCAAGUUUUCAUGGGUACCAAAAAUCAAAAAUUGAAUUGUUCUUUUAGGAACUAAAGAAAAUAAGAAACAAAUGGUUCUUAGAUAGCUGUUGUUCGAAACACAUGACUGGAGAUUGAUCCUUGCUAUCGAACUUCAAAAAUAAGGAUGGAAGCCACGUAACCUUCGGAGACAACACCAAAGGCAAAAUUAUUGGCAUUGGAAACAUCGGUAAUUGCUCAUCCUACCAAUUGAAAAUGUCUUACUAGUUGAUAACCUUAAACAUAAUUUACUAAGUAUUAGUUAAUUAUGUGAUAAAGGUUAUAAUAUAAAAUUUGAUUCUUCCAAAUGUCUUAUUGAGGAUGCUACACCAAAAGAUGUGAUUUUCGUAGAAAACUGAAGUAAAGAUGUUUAUAUUAUGAACAUUGAAUUUGAAAAUAAAUGAAAAUUGUUUACUUAGUGUGAAAGAAGAAUCAUGGCUAGGGCAUAGAUUAGAGCAUGUUAGCAUGAUCUUCUUUAGAAAAUUUCCAAAAAAUUAUUUUGUAAAAGGUUUACCAAAUUUAAAAUUUGAAAAAGAUAAAAUUUGUGAUGCUUGUCAAUUUGAAAAACAAGUAAAAAAUUCUUUCAAGCCUGAACUUCAUGUUUCAACUACUAAACCAUUACAACUUCUCCACAUAAAUCUUUUUGGACCUUUUGGGACAGCUAGCUUAAGUGGUAAACAUUACGCCUUUGUUAUAGUUAGCGACUUUUCAAGAUUUACUUGUGUUGUAUUUUUGAGUUUGAAAGAAUAAGCCUUAAAGCUUUUAAAUAUUUUUGUAAGAAAGUUGAAAAUGAAAGAAAAAAAAAAGGUUACUCUAUUACAAUUAUUAGAAGUGAUCAUGGUGGAGAAUUUGAUAAUGUUGGCUUUGAUGACUUUUGUAAUGAUCAUGAAUAUGAACAUAAUUUUUUGGCUCCUAGAACUCAAAAAAAUGGUGCAGUAAAAAGGAAGAAUCGUAUAUUGCAAAAAAUUGCUAGGACCAUGCUAAAUAAAAAUAAUUUGCCAAAAUAUUUUUGGGCCAAAGCCGUGAACACUGCUUGCUACAUCGUCAAUGGAGUUUUAGUAAGUAAAAACAAAACUAAAACUCCUUUCGAACUUUGGAAAAAUAGAAUUCCAAAUCUUAGUUAUUUUAAAGUUUUUGGAUGUAAAAUGCUUUAUUUUGAAUACAAAAGAUAAUUUGGGAAAAUUUGAUUCAAAAUCCGAUGUAAUAAUUUUGCCAGGAUAUUCAUCGACUAGCAAUGCAUAAAGAGUUUUUAACAAACGAACUCUAGUCGUUGAAGAAUUCAUGCAUGUUACUUUUGAUGAGACUAACUCUUUUGAUUGAGAGAAAGAUAGUGAUGACGAUAUAGGUUUGGAAGCUCCAUUUGAACAAAUGAAGAUUCAAAACCAAAGCAAUGAGGCACCAAAUGAAGAACAAAAGGAGGAAUCAAAUGAAGAAAAACAAACCGUGGCACAAAGUGAUUGCUCAUUACCAAAAGAAUGGAGAUUUGUUCCAUCUCAUCCUAAGGAGGUAUUAUCAUAGGUGAUCCAUCAAAAUGUAUCACUACUAAAACUUCUUACAAAAAUCAUCUCGGUAGUUGUGUAUUUAUUUCUCAAAUCAAAUCUAAAAAUUUCAAAGAAACCGAGUUUGAUGAGUUUUGGAUUCUAGUGAUGCAAGAAGAAUUAAAUCAAUUUGAAAAAAAAAACAUAUUUGGUACUUAGUCGCUAGACCAAACCAUCAAAUCACUAUUGGUACUAAAUGGAUUUUUAGAAACAAAAGAGAUAAAAAUGGAAUAAUUGUGCGUAACAAAGCUAGAUUGGUGACCCAAGGUUACAAUAAAAAAGACUGUAUUGAUUUUGAAGAAACAUUUGCACCCGUAACUAGACUAGAAUCCAUUCACUUGCUUAUUGCAUUUGCAUAUUAUAAAGAUUUUACACUUUAUCAAAUGAAUGUUAAAAGUACAUUUCUAAUUGAAUUUAUUCAAAAAGAAUUUUUUGUUGAGCAGCCUCUCAAUUUAAAGAUCAUAAGUAUUCGGAUCAUGUGUUUAAACUUAGAAAAGCUCUUUACAAUUUGAAACAAGCUCCAAGAGUUUGGUAUGAACGUUUGAGCAAAUUUUUUCUUUUAAAUGAUUUUUCAAUUGAAAAGCAGAUACUACAUUUUUUGUAAAAACUCAUAAGAAAGAUAUGCUUAUUGUUCAAAUUUAUGUUGAUGACAUUAUUUUUGGUACCACAAACAUCCAUCUUUGCAAAGCGUUUUCAAGUUGUAGUAACUAGACUAGAAUCCAUUCACUUGCUUAUUGCAUUUGCAUAUUAUAAAGAUUUUACACUUUAUCAAAUCAAUGUUAAAAGUACAUUUCUAAUUGAAUUUAUUCAAAAAGAAUUUUUUGUUGAGCAGCCUCUCAAUUUAAAGAUCAUAAGUAUUCGGAUCAUGUGUUUAAACUUAGAAAAGCUCUUUACAAUUUGAAACAAGCUCCAAGAGUUUGGUAUGAACGUUUGAGCAAAUUUUUUCUUUUAAAUGAUUUUUCAAUUGAAAAGCAGAUACUACAUUUUUUCUAAAAACUCAUAAGAAAGAUAUGCUUAUUGUUCAAAUUUAUGUUGAUGACAUUAUUUUUGGUACCACAAACAUCCAUCUUUGCAAAGCGUUUUCAAAUUGUAUGAGUAAAGAAUUUGAAAUGAGCAUGAUAGAACUAAAAUUCUUCAUUGGACUUCAAGUUAAACAAACAAAAGAUGAUAUUUUCAUAAAUCAAAAUAAGUACAUAUUAGACAUGCUUAAAAGAUUUGAUAUACAUGAUCUUAAGCUUAUGAACACACCCAUGAACACGUCUCUAAAGCUUGACAAAGAUGAGCAUUACACUCUGGUUGAGGUCACAAAAUAUUGAGGUAUGAUCAGAUCCUUUCUUUAUUUGACUACUAGUAGGCCUGAUAUUACGUUUAGUGUAUGCAUAUGUGUUAGAUUUCAAUCUAAUCCUAAGGAAACACAUUUACGUGUCGUAAAAAGAAUUUUUCGAUUUCUUAGUGGAACUAGAACCUUAGGACUUUGGUAUCCAAAAGAGACUCACAUUGAUCUAAUUAGUUAUUCGGAUGAUGAUUGGACCAGAUGUAAUGUUGAUCGUAAAAACACUAGCGAAAAUUGUCAAUUUCUAGGCUUUUGCACUUGUGUCUUCGUCUAGUAAGCAACAAAAUUCCAUUACACUAUCCACCACCGAGGCGGAAUACAUUUCGGUUGCUAGUUGUUGUGCACAAACACUUUGGAUGAAACCAACUCUUUGCGAUUAUUACUUAUCUUAUGCUCAUAGGCCUAUUUUGUGUGAUAACAUUAGUGCCAUCAAUCCCGUUUUGCAUUCACGAACUAAGCAUAUUGAAAUAUGACACCACUUUCUUAGAGAUCAUGCACAAAAGGGAGAUAUCAUGUUAGAAUUUGUAAAAACCAAGGACCAAUUAGCCGACAUCUUCACUAAACCUCUAGCACACAAUUGAUUUUCCCAUAUUCGAAGAGGUUUAGGAAUUACUGAUGAAAAUAAAGUGGAAUAAAUUCAAUCUUUCCAAUCACGUAUGUUUUACAAUUUUUUAAAAUAAUUUUUGAAUUACCCUACUUUAAAAAAAAUCCUUCAGACGAUAAAGUCUAGACAGUUCAACAUUGUCCGGAUUGACAGAGAGUUCAAACCAUUGAAUCUUUGUUGAUCCGGACAUCCAGAUCAUAUUCCAGACAUCCAGAUGAGAGGAAAAUCAGGUGUUCAUAAACACGAACAGCCUCUUCGUCUCUCAUUUUUUCUUCUCACCUUCCUUGAAUUUUUCUCAAUCUCCUCUCACCAUGUCAUUGACAUUGCUUAUCGGUCUACCUUCAAUUCCAAAUUGCCACAAGAUUAUAGGUUUCAAAAUCACAUUUUUUUCUCAAAAAUCAUUCAAUUUUGUGUAUAUAUCCCCAAAUAUCACUCCACUCGAACCUGUCAUUUAGUUUGGGUAUUCUUGCACAAUUCAUUCACUAAUUCAUAGGAUUUCAAAGGCCCCAUCACCACUCAUCAAGAUAUUUGAAACUCUUCUAAAAAAUUUGAAUUUUACUGGUGAAGAUUGAACCCCUCGAAUUCAAAAUUUGGGGCUUUUGAGUUUCUCCUUAAUUCUUCACAAUGUCGGGAUCUCAACAAGGAAGAAGGGCAAAAAGAAUUACGAGACAACCUCCUUCACCACCUUCGGAAGAAUAAAUGGACUUGGAGCCGGAGGGGCCACUGAAUCCUUUCGAAAAAUCACCCAUUUUAAUUGGUGAGAUUGUUGAUUUUGCUGAUUUUUCUAUAGAUAUUCCAGCAUUUCAAAUUAAAGAAUGUUUUGAACGUAUGGGAUGGGUAUCCAUGGCAACAAUGGAAGAGCAUGCAUACCUACACCUUAUGAAAGAAUUUUAUCAAAAGAUGCACGUUGCACCUCAUUUCGAUGAGAUUACAUGUUUAGUAAAAAAAUGUGUGCAUUACGAUUUCUAAGGCUUCAAUUCGUGAUAUUAUCGUGAAGUCACCGGGAAGGAUUUUGAGAAUAUUACAAAAUUGAGUGCGCAUCAAUUAAUUCUUCCAUGUAAAGUUUUAAAAAACAUUAUCGCCCAUAUUAUUUUUCCUCGUAAUGGUCACCGAGACUAAGUUAAUCACUUCGGUCUCUUUAUUAUGGAUUUACUUUUAGUUGGCCAUCGAAUUGAUUUUCCUACAAUUGCAUUAGGACUUAUGAAGCUUGUGCAUGCAUCACAACACGUUAAAACUUGACCUUAUGGGAUGCUUCUAACAAAAUUUUUUGAACACUUUAAUGUUUUUUCGAUGGAGAAGAUUUUGUUAAGUUACACCCUACCGAUACUAUCAACAUCCAAACACUAAAAAGAAUGAAGAUAGUAAAAGAACGAGGGCAAUGAGUAGCUCACACGAAAGGAUUCGAUCCUACCUUUGGUCCAUCUACUUUGCUUUUCGAAGAAGAAGUCAAAGACGAGCCUGAAGCACCUACUCCCGCUUCUGACAUUUUUAGCUCUAAUGCACCCCGUUCUUUUGGAAGGCACUUCAUAUUUACUGAGGAGCAGUAUAAUCUCCUUCAUAGGCGUAUUGGUUCCCCCACCUCGUCCAUCGACUUCUUUGUAGCCUACUUUUUCAGAUACAGGCAAAGCAAACCAUUAUCCAGGACCGACAGGCCGAAAUGCAAGAGUAACAAAAUGCAUUCUUCGCGAAUUUUUAUGCUCGCUUCCCAACUCCGACGCCCUAGUUUAUUGCUAUACUUUCAUUUGCUAGAUGUUACUUUAUUGUCCAACUAUAAAAUUCAAUUAUUGCGCUUUUGUGUUAUUCGGCUGCAUGGCAUAUUAUGUAUUGAAUGUCCUAUGGUUGACUUCUUUAUGACUUUCAUUUGUGCUAUUAUCUCUUUUUGCUUAUGCCAAAAGGGGAAGGAUAAAGUAGAUGAUUAUGCAAAGCAGGAGGAACAUUGUAAAGGGAAACUUGUAAAAUCUUAUGAACAUUGUAAAGGGGAAACUUAAAAUUUUUAUAUACAUGUAGAUAGGGGGCACUUAAGUGAAAUCAAUAGGGGGAAUAUAAUUGCUAUAUUCAAAUUUCAUGUUCCUUGCCCAAUUCAAUUUGUUUACUAUUUAUAUUGCAAAUUCUUUUGUUUGUCAUAAUCAAAAAGGGGAAAAUUGUUCACCUAAUGGUUGACUUCUCAUUUUGAUUAUAACAAAGAAAUUGCAUUUAAUUCUAACAAAUUGAAUUUGAGUGUUGAUAGUGAUUACUAUGAAAUCAACAAAGAAUGAAGAAAUGAGAAUCAAGAUCAAGAUUCAUGCAUAUAGUUAUGUAGGCAAAUUUCUGUAUCCAGUAUCUUUUCCGAUUUUCUUGAAAUUUGUUUUAUGUUUCUCUGAAAUUUUUAAAUAAGCUAUAAUGUCAUUUCUUGUAGGCAAAUUUUUCAGUCUGUUUUUUCUUCUGAUUUUCUUGAAAUGUCGUAUCAAUUCUUUCUGCACUGUGAAUGAUCUCACAAUUUGUGUUCUCUCUGGAGUUCUCCAUUAUGAUCUAACGAUAUAAGAAUCGUCCUAAUUCUAUCUGCUCUUCUUGUUAUGUUUUCAGGGCAUAUCAGGGUUGAUGUGUACAUGAUUUAUUUCAAUCUGGAGAUUAUUUUAGCUAAAUUUAAAAAGUUCAACAGAGGAAUUUCAUGGGCUGUAGCUAGUUUGAAAUUGAAUCAUCCAAUUUUUUCUGAUGAUAAUGCUAGCAUUCAUCUGCACACAGUUUUUAAGCAAAAUAAGCUAUAUUUCCAUCGUUAAACCUUUGAAAUGAAGAUAAGUUGCAUCCAAAAACAAAACCUGUAGAAGCAGAAGCUGAUGUUUUAUUAAUUAAUACCAUAAGCAUUAACUUUUCUUUACAAAGUAACCAUUUUUAGGUAAACAGUGCAUGAAAUCUGGUUAGUGUGAUUCUGCAGGAGCCAUGGCAUCGCCAGUACUCUCUUCUGGCAUAUUGGAUGCAGGUGAAUUCAUGUGUGCAUGGUGACUGAAGUACAUGGUGAAUCCAGGACAACCAUAGGGAUUGCCACAGUUCAUUGGUCGGCAGUGGUAAUUCGGCGGAGGAACCCAUGGUCCUUCUCCAUAUCCUGGUGGACUGCCUCCAUCAUUGCCCCCUGAACCGGAACCAAAUCCACCACCGAACCCAAAUCCACCACCAUUUCCUCCGACCGGGAUGCCAUAACCCGGAGCACCAACUCCUGGGAUACCAAAAUUUGGGACACCAAAACUUGGUACGCCUCCAACCCAGCCACCACCACCUCCUCCUCCGCCUCCAUUGCUAAUGCCCCCAUUAUUGCCAUUUCCACUUCCACUGCCACUCCCACUUCCAUAACCACCAGCAGAUCCAACUACCGGGGCACCACCAAAAGUCGGGGUGCUCACAAAACCGCCCCCGCCUCCCCCUCCACCUCCAUUACUUAAAACGUGGCCGUUCCAUGCAUGCUCAGUAUCAGUAAUGUCCUCCAUGCUGCGAACGAUGCGGUCUUGGUUGGUUCCAGCCUCAUUAGGAAGAAUUCUGUGUGCAGAACACAGGACCAAGCUUAGAAAUGCAAGGAGUGCAACAUGGGAGCAUUUUAAUGUAGCCAUUUCUUGAUAUUAUAAUUAAGUGAUUCGAAUGAUAUUUUCACUGUGAAUACAAAGCUUUAUAUAGUGAAAGGUCUGCUACAAAUUGCAUGGUUUUAUCAUUUAUGUUGGACAAAUUCAUAGAACAAGGAAGUGGUUGAGGAGAAGUGCAAAUGUGCAAGGAAUUGGGAUUACUUCACACAAUCUGAAUUGAAUAAUUAUUCAUCAAAUUGAGGAAAAUGAAAUUUGUGUGAAAACCAUAGCAUUUUGCUCCGUUUUCUGGCACUAUAUGCUUUUGUUAACUCCUAAACUGGAGAACAUACAUAAGACUGAGAAGACAUAUCGCCUGUUUAAAUUAAUUUUUGAUUUAGAACAUACAUGAGACUGAGAAUCUUCACUCCUAGAUAUAUGAUUUGUGGAGUCCUGAAUUAAUUUUUGAUUCUUGUACCUCAUUAACCUAUUCAAAUUUUGUGAUUGUGAUAUGCAUUUUGAGGAAGCAUUGAAUUGCUUAUAUUGAGUUAAGAAAAUUGUUCAAAGUCUAGCGAAGUAUCUAUUAUGCUUUAUUCGAGGACGAACAAAUGUUCAAGUUUGGGGGAGUUUGAUAAGGUUAAAAUUUACACUUAUUAAAGCCACCAAAAGUGACUUUUGUUAAUUUUAUUAUGAAAUUGAUACUUAAUUAUAUGUGUUUUUAUUAUAUUAGGGGAAAACUCAAGAUCGGAGAAAAUAUUGAUCAAGAUGGAUGUAAUUGAAUAAAAUCUGCAAUUUUGGGAUCAAAUUCCACGCUUUAGAAAUUGAAGGACUUGAAGUGAAGUAAAGUAAAGAAAGAUAUGAAUUAGCACAACUAAUUGGACUUAAGGACUAAAGUGCAUUACAUAGAAAAUUGAGACCUUGGGAAGCAAGCACAAAUUAGUUGGGCCUAGAAAAAGGGAAUGGGGGUUUCAUUUAAAAAGCCUAGUCAAACAAAACAUUAGUUUAAAAAAUCCACAAACUAAGUUCUUUGGGUAAAAGGCCUAAAGAUAUGGAAAAUGAAAAUAUAAUUUGUAAAUUACUAAAAUGACCUUACAAACAAAAAAGACAUUGCUGCCCUAAUUCCCAUUUCAAUUUCCAUUUAACCCUAAUUAAAUUCUACCUUCCUUCCAUUUGCUCUUCAAAAUCGGCUGUAGAGGUAUGUAAUUUGUUUUUUUGUCAUCAUCAUUUUUCUCUACUUAAUGAAACCUUAAACUCUACAUUCCAUUUUCCUUGAACACUCAUUUGGUUGAAGUAAGUAAUAAAAUCUUGCAAUAUCAUUGUUGGGCAUUUGGAGAAGAAGGGGGUGUUGUAAUUUUCAAUUUUUUUGUUAGUUUCUUUGUCCAUUUUUUGAAUAAUUUCUUCAUGUCGUUGUAUAUAUAUUUAUGAUUUUUAUUUGAGAACAAUGAUUUUGAAUUAAUUUUAUCAUUAGAUUAGAGUUUUGAUAUGGGUUGCUCUCAAACCCUUUUUCUCAUUUCUCAUCAUCUUUAUCAGUUAGAAUAAAAUGUAAGUUUGCAAAGGCAUGUUUGGCUAUUCUUUUUAUUAACUUACAUUUAAUUUUCGUCAGUACAUAACAACUUACAUGUUGUUUUUUGCAAUCCAUAACGACUUACAUAUCGUUAUCAGUACUGUACACUGUUUGAAAUGUGAUGAAAUUUUUAUAUUGAAUUAUAGUUAUGGACACCGUGAAUAUGGUAUGGAUAUCAGUUUGUUUUCCAGUUGAAUAUGAGUAGUCGAUUGAAUGUGUUUUAAAAUGAAAAUAUGCAGGGAAUGACAAAUAAAAACAACUCAUAUUCUUGUUGCGAAAAUUAUUUCUUAUAUGGAAUUAUAUGAUAAAGUCAAAGAGGUGUUGAACAUCAAUUCACAACUUUUUCGGAAUUUAAUUGGAAAAAUCGAAUGAUUAAAUAAUCUAUUCACAACUUCAAAUGGUUACGAGUACAGUCAUAAGAUAUCGGUGGAUUAUAUGUUUUUAUUCCCAAAUAAGAUGGAAUAAACCAAUACCUUGAAAUAGAAACCAAUACCUUGGCUUUGUUGGAGCAUACUUUUUUAUUAUUUCAUUUAUAUUUAUAAUGGAUAAUUGAUUUGGAAUUAUUUCCUGCAAAUUACAUAAUCAUCGUGUGUGUUAUCUUGCUCAUUUACUUGCUUUCAAUAUAAAGAUUCAGAAACUUGGAUGUUUACUUUGUGAUUUCGUACUGCAGCUCUCUUGAGAGACAUGCUUAAUCAACUUUACUCUAAGAGGAAUUGAACAUAGCAGGUCAAAUAUUAUGUCAGCGCUUCCAAUCCUCAACCCAAAGAAAAAUGGGAAACGUCGUUUUUUUUCCUUUUUCUUUAGGUGCUACUGCUGGUGACUUUUUUACAUAGAAAUAAUUGGUCCAGCAUUUUAAGCAAUUUAUUCCUUUAAUUUCAUCAAGAUGUAGGUCGAAAGUGUGUGUGUAUAUGUGUGUAGGAUAAAAACUAUAAUGUAAUGGCUGGCUUAUAUGCUAGGUGAACUUCUUGGUUUAUCAUCAUAAUUCAUAAUCCAAGUUCAUAAGUUUGUGACAGUGCUGAGAUUAUAAAUUAUCAAAAUUAUUCAAUGGAUCCAUAAAGACUAUAUUAAUCGACCGUUCAUUUUUCUUUUUAUAAUUUUUUUCCAAAACAUUCUUGCUUCUUGAAGUUCUCGAGUAAUAAUCGUCUGAGAUUAAGGUUGUAAUAUUUUCCUGACUUGUAACUUUAUAAUUUUGUGCUUAUUCAAAGCACAAGAUGAUUUAUUAAAUUUUGUAAUCAUUGUGCUAUUGAAAUGCUUUUGCACUAUUGAAAUGCAAACGACGUUCAUAUAGUUACAAUUGAUGUAAAUGCAAUCAAUCUAAUGACGAUAUAUAUUUUCUUCCUUCUGAAACAAAGUGUUUAAGAUUGUUGUGGUACAAAAAUGUAUUAAUUUUAAUUAUGAAAUUGAAGUCGUUCUUGAAGCACAAAACGAUAUAGAUGUCGUUCAAAUAAAAAAAAAUAUAGUGAAUAACAUAACGAUAUUGAAACCGUUCCUGUAAUAAAAAACGAUUUCUAUAUCGUUUCAGUAUGAAAUACACACUGCUUAACUUAUUUUGGUAAUGACAUCAAAGUCGUUAUGACUAUACAUAAACGAUAUGUAAGUCGUUCUAGCACAAAAAUGCAUUCAUUCUAAGAAUGAAAAGGAAGUCGUUCCUGAAAGUCAAAACGAUAUAGAUGUCUUUCCAAUAAAAAAGUGCACUGAACAACGUAACGAUAUUGAAGGCAUGACGGAUAGUUGUGGAUGGUCAAAUCUACUUUUAGCUAGAACGAUAUAAUUAUCGUUUUAUAUGAAAAGAAACGGUAUCUAUAUCGUUAUACUUGUAAUUUAAAUUGAAACGAUUUCAAACUAUUCAAAUUUGUACUAAAACGAUAUAAAUGUCGUUACUUUAUUUGUGAUUUUAUGCAUAACGAUAUCAAUAUCGUUUUAAUACAAGUUUGACGCCGUUGAUAUCAUUUUAGUUUAAAUCAUAACUAAAACUACACGCAUAUCGUUUCAGUUAAAAUAAAACGAUACUUAUAUCGUUUUUGCUAAAAAUAAUGAUUCGACCGUCCACGACCACCGAACAUACAUCUGACAUAUGUAGGAUGAUCAAAAUAGGUAAUCAAGUGGGUUCGAUCUCCCUUAAAAGAAACUAUGAGAACAUUUUUGUUCUCAUGAUUGUAUACNNNNNNNNNNNNNNNNNNNNNNNNNNNNNNNNNNNNNNNNNNNNNNNNNNNNNNNNNNNNNNNNNNNNNNNNNNNNNNNNNNNNNNNNNNNNNNNNNNNNNNNNNNNNNNNNNNNNNNNNNNNNNNNNNNNNNNNNNNNNNNNNNNNNNNNNNNNNNNNNNNNNNNNNNNNNNNNNNNNNNNNNNNNNNNNNNNNNNNNNNNNNNNNNNNNNNNNNNNNNNNNNNNNNNNNNNNNNNNNNNNNNNNNNNNNNNNNNNNNNNNNNNNNNNNNNNNNNNNNNNNNNNNNNNNNNNNNNNNNNNNNNNNNNNNNNNNNNNNNNNNNNNNNNNNNNNNNNNNNNNNNNNNNNNNNNNNNNNNNNNNNNNNNNNNNNNNNNNNNNNNNNNNNNNNNNNNNNNNNNNNNNNNNNNNNNNNNNNNNNNNNNNNNNNNNNNNNNNNNNNNNNNNNNNNNNNNNNNNNNNNNNNNNNNNNNNNNNNNNNNNNNNNNNNNNNNNNNNNNNNNNNNNNNNNNNNNNNNNNNNNNNNNNNNNNNNNNNNNNNNNNNNNNNNNNNNNNNNNNNNNNNNNNNNNNNNNNNNNNNNNNNNNNNNNNNNNNNNNNNNNNNNNNNNNNNNNNNNNNNNNNNNNNNNNNNNNNNNNNNNNNNNNNNNNNNNNNNNNNNNNNNNNNNNNNNNNNNNNNNNNNNNNNNNNNNNNNNNNNNNNNNNNNNNNNNNNNNNNNNNNNNNNNNNNNNNNNNNNNNNNNNNNNNNNNNNNNNNNNNNNNNNNNNNNNNNNNNNNNNNNNNNNNNNNNNNNNNNNNNNNNNNNNNNNNNNNNNNNNNNNNNNNNNNNNNNNNNNNNNNNNNNNNNNNNNNNNNNNNNNNNNNNNNNNNNNNNNNNNNNNNNNNNNNNNNNNNNNNNNNNNNNNNNNNNNNNNNNNNNNNNNNNNNNNNNNNNNNNNNNNNNNNNNNNNNNNNNNNNNNNNNNNNNNNNNNNNNNNNNNNNNNNNNNNNNNNNNNNNNNNNNNNNNNNNNNNNNNNNNNNNNNNNNNNNNNNNNNNNNNNNNNNNNNNNNNNNNNNNNNNNNNNNNNNNNNNNNNNNNNNNNNNNNNNNNNNNNNNNNNNNNNNNNNNNNNNNNNNNNNNNNNNNNNNNNNNNNNNNNNNNNNNNNNNNNNNNNNNNNNNNNNNNNNNNNNNNNNNNNNNNNNNNNNNNNNNNNNNNNNNNNNNNNNNNNNNNNNNNNNNNNNNNNNNNNNNNNNNNNNNNNNNNNNNNNNNNNNNNNNNNNNNNNNNNNNNNNNNNNNNNNNNNNNNNNNNNNNNNNNNNNNNNGAAUAGUUCUUAUUAAUUACAAGCUUUAAAAUGAGUACAAAUCGAUAUACUGCAUCGCUUUUUAUUAAAAUCUAAUUAUUGGACUUUAAAUAAGAUAUAAAUUUAAAAAAUAUUUUUUUCUCCAUUUUUUUUCCAAAAUAUAACGAUAAAUUUAUUUUAAAAAAUUUCGUGUGUUAUAAUAUGUGUCUAAUAAAUAAAUGACUCAAUAAUUAUUUUCGACUAGUUGUUAAGUUGUGGACAAUGUUAAAACUUUGGUUGCACUGGAGAUCAAUUACGAAAAAGAGAUGACCUGAAACUUAAAAAGAAGAGUUCGAAUUCUAAGGAGAAGAUGAUUUUGAAGAGGAAGAUUUUUUGAAUAUAAAGGAAGGGAAUGUUGUGUGUGUUAGAACAUGAAUGCAUAGUUAUUAGAGCCAACCCGAUGAUCAACUAAAAAAAAUUACCGGGUUAAUGGUUCAAUCGGUGGGUUAUUGUUAAAUUUUAAUUUUAAUUAAAUUUUAUUUUUGAAGUGAGAAUAAAACAAUUUUUUGAAAUGUAAUAUAUAUAUUUUGCUCAUAGGAAACAAAGAACCAUCAUUUGCCAUAAUGGUUGUGGAGUUAAAAUAUUUUCUUGCAUUCCAAGGUUCAAGUCAUGGCUCCAACAAAUUUAGAAAAAAACUCCAAUUUCUUCUUCAUUUUUGUUUUACAAGUUAAGGGUAAAGAAGUCUUUUGACACUUUUAAAUAAUUAAAACUCCUUUUAUUUUUAUAAGUUUGGUCAAAGGCCAAUUGAACAAAAUGCACAUUAAAGGGGCCUUCCCAACUCAUUGCCCCAAAGGGAAUGUGAAUUGAAGUCAAAUCCUAAUAGUAAUAGACUUCUACAGAGAGCUGGUGGCAGAUUAGUGGAAGAACGCCACCUAAACUGAUAUUAUAGCACCAGAGUAUUAGAUAGCAUUAUUCUUAAUCAAUUGGGGAAGAGUGAGAAAUCUUCUUUUUUGGACUAAAAAAAGUUGACGGCAAUUAAAAAAAAAUUUAAAAAGAAAAAAGCAAUAAACGAGAGGUACAGAUGGCAGACGCGAAAAAUUGGAAGAAAUAAUUCCAUAUUUUUGUAGAUAAAUUCAUCAAUUAUUGUGCAAGAAUUUUAAGAAUUAAUCACGUUUCAUCAAUUUGUCGGGAGAUUCAUAAUACUCAAGAAAGGAAAUGAAGAAAUAUUGGUGGGAUUCGAGAGGCAUGGAUAGCAGGCGCCGAAAGUUGGAAGAAAAAUUAGGAAAAAUAAUUCCAAAAUUUGUACACCAAUUUAUUGAUAAUUGUGCAAGAAUUUUGAGAAUUAAUCACGUUCCAUCAAUUUGCCGAGAGAUUCAUAAUAUGAAAGGAAGGAAACGAAGAAAUAUUAUUAGGAUUUGUUUGGUGAAGAUCAACAAUAGUUUGGAAUGAAUUUUAUUUUGUUUAUUGGAAUUAAACCCAAUGAUGUCGUUUAACUUUUAUUUGUUUUAUUUCAACGUUAUGAAUGAUUAAAAAUUUUUAUGUUAGGAUAAUGAUGUAGCUUAGGGUUUUUGACAUUUAUUCAUUUCCAAGAUUUCAUAUCACUUUAAUACGUGUUUAUUAUUUAAUAUUUAUUUAAUAAUUCAAUUGCAUGGACCAAUUUGAUUGAUUUAAAGGUAGUAUUGAGAACGAGAGGUGAUGUAUGAUUCUAGCUCGGGUAAUUGAUAAGUGUAUUUUCUACAUUUAUUUGAAUAUAAAAAUAUAGAUAUUUAAUAGUUCUUUUGAACAAUUAUAGCCUACUUUAUUGUAUAUUUUGUUUAUUAGAUGAAACUCGAUGAAUGGAAGUAAAAUGGAAAAAACGAAGUGAAAAUUGGUGAAAAAGAAUAAGAUCCAAAGUUUGAGGACUGAACAGCAAAAACACUCAUGAGUUGUAUCUGACCUCACAAUAAAGAUUUUAGAAUGCUAAAGGUCAAUUCAAUGCAAUUAGAAGUCAAAAUGACUAAAAUAUGAUCAAAAUAUUUUCAUAAAUAGAUUUUAUACAGCACAAGAACGUUCCAAAUUUUUAGCCGAACAUUCAGACCUAUUUUGGCCCAGUAAACGUUCAAAUUGGAAAAGAGCUACAUAUAGUAACACUGUAGCACUUUCAGUUAUCUUUACAACCCAAUUUGAAUCGACUUAAUUGGAUAUCGACAAAAAAGGUUAUAAAAAAAAAUACUUAAGGAUGCAUAAUGCUGAUUUUUUUACCCCAUGAUGGUGCCAAAGCGCCACCAAAUUGCAUAAUAUUAAAAGUGUAAAUACUCAAAAGUUAUGUCAGGCCUCACAAUGAAAAUUUUAGAAUGUUAGGGGUCAAUUCAAUGCAAUUAAAAGUCAAAAGGAGAAAAAUACGAUCAAAACAUUUUCACAAAUUGAUUUUCUACAGUACAAGGAUGUUCCAAAUUUUUAGCCAAAAAUUCAGACCCAUUUUUGACCUAGCAAACCUUCGAAUCAGAAAAGAGCUACUUAUAAUAAAACUGUAGCCCUUUGAGUUAUCUUUAUAAUUCAAUUUGAAUAAAAUUAAUCGGAUAUCAACAAAAAAGGUUAUAAUAAAAAUACUCAAGGAUGCGCAGUGCUGAUUUUUUUUAUCUAAAAGUUGGCUACAUCAUGGCGCCAAAGCGCUACCAAAUUGCGCAAUAUAAAGUUGUGGCGCUUAUCUGGGAUGCGGAUUUUGGCCUUUUUAAAGCACAUAAAACUCCAAAUUCGAUGAAAACAUGGAAGCGCUUAUAAAUACAAUAGAGGCAAUUGAAAGUAGUUUCACACAUUGAAAUACAUAAGAACGUAAUUUGCGAUUGAGAGAGCAAAAUCAAAUAAGAAAAACAAGAAAUCAAGAGCUAGGGCUUGGAAUCAAUAUUUGAGACGAGAUGAAUUUGAUGCAUGAUUCAUUCACUUCUCCACAUAUCCAUUCAAAAUUCGAUGAUGUACUUCAUUAUUGUUAAUUAUUUUUCUUCAUCUAUCAUAAAUAUCUACGCUUUUCAUAAGGGUAAACAAUGUAAUUUAUUGAGACCCUUUAUUCUUUUAUUCAAGAUUCAAGUUCUUUUAUUGUAUAUGUGUGGAUUUUUAUUAUGUAUUUAAUGCUUUGAAUUAUGAAUACUAAUUCAAUGAUUUUGUGAAUUUACAUAUCGAGAGGUGAGUUUUAGAUUUAAACCACAUAUUAAAAUAUAAAUAUUUAAUGUAACAUAUGGAGAUACCUAUACUAACUAUUGCGAUUGUUAUAUGAAUUUUUAGAACAAAUAGUGCAUUUAAUUAAGAUUGAUUACAUAGAGAUAUGUGAUCGAAUUAGUUAAAUAAACUCAAUGAGAACUCGAUAUGGAUAAAUUGAAUACAAUUGAAGAAUUCGAUUGAACACUAAACUAUAUUUAUGGAUCUUGAAUUAAGAUUUAAAGGUAAGCAAUAGAUGAAAUUGUUAUGCCAUAAUAUCAAUUCCAUAUUUGAAUUUUCGACGUACCUUUGUGUGCAUAUUACUAUUUCAAUUAAUUAGAAGUAGUUAGAAAAAUAAUCAACACAAUCACAAUUCAUGUUUGGUUUUGUCAAAAGAAAUAGUAAACUAAAUAUUGAAUUAUAGUUCUCGUGUGAACAAUAAUCUAGACUCAAAGGUCCGCUAUAUUACUUGUUAUGAUAUCAUACGCUUACGAUGGAAAAAUGCAAAGCAAUCAAUACAUAGGUGUUUCAGGAGAUCGAGAGAUAAUUAUAUAUUAUGCAUUCUGUAUAGAAUUCUUGUAGAUUAAAAUGUUCAUAUGUGUGUGAAUUUACAUAGAGAUAUAGUAAACCGGGCAUAUGAAUAAGAUUAGUGUUAGUUGAAAGAGAUCACGAGUUACAUUAGGUUAAUUUAAUUGUUAGCACAUAUAAAACGGGGUUGAGUGAAUUAAAAUUCGAUGAACAUUAAAACAACUUAAGUGAAAUAAAAAUUCCUAACUACCUAAUCUCAUAAGCUUCUUAGCUAUAUUUAAGGAGGUCAUCUUAGUUAUUUUAGUUAAGUUUAUUUACAAAACACAUCUUAAAUUGAUAAUUGUUUACUCGUUUGAUUUAGAUUGAAGCUACGUUUGUUCAAAACACAUCUCAUAUCUUGCUUGCAAUCACAAAAUCCAUGUGGUAUCAAAGCCCCAAUCCAUGAAUACUUUGUUUUAUGGCAUAAAGGAAAAAGUAUUGGAACUUUUUUUGAACUCUAGACUACAUAGAAAGCAUCUUCACUAUCACGGAUUAAUAUUCGGUAUUCUUCUGGCAACUUUAUGCAGUGUUGGAUCAAUAUCAAAUUUGAGUUAUCGUAUUUGUUUGAGUUAUUAACGUGUUGUUUGUCAGUUGUUGGUUGUUCAUUGGACUCUUUUAUGAUGGUGGGUACAAGGUAUGAUUCGCUUCAAUCACUUAUAAGUAUGAAUAUUCAUAUAACACAUGUAUUUUCAAUAGACGAGAACGAGGUGGCAGUGAGGACUUGACUCCAAGCAAGGCAAUAGAAGCCGACUCACUGAAGUUGAAGUGACAAAGAUAUAGACUUUUUAGGCUCUAACAGUGAGGCUCUGCUCAAGGUGGCGGUAGAGAUAUUUGAUAAGUGCGUUUUACACAUUUAUUUUGACUAAAAAAAUGGACAAUUGUUGAUGAAUAUGUUGAAAUAUGGCUUGAUUUUAUAUAAAUUAUGUUUUGUAUGACAACAUUGAUGAAUAUGGCGAAAACUAGGAAAAAUAAGCGAAAAAGAACCAAAAUUGAAGAAAACCAAAGUUCAGGGACCAAAGUGUAAAUAGUUGAAAGAUGAUCCGAAAGCAUAAAUGAGAAUGUGAAAGAGCAAAGACCAAAUUGGUGAAGACAUGAAGUGUCGGAAGAAGAAAAAAUGAUAAAAGAGGUUAAGAAACAAGAAAACGGAGUUCGAGGACUAAAAUGCAACUUUUGGAAGUUUGCCAAUACUAUGUAGUCGCAUAGAAGGAUUCUCCAUGUAGUUGCCUGCCUAUUUUCAGAGACUUGAAGGCUUGAUUUUUAAUGAACUAUGCUAUAGCAUUGAAUUGUACUUCGUUAUAAAUCUGGUUUCCUUAUAUGAUUUAAAUUCGUAUGGAAACAAAUCUUUGGACAUCUUUUAAAACCCAAAAGCUGUCCAAAAGUGUUGAUUACACAUUCUAACAUAUUCAUAGGGUUUUAGAGCAUAGAAGGAGGCAAGGAACGCAAAAAUUGAUUUGAAGACCCAAUGAUUCAAUUGAAGAUUUAAAUUUGUGAUGUUGUUUCUUUAAUACUCUUUUGUUUUCUUCUUUCUAACAUGUCAGGCUAGAUUUAUUCGUACUAGAAGAACAAUAAAAGAAUAGCAUGACUUUUUAAUCUUUAAUUUUACAUAGUUGAUCUCAAAAACAUGUUUUGAAUAUUGAAUGGUUUAUAUGAAUUUCUUUUUUUCACGAUUAUUAUGCACGGUAAUUGUGUGAAUAUGUUGGCUUAUUUUAUGCAUUAGAAAAAAGGAAAAUACACUCGACAUGGUAUAAAUCAUCAUACAGUCCGAUAAAGGAUAUAGAUCUAUCGCUAUGUCUUAGAUGAAUCGUUAAGUGUUCAUAAAAAUUCAUGCAUUCUUGUAUGUUAGCAUCCAUCAUAGAGAUAUAAUUGGAUCAUAUAUGAGAAUAUAUUUAAUAUUACUCGAGAGAAAUUGUUGAAUAUAAUAGGAACAUUGAUUCUUUUUUUUUUUUUUUUUUGGAUAUCCAAGUAUCCCAGCAUACACUAGACUAAAUCCUGGACCCUCAAGAUCCUUGCCCCUAGAACCUUGAAGGGGGUAAAUCACGUGUUAUGCCUCAACUGGAUCACAGGUUCCCCCCAUCGCCUGUACACUUCUGCGCACAAGAGAUCCUCCUCCAAAGUGAUUGUUCCAUACCAAAUAAAUCUGGCUGCAGGUUCCCACCAAAAUUCGAACCUCCACCCUGCCGCUGGAAGCAAGACAAAUGUUGAUUGAUCCACAGAACAUUGAUUCUUCAAUAUACAAUAUGUUGUCAAAGUGUAAAACUAAGACUAAAAAGAGUUAUUACAUGGGAAUUCAUGAUCCUGGUACCUGUGUCAUUCAUCAAAUACAACAAUUUGCAUUAAACAUAAUUUGUAUUUAGUUUAGUUAAUUCUUAUUACUCUUGUUUCGGUUAAAAUCGCGGUAAUAAAAGUCAAACUAAAUCAAUCUCUGUGGGAUCAUAUUUGGACUCAAAAUUUACUUUAUUAUUUGUUAACGAAUCGUAUACUUACGAUGAUUUAAAUCAAAAUAUAUUUUCGCAGAACAAUGCUGCCUUCCGAAAUAGCCAAAGCUGCCACUGACUUCAACAAGCCGGACUACGUCACUCAGCGUGAUGCCGUUAACCUACUCGAGACACAGGUGGGCAAGGCAAUUUGUGUAACGUAGAGACUAUUCCUCUGGGAGUUGUUUUUGACAAUUGUUUUGUUUUAACAAGGAUAGGACAUCACAACACUUUCCACAAGAUAAAAGAAAUUGCGAGUUUGGGACAGAAUACGAGUAAAUAAGUGAUAAAGAAAUUUUGAAACUCUUGCUGGUUCCUAACAGACGUUAUUCUCACGGAACCUCUGUAUGAAUCAGUUGUGCAAUGUGUACAACUGGGGUUGACAAUGGGAGGGAGGCCCAUACUGAAUAAAAAAAUCGUGGACCCCCCUCUUGCGAGUAUAUUGUCAGCAGUAGUUGUCAACCGCGGUUGUACAAGAAAAUAAUUCCUGUAUGAAUAGUACGCUUCCACUCGUGAAAGAUACAAUAUUGACCAUCUGAUCCAACUGACUGAAUGGUCUUUAACAGUAAAUACUUUCCCCUUUCGUUUCUUACAGAGAAUGUGGUAAAUUGUGUGCUACCGAUGAAUUUGUUUAACAUUGGAUCUAGAUCAGAGCAUAAAAAUGAAGAACAAUGGAUAAGAAAUUACUGCAGAGAAGUAGAUAAGAUCAUAUAUACACUAUUGCAUCAAUAUAUAACUAGUUAUACACAUGGGAUCAAGAAAGGUUAGCGAAAACUCCUAAUAUAAAACUAAAAUAGAACAAGGCACAAAAGGAACCAACACAAGAGAAAAAUCGAAACUCUGCCGAGAGAUUUGUUAGCCUGUAAUUGCUGCCUUCUUAAUCCAGGAGAACUACUUCCCACCAGGUGGUACGAGUUAGGAUACCAGUAUAAACUCUCUGAAUUGCCAAAAACUCUGGCAUAAACCAUCUCUCCAAACAUCCCUAUCGUGGGAUGUGAAAGAUCAAUUGGAGACGAAGUAUCUCCUUCUACGUUACUGGAAUAAGGAUCAGAUAAAUUACGUCGAUUUUGAUGAUCGGGAUCUUGUAUGGCACGAGCUGUUGGCCUAGGCGGUAUAUUCUUGAUCUUGUGUUCGGUUUCCGAGAGGCAAUUGCCCCGGCCAUAGAGAGGGACCAUCGUUUUUUCCGAUAUUUCGGUUUUGCAAACUGGGCAUCUGGGUAGGUUCUUGUCUGAAUCAAGGGAAGCAAUCUGAAACCAGUUGUAGAUGCAGGGCCAACAGUAGAGAUGGCCACAAAGGGUAACUACAGGAUCAGACACAAAUUCCAAACAGAUGCUGCAAUCAAAGUUAGGAGAAGUCCUUUCAGAGUCGGGAAUGGAUUUCCAUUCCUGCAUAAAAUAUUGCUCAAAUGCCAUGUUUCUUUUGAUCUCUGAGAAGAAAAGAUAUUAAGCAAAAUAUGAUGGUACUUGCUUAUCAAGACGGCUAGAUUCUUGAUUGUUUCCUGUCGAUCAACAGAGUUACUGGCACAAACAACAGAUUGAUUCUAUGGAAGUACUAUUUGUGAUUAUUCAACAAAUACUUGGAACAUGAUAGAUUUAGAAUCUGUGUGCGCGAUGGAGAGAUAUUUGUGCAAGAGUAGAUUAGGUCAGGUGGGAAAAUAAACGUUGAGAUGGUUUUAUUUUAUAGAUGGGGCGCAUAAAAAUUCGAACCAUGUUACGUGUACUCGAUUUUUUAUUAGUUGAUGAAGAAAAACACAAAAAAUAGAUUGAAUUAAAUGCCGUGUUGAAAUAGAUAUGUCUGUGAAGAUGCGGACUACAUGCGACCCUAUAAAGCUUCACUGUUCCUGGUGGGCACUUGGCAGCAGGAUAUUUUUUCCCUCUACAUAUGGUUUUGGCCUAAAAGUUGGGUAAAUUGGCAGGCCUGUCGAGUGGGUGAUGCAGUAUGUGCUUGUGGGCCAACCUUGCUAUAUAAAGGGCUCGUUUGAGACACAUUAUUUCAAAAAAUAUAUAUUUUUAAACAGUGAUUUGACAUCAUUUCAACUACACAUUUUUCAAUAAAAUAAUAUUACACACAAAUCAAAAACUUUUCCUUAUUUUUUAACCAUACAUUUCUCAUCAAUACACUAUUCAAAAAUGUAUUAUUACCAAAAUAAUGUGGCCUAAACACCCCCAAAUAUUAUAAACAUUCGGGUCCUUGACUCAUCUAAAUUUUAUAUAUUUGGUCCCACGUCAUCAAAGACGUGGAUAGCAAUUUUGGUUGCACAUCUUUAAAAGAGUUAAAGACUCGGAACCUCACUUUUAAAGACAUGGAAACUCAUAACAAAACUAUAUAAAAGUUAGAGUUCAAUUCUAAUUUUUCUUACUAUUUUCAUAUAUAAUUUUACCAGUAUUCUAAACAAUAUAAAACGUUGGUCGAUAGUAAGACCAAGAUUCAAACUUUUAGGAGCUUUAACAAGCUUUGACGUAAAAUUAAGUAUAGAUAGAUGACAGCCCCCCAGGGCACAUUCGAGUUGGUGGAUCAAUCACAUUUGGCGCGCUCGCAACCUCAGCGUGGAACCUUUGAUCCAAUAAAGGGGCAAUUUAUUGGUGGAUUAAUCACUAUGGAGGAAAGCUCUCUUGAGGCCAGGAGUUUAGAUCGGGUGGGAACCUGUGAUCCAACAAGAGCACAACCUACGGUUUAUCUCCGCUAGUCACUGAGGGGCCGGUGGCUAGGGGUCCAGGAUUUAGUCUGGCGAAGCUGGGACACCUGGGUAUAAAAAUAAAAAAAUAUAAAAAAAAAAAAGUAUAGAUAGAUGACAAGACCAAAUGAGCUCCUUAGAAUACUAUUUUACCAUUAACAUAUAAUAAAAAAAUAGAACCUAGAUUACGAAUUUAUUCAAUUAUUUAAAAAUCACUUAAUUUUAGGUUACUAUCAUCUGUAAUUCAAAAUUUUCAUAUGAUUAGUGGUGAACAGGGAUGUCAAUUAGUCGAAUCAAGCCGGCUCGUGAGUCAAAAUUCGAGGCUCGAGUUGAAUUCAAAUAAAAUUAAGUCAAGUUUUUUUUGCUCGAGCUGAACUGAGCUAAAGUUUAGCCAAAAAUUCGAGGCUCGACUCGAGUUUUGAACUCGGGUCUUAUCGAGCUUAGUUGGGUUGGCUUGAUUUUUAUUAUUAUUAUUGUAAUACAUAGGCUGCCGUGUGCUGCCUAUUUAAAGAUAGUUUGCCCUUUCUUUCUCGAGCCAGUCCAACGAGUUAAAUUACCAUUCCUAGUGAUGAAUACAAGAUAUUAAAACUUUAAUUUGUCAUUGUAUAAAGUGUAAAUUGAUCGCACUGGUCAAAUUUUACAUUUGAAUGUUAUGAAUUUAUCAUUACUAAAUCUCGAUAAAGAAACUUCAUCUUCUAGUGUAAAAGUAGAAGACAGAAAAGUGAAAUGGAUUUGCACAAAUCAAUAGUAGCUUUCAUUUAAAUAAAAGCAAUCAACAGUGUCGGCCUUUGGACACAUUUUGUCAAUUUUUCAAAUGAUGUUAACAUAUUCCACGCUGAAUGACUUUUUAUUGCCUUCUAGAUUCACAUUACCGACAAUUCAUCAAGCUGCUCUUCUAGAUUAAUUAAUUAUUACAUCUUAUUUCAUAUCCACCUAGAAAGAGAAAUGACUCCUGCACAGAUCAUGUGCUGUGCUCUAUUGCACAGGGUUUGUACAGAGCAUCUCACAUGGAGGAUGGACACCACAUGUGUGUGUCUGUACAGGCUCCGUGCAGCAUUUCUCACCCAGAAAUAGUAAAAGAAAAGAAUAUUUUAGUAAGAUAAUGUUUGGUAUGGAUUUUAAUCCAAUUAACAUUAAUUUUUUAUCGUUAUUUCACUAUUCUAGCCAUUAUUUUUGAAUUUUUUUCUUACAGGUACAACCCACUUUAUCUCUAACGGUCAAAAAAUCAAUUAACAAAAUCCCCACCAAACAAGCACUAAAUAUUGUGAUUCCCAUUCUAAAAUUGAAAAUCGUGAAUUAUUAACUAACUGAAAAUUUUAUUUAUACUUGAAAUAUGAAUUUGUCACUUGAUGGGUGAAUAACUUCAUAGCGUAUCUUUAAAAAACUCUAUAAGAUAUAAUCUAUUUUAAAGAGUUAAUAGUUAAAAUAAGCUGCAGGAACUCAAAAUUUUAACUUUCAAAAUAGAACGUGUUCGUCUCUCCAUUCUUACUUUAUGAUUAUUUCGUUUAACAAGAUAAAAAUUAUAAUACUCCAUAUAAAUAGUAUAUUAAUUAAAGGAUAAGAAGAAAUUAUUAAAUAUUUCUUGAAAAAAUAAAAUGAAGAUUCCAAUAAAGAGAAUUGUUACAAAUAUUUAAAAAAAAAAAUACUUACUAAAUUGUUCUCUAAUUAUUCGUGAUAACAACUCCAAUGUCACAAUGUGCAAUGUUUUACGUGUGACAAACAAAAUGGGAAGCAAGAAAAGAGCACUUUCAAUGGGCUGUGAAUUGCACUAAUUUUAAGUUAUUUAUCGUAGAAAAAGAAUAAAGAUAAAUAAUAAAAAAUUAAAUGAGCAUAUAAUUAUAAAAAUGAAUUAAUCGAAAAAUGUCUAACGUGCUCUCCACAAGGUGGAAGGUGUGCUGACGAUGUUCACAUUUUUAUUUAUAUAUUUAUGUUUUUGCCAUGUAUUUAUUUUGGUAUGAAAUGACAUGCUUAUUGUAGCAAUCCAUAUAUUGAAGAUAUUAAUGCGGUAGUUAUAGCCUUUAUGACAUUUCUAUGUAUAAUUAAUAAUUUUAGGCGAAGAGGGCAACACUAUUAUAUCAUAUAAACUAAUUUCUUCUAGAAGCCAAGAAAUAAUAAAUAACUUUAAUUGACACAUGGACCAUAGCUAAUUUCAUAAUUCAAUCUAGAAAAAAUCCAUACAUGUGCAAGUAGUACGGUGCAUUUACCGUCAUUUUUGGGCUCAAAACCAAUGAAAAAUUGUCAAGUGUCAAUAUAUAAAAAUUCCGUCAAAUAUUUUCUGUACUUGUAGUAUAACUCUUCAAUCUAUUGCCUAGGCAUGAUAAAUCUAUCUGUUGAAAUUAAUUUAAUUUUUUUUUUUAAAUUUUUGCGGAGCUUUCACCGACACGAUUGUUGCCAAUUAUAAUUUCUAGUUGAUAUCAGAAGUUGAGUAAGAAAAGUUUGUACAUCUACUCUUACGAAUUAUAUAACUAUUUAUUCGGUGAAGCCUCCUAAGUUCAAUAAUGCAUAGCAUAGCAAGGAAGGAUGGACAUUUUUUGUAGGAUGGGGAUAUGUAAUAUCCAAUUUAGUCCUUGUGUGGAAUAGAUUAAAUUUUGAUUUUAAUUCNNNNNNNNNNNNNNNNNNNNNNNNNNNNNNNNNNNNNNNNNNNNNNNNNNNNNNNNNNNNNNNNNNNNNNNNNNNNNNNNNNNNNNNNNNNNNNNNNNNNNNNNNNNNNNNNNNNNNNNNNNNNNNNNNNNNNNNNNNNNNNNNNNNNNNNNNNNNNNNNNNNNNNNNNNNNNNNNNNNNNNNNNNNNNNNNNNNNNNNNNNNNNNNNNNNNNNNNNNNNNNNNNNNNNNNNNNNNNNNNNNNNNNNNNNNNNNNNNNNNNNNNNNNNNNNNNNCAACGUAAAGUCGGAAUCAAAGAUAUCACGAAGCUUUGAACCAAUUAUUCCAUGUGACAAUAUCGGUAAGAACACACACAUGAGUACCACGUGUUCUCAAGUUCCUCAUGACUCACUUAGCGCUAUUAUGGUCUUGCGAUAAUCCUUUUCAACAAUCUUUUAAGAAAGAUGAGGUGGCACCACCUAAAAUUUCUUUUAGGUGAAAUUCUUUCAAUAUUUUUGUUACUUUUAGAGGUAUUUAUGUUUUAGCACUGAAUUUCAUUAAAAGUUUAAAGCUCAACCCUCAUUUUAGUAACAUCCAACUUUAUUUUAACUAGGAUAGGGUCAUCAUGGAUUUAAAUAAUGCUGCAACUAUUUACAUAUCGAAUAACUUGUUGUUAUCCUUUGAACCCAUUGAUUACUUUUUGAGUAAUGACAGGUAGGGUUUCCAUCAUUGGUAGACCUUUUUAAUUAAGGAGUUCUAACACCAUCUUACUCAAAGUAGACACCACUAAAUCUCUAUCUAGAGGUUUAGUAAAAGGAUCUACUAAAUUUUAAUUGACUUACAUAAUUUAGGGAAAUUAUUUCAUCCUUGAUUAAUUUCCUUAUGUGACUAUGUGUAAGACUCAUAUGUCUAGACUUUCCAAUGUCUACCUCAUUUUACGCUUUUACUAAUGUGACUUGACUAUCACACAUGAUAGGUAUUGAAGACAUAUUCUUCAAUCCCAAAUGGAGCUUAUAGAAGAGAUCUUUAAGUCACUCGGCCUCUUUCCAGGUUUCCAAUAGUGCAAAUUUAGAUUCCAUGGUCGAGUGUGCAUGCUUGUUUUUUUUUUUUUUUACUUCAAAGAAACAACACCUUCUCUUAAAGUGAACAAGCAACCCGAGGUGAGUUUACUUUCACACAUACUAGAUAUCCAACUAGUAUUGGUAAAUCUUUCCAAUACCGUCAGGAAUUUAGUAUAUUGCAGCUUAAGUUCUUGGUUUUCUUUAAGUAUCCAUGAACUCUCUCAAUGGCCUUCCAAUGAUCAUUACUUGGAUUUCUAAUAAACCUACUAUACUAGUCUUUGUGACUUUUAUAUCUAAAAUAGUAUCCACCUGUCCAAGAUCCUUCAUCUUGAAUUUAGAAGAUAGAAAAAUGUUCAUUUCUUCUAUAACGUUCAUGUGAUUACUUAUAAUCAACAUGUCAUCAACAUAUAAGCAUAUAAAUAUUACAUAAUCAUCACACACUUUAGUGUAUAAACAUCUAUCUACGCUAUUAUGUUUAAAUAUGAAUGAUAUUAUUAUUAAGUCAAACUUUUCAUGCCAUUUCUUAGGUGUCUACUUCAAACUGUAUAAUGAUUUUACUAACUUAUGUUCAUUUCCAGGUAGAGCAAACCCUCAGGUUGUUCCAUAUAGACCUUCUCAUUGAGAUCCCCAUUUAAGAAUGCCUUCUUGACAUCCAUUUGAGGAACACGCAAGUUAUGUAUCGAAGCUAAAGCAAAUAAUAUGCUAAUCGAUUAUAUUCUAUCACCAGUGCAUAACUGUCAAAAUAGUCUAUUCAUUCCUUCUGUCGACAACCUUUGGCUACCAAUUUAGCCUUGAAAGUAUUUAGAGUGCCGACAACAUUAUAUUUUCUUCUAAAUACCUAUCUACAUUGAAUAGGUUUGGAUCUCGGUGAUAAAUCAACAAGUUUCCAAAUAUUAUUAAACAUUAUCGAAUCCAUUUCAUCCUUAAUUGCAUCUUUUCUGAAAAUGUUAUCACGAGAAACCAUAACUUCUUUAUAAGUUUCACAUACAGUAUAUGAUUUGGCAAUAAAUACGAUGGACAUUAUGAUCCUCUGUUGCCUCUUCCUAGGUUAAAGCAAAGACUUUGGCUUUCACUUUUUUACCUUGCUCAUUGCAAAAUGACCUUCUUGGCCACAUUGAUAGCACACAUUUUCCCAAAUAAGCGCUUUCCUCCAUGUGCCUUGUUUCAUUUAGGACAUCGUGGAGUAACUUUAUAUGGUUUGCUUGAUCCUGAUCUUGAUCUUGUAUUGGCCUUCUUAAAUUGUCUAAAUCCUUUCCCCUUAUUCGAUCCAUUCUACUUUCGUUUCACAUAUGAUUCAUUAUUUUUCUCUUUUAUCUUAUCCCUUUUUUAGACGAUUAGAAAUUAAUUGAGCUUGCUUAAGCACUUCGCUAUAGGUAGUCGUAUGGUGAGAUGCCAUGAUUCCUCCAAUCUCUGGACGCAAACCUAGUUCAAACCUCCUAGCCUUUUUUGGUUUGGUAUCCACAAGGUGUGUAACAUACCUAAAAAGUUGUUCAAACUUUCUUUCAUAUUCAUCAAGUGACAUAUUUGCUUAUUUCAACUGUAGGAACUUUGCCUCUUUCCGAUCCCUCAGUGAUUGGGGAAAGUAUUUUGUCAUUAAUUCUUUUAACUGCGUUGAAGUCAUAGCGCGUUGUUGUGCUUUAGUUCUGGUGCAUGAUGUAGACUCCCACCAGUGGCAUGCUGCUCCAACCAGCAUAAAUUCAGCACAUGAUACCUUCCGUGCGUCAGUACAUGCCAUGUGUUUAUAGAUUUGUUCAAGCCCUCUCAACCACUUCUUGAAUGCCAAAGGGUUUGUUUUGCCAUCAAAAGAAUGAGAUUUGAAACGGAAAAAUUACUCUGUAAUUGAACUUGUAUUGUUGGCAUUUGUCGGUCCAUUUUGAGGAGGUGCUGUUGCGAAGGCUUGAUUCCUACCAAGGUCAUGUACCGCCCUCAUCAAAUCCAUAAAUAUAGCUGCUUGGUCUUGUUGUCUUACCAUUUCUUUUAAAUCAACAAAAUAAAUUUGUCUUAAAAAUGUUAUACAACAAAAUAGCUCAAUAUAUUCAAAGGAAAUUAAAAUUUUUAUUAAGAUACUCCCUUAAAUUAGGAUAUACAAUAGUUCGACAAAUUUUUAAUAACAUAAAGGAAAAAUAUCACAAUACUACUAAGGAAAUGGAAUCUAAGUUUCUAAUCCCUAUAAAUCCUAUGAAUCUUCUUUAAUGGAGCUUCAUAUUCGGAGAAAUCUUUUGCCUCCGGCCGAACUCUAUGUGCAUCUCGAUUAUUGGCUUAGGUUCAUGCUCGUGAUCAUUCUCUAAUUCCAACCCAAAGUCAUCCCCAUGCUCCUAUUCAAAAUCUUCCUCUGGAUUUGAUUCAGCCUGAGCUUUUAGUUUGGGCUCAAGCUCAGCCUCAUCUUCGAGCUCAUUUACUAUCUCUGGUUGCGAUUUUAAGCUUUCACUCCACCUAUCUAGAAAGGUUUGACAAUAUAUGUCGAACUCAAUUGUGUUUGGGUGCUCUAGAAGGUUAUAUCUUAAAGGAAUAGGUCUACCUUUAUAACUUUUCGUCAACCUCUAACUUAAUAGCCUCAAUUUUUUGAUUUGUACAAAAAGUUCUUCCUGGAGAGGUGCUAACCUGUAACACAUUAUCCAUUUUCAUACAUGAGAGCUAGACAUAGCCACAAAAGAUACAAAGAUAGAAGAAUGUGUAGCCCCAGAGUAAAAAAAAACAUAAACAGUACAUCAAAAAAUAAUAAAAUAUCUACCAUCACAUUUGGAUCCUAUUCAGCCUCCUGUUGAUUCAAUGCAAAAAUUUGGGCCUUCCCUUUUUUAUUUUUGUCUUGGUCAUCAUCCUUCUUCUAUAGAGGCUCCCUAUAAUUCAAAGCAAUGCGUCCCGACUUACCACACCGAAAACAUAUAUUUUUUUCCUAUAUAAGCGUUCUCAUGUGAUGAGUUUAUUAUACUUAAAAAUGGUGUAAUACUCCCAUUCGCCCAACAAAAGAACUUCUUUGAUUGGGCUCUAAUUCUGCUAGUAAUGUCUUUCCUUGUUAUAAUCAUUCCACUUUAUUUUUUCAAAUAACUUUUUGAUCCAUUGGACAUCUCUCUCAAAUACAGUCUAAAAUAGCAUCAGCCCUUUCCAACAUUUCAUGGUGUGAUGUGAAACAAUGAGACAUGAUAAUUAUACUAAUUUUUUAGCGUGGUCCAUGUUCGAACCUCCUGACGUUCUUAACUUCUGUAUCCACUAAUUACAAGGCAUACCUGGAAAGCUGCUCAAACUUUCUCUCGUAAUCAAUAAGUGACAUGUUUUCCUAUCUGAGCUGUAGAAACUCUAAUUCCUUGAAGUCUCUUGAAUCCUGUGGAAAGUACUUUGCCAUCACCUCAUCUUUAAACUGUACACAAGUUAGAUUAAGCCGCUAUUCUUCGAUCCUAGUAUGUGAGGUAGAUUUCCACUAGUGACUAGCCGAUACAAGCGCAUUUGUACAAGUAAUGCAUCGAAAGAAGUACGCAAGAUCUCUAAUCCAUUCCUCAACAGCCAAUGGGUUAAAACCACCCUCAAAAGUGGGAAGCCUGUAUCUACGGAACUACACAAUACCUGAGAUAACUCCAUUGACAAAAGGAGAUGUAUUCUGAAGUGUCAGUGCAUUUUGUGGUGGCGAUGCUUAACUUUGAUUGUUCAAUUCUUAUACUUCUUGUAGUAAGUCGUGCAUCAAUUUUGUGUUGGUAGGUAGUGCUAUUUCCUUUAGAUAAAAAAAAAUGUCAUCCACGUCAAUCUUCUUAUCAUGGUAACAUAACGUAUUUUAUAUUCGAGUAUGCAUUAAUAUGGGCAAGGAAAUCAUACUUUACUUGAGAUAUAAAAAUAAGCAUAACAAGAAAAAAUGUACAUCAUGAAAUCUAUAAGUAGGCAAUAGAAAAUGUAACGUUACACAAAAGAUUUGAAUGGUCAUUUCUUUCUUCAUCCAUAACAUAUCUUAUAAUUGUCGGAGUGUGGUUGUUGAGUGCCAAGGAUCUUUCAUCUCAUCACACGUUUAUGAACUUUAUAAAAAUUUAUAUCGUACUUCAGACUCAUAAAUCUAAAAAGAAAAUAAUUAAUUAUUACUCCAUUCAUCCCAUAAAAAUAGUCCUAUUUCAUUUUUUAAACAAAUUAAGAAAAUUUAACUUACUGAAAUAAUAAAUUUUACUAUCAUUUUACCUAAUAUACUUUUGGAUUAAUGCAAUCAAUAAUCAAGAACAUUAAAUAGGAGUAUUAGAAAACUAAUAUAUUAACUACACUCCCAAAUAAAAAAAUGGGACUACAAUUUAGGACGGACAAAAAGGAAAAACGGGACUAUCUUUAUGAGACAGAAGGAGCAACAUACAAUACGAAUAGUGAGGACUAAACACAGAGACAUUUAUGGCACGUCAUAUAUAUAUAUAUAUAUAUAUGACUGUUCAACUUGAACAAUGUAGGGAACUAUUCACUUUGACAAGGCAGAUGACAUAAAUCACCCACAAAGUUAUCCAUGUGCUCAUUCAUCCUUAAACAGAAAAGUUAGAUGAGAUGACCAUGUUUGAUGAGGUUAUUACAUAUACCAACUGAAUCUGCUAUAAAUCAUACUGUCAACGAAAAUCAUAUGACUGGAGUGCAAAAGCUUGCAACCAAUCCCAUCUGUAAAUAAUGUCAACUAAUCUUAGCCACCACAUAUAAAAAUUAAUACUAUUGUAAUUGUUAUGUUCUAGACCCAAUCAAUUUAGGUUGUAAAUAUUUUUAAUAUGUUUAAUGCAUUUAUUUUUGGCAAGAUCUAUUAUUUAUUUAAAUUAAUAUUCUGAUAAAUAAUAUUAAAUAAUAGAGUUGAAGAUUCAAAUUUAAGUGAUUUGUUAAUCACAAGGAGUUGUGAUUGUGAGAUGCAAACUACAUAUCAUUAGAUCUUGAACAAUUCAUGGUCGUAAGUAAUAACGAGAUACAGAUAUCGUUAUUACGGAUAGACAAUCACGUGUGGCAUUUCUUACUUGUGAAGUAAGUAACUGAUCUCACAAGCUAAAAUGUGGUGACAUUUAAAUGAACGUGUGGAUGUUUUAUUAUAAAACGAAAUAUUGGAGACCCGUUAAGAGAUUUCACAUGGUUAACUAUCUGAGUGUCAGUGGCUGAUCUCUAACGUUGGGUAGUGAAAUUGAUCAUUCGACUUAAAGUCGUUAUCGUACUUUAUAUGAGGACAGUCAUGCUUUGACGGUGUUGAAUGUUGCUCUACCAAGGGUCGUUAAUACGACAUCGGUCGGGUAUGUCAAGAAUCAUAUGAAGGCUGUGAAUAAGCAAUAGAGGAUUCGUCACUCUUAGAUAGUAAAAGAUUGUGAUCUGCAUUUCAUUCAAUUAAGUCGAUAACGAAAUUCUUCGUCAAGGUAUACUCAUAAGUCGAAAAGGAGUUUUCGACUCAUAUUGACUUCAAUGGUAAAAUGAAAGAUAUGAUCGUUAAUCGAGAUUGACACACUUCCAUAUCUCGUAAUUGAUCGGAUCAUAUUGACGAAGGGAUUAUAAUUUCAUGGUAAACGAACAUGUUUGGUUUUGUCAUAUCAUGUGAUAUUUUCCGUCACAUGUGUUGCCCUGAUACAUUGCUAGACAUCAAUCUGGGACGACGAGUGUGAAUUGGUAAUAAAUUAAAAGGGUGUUUUAAUUUAUCAAUUUUUGAUUAGAUCAACAUAAUAUUUCACGUCGCUAGGCAUCGUGAUCGAGAACCUAAUGGGUCGCACACAAAAGAUAAUUGAAAGAUUGCAAUUUGUUAAUUAAUUAAUUUAACAAUCGUUAGAUAAAUUAAUUAAUUUGAUUGGUUAUUUAUAACUCCGAAUUAAUUAAUUGGAUUAAUUAAUUCACGAACCGAAUUUAAUUAAAUGGAUUAAUUAAAUAUUAGAUCGGACCAGGCCGAGCCCGUUUGGGCUUAUAUAAAUACUUGGCUAGAGUUUUAAAUCUAUACAGUUUUUUAUAAUUCUUGCUAGCACAAGAGGAUAAACCCUAACAGUUGCAAUCUAUUCUCUUUGUAGAAUUCAUUGGAGGCUGGAUAAUUGGACAACUGUGGAAGGCAGAUCCAAAUUGCUGGAACAAAGAUAACGCAAAGGAGUUUGCAAAUUCAAGAAAAUGUAUAACUUUCAUCACANNNNNNNNNNNNNNNNNNNNNNNNNNNNNNNNNNNNNNNNNNNNNNNNNNNNNNNNNNCUUUUUUUACCCAUGCAUGUCAAGAGGCUCUGACCCCUUAAAAACACUUGUUAUUGUGGACUGAAGAAAGGGAAUUUUCUCAAUUCUUAAGAACUUAAACAUGAUCAUCAACCAGAUUCCAUCAUUUGGAAAUUGUUUUUCUUUUAGGGGAAUAAUUAAGGUACAACUGCACGAUAAUAAAUCAAAAGUUCACGUAAAACCGACCCUUAUACUGUCAGUUAAGCAUUCUAUUUACUCGUACUGAGUUGCAUGAACAGAACUAUACCUGAUUCAAGAUGGGUUUUGAUACCAAUUGUCUUCGAUUUUCCAUAGGAAUGUACUAGAUCUCCCUCCAAGAGACUGCAUUUAAAUUCAAUCAAUUUGCGUACUAAACCAGCCUGGGAUUUUUCUCGGUUAAAGACAGAUCUGUCCAACUGGGGCCAAACUACACAAGAAUGAAAAAAGAACAAUCUCUUUCCAGCUUUAUAAUUAUAGAAAGGCCCACAAGUUAAUGCACCAAUGAGUUAAUAACUUAAUACGAUAGAAGCUCCAUAUUCUUUUACAAUAUGUAUUUAUCUGUCAUGUUAGCUGCUUCAUACUUAUCUCUCAAAGUUACGAAGUUGAAUCAUUAGUUGUCUCACAAAAUGAAAAGAUAGAAACUCUUUUCAGCCUCAUGCAUUGCAAAGAGCUAUGGGAAACUGGUGUCUCCAUACCAGAUAGACUUUGGUACUUACUACUAAUCAUGCUAUAUCGUCCAUGAAAUUACUUGUGGACCUUUACACAUCAAAAACUAUUUUACCAAUUGCAGCUGGCAGAUAGGUACUCUUGCUUAUUCAAGUCAUAACGACUGUAACUCCAAAUUAUCGUAUUCAAUUUUAUAAAUGCAUAGUUCAUGAAUGUUAACAAAUUUUAUCUAAUAUUUAUUUAUUUUUUUUUAUCUAAUUUUAUGAUCACGUUCGUGUGGUUCCCAAGGUUCUUGCUACAGGUUUUUUGGUUCCUUCUUCAAUACCCUGAGAGAAAAAGAGAGAGGAAUCAAAAAAUUCAGAGAAAAUCUUCAUACCUAAAAUCCCUACAAUUAGAAUUUAUCAAAAUAUCAAGUAAAAACUUACAAUUAGAAUUUAUCAAAAUAUCAAGUAAAAACUUUCCUAAUUUAAAAAUCUACAAACUACCAAGAGAAAGUAAAUUUAUACCUACUUUAGAAUUUCACACUUUAUAAAAGUUCAUAUUUUGUCAAGUCUCCAAUGCAAUCUGCACCUCCUUGAGUAUUACAUCAAACUAUCUGCCAACUGCACAUUUAGUCUGUUCAAUUCUGUACCUAUUGUUUCGUUUUUCCAUUAUUUAUUUUAUUUUUUAUUUUUUUGGGUUGGCACAGUUGGGGAGUUGCUAACGGAAAACAUGGAUUAUCACAGUAGAAAAGACACAAGUAUCUAGCACGUGAUGGAAAAAAAAAAGAGUGAAAACAUCUAUCGAUUCCCAAAGUUUAUUUACUUUCAUUGCUUUAGGAAUUAACCUUCAAAAUGUGAAGAUGAAUUACCUAUCUUCUUUCUUUGAUUGCACAGGAGCAUUUGUCUGUGUUUCCAUACAUAGACCAUCGUAGAGGGUACUGCAUAGACUCUUCUGAUCUUUCAAAAGCAGAUAAGACAGGAUUACCACAUAUAAUGUGCCUAAAGAAGAGCAGUAAUAUUCAGAAGGUUCAUUUUGAUGCCUCUAUAUAUACAAGAUUCUCAAAUGUUUCUGGAAUGAUAACAAAGCCAUAAUUGUGAAUGGGGGUAGGCGGGGUCCUAAACUGAUUAAGGGAGAAAAGUCAAAAGGGGAGCAACAGAAUCUUUAAUUCCCAUGUGCAUUAAGAUAGUCACUGCCAUCUUAAAAGGCACAUCCAGGAGAUUUGAUUAAAAGCGACAAAAUCAAGCAGAAGGCAAUUGCAGCUUUUACUUGUAUGAAAUGGUUAUUCGUGCAAACCAUGGGCAAAAAAAGUGAACUGUGCACCCUACCAGAUUUCUCAACAUAUCAAUAAAAAUCUCUAAUAAACAGAGAACAAUUAUCUUAAAUAUAAAGGAGUAAACAAGAGUCAAAACUAUGAAACGACAGCAAAUUAUAUCUUAUUCCUGAUAAAUUGGUCAAAAAAUGAGCUUUUAUACCUACCCUUCUACAAUUUGUAUUUAUUUUGAAAUUUUGAAAAAUAGGCCUUCAUAUUUUAUUUAGUUUAAUUGGUUAAUUUUGUUUUGUCUGUUUUGGAGGAUCAAUUCAAGUUGUGAUUGAUCAAUUAUGGCUUCUUCUUUUUUCUUCUAAGGAAAACACUAACACAACCUCAGUGGGUUUUAAAGCUCCAUCAGGGAACACUGAUGGGGAUUUGGAUUCUCCAACCGUAUAUAUAAAAUCAAACUCACAAGAACAAGAGGAAGGGGAACAUAAACCUAACCUCCCAAAAGCGAAGAAAAGCAACAUAUGAAGGAAAGGAAUAAGAGCUGAUACAAGGGAUGCGAAGGAGUUUCUAAAGCAGUCAAGUAUCAAUUAUUUUAAUUCUCGUAAAGGCAAUUUUCUUCUUCUAUGAGUUAUACUCGUCUUUCUAGGUUUAUGGAAAAACAUGGAGCAAAAGAUAGUGCUUAGAUAAACAAAUGUAGACAUACUUUUAGACACUCGUAAAAGCAUAGAGAACAAUUAUUUUGAUCUUCAGUAGAAUCUUAAUAGGUAGAAUUUUAACUUAAAUAAAUAUGGUAUCUUGUCCAAACAAGCCAGAGAUAUGUUGGCAAUACAAGUGUCUAUUUUUGCUUCAGAAUUUUGUGAUCCUUGAUAUUUUCAUAAUUCUUUAAGCAUUAAAGUAGUGGAGGUCUUGGUGUGCUCCCAAAAUUGACUUUUGCAGUGAGGAAUGGUACUACCAUCAGUUUUUGGGAUGAUUAUUGGUCUGGAGAACAACCGCUGAAGGUGAAAUUUCCCUCUUUAUCUCGUAUUGUGUUUACACCGUCUGCUACGGUGAGUGAUUCUUAGAUAUACAUAAUGGGAGGAUCAGUUGGAAUAUUGUUUUUGUCAGAGAUUACAGGAUUGGGAAUUGGAUGAUUAUGCGCUAUUUUUGACUUCUUUGUACAAGUUUCGCAUCAAGACAGGAGAGGCAGACUGUAGUAGGUGGAGAUUGACACGGGAUGGGAUUUUCUCAGUUGGCACUUAUUUUAGAUCUUUAUUGGGUCUUGUGCAGAGUUCAUUCCCCUGGAAAUCAGUGUGGAAAUGUAAAUUGCCUCCACGGGUUGCAUUCUUACUUUGGACGGUGGUCAGGGGACACGUGUUAACGAUGGAUAAUCUACGAACAAGAUGUUUAUGUUACAAAGUGGUGUUAUAAGUGUCGGAGGGAUGGGGAGACGAUUGAUCACUUGUUUCUCCAUUGUGAUGCCGCUCGUUUACUGUGGCACAAUAUUUUGGCAUCACAACACAUGGAUUAGGCGAUACCGAGGCGUAUGGAAGACGUGUUAAAGGCAUGGAGGAAAAAUUUCGCGACAAGGAUUACAAGCUUGCAUGGGACCUUAUUCCGGGUUACAUUGUAUGGUGUAUGUGGGAAGAAAGAAAUAGCCGCUGCUUUGAUAAUCAAACACGGACAGUAGAGCAAAUUAGAGAUGUUUUAUUUCACAUUGUAUACGUGGUUUAAUGCUGCAGCUACUAGGCAUAUAGAUGGGUUGCACAAUUUUAUGUUUUUCCUUUCUGCUUUAAAUUAAUAAUACACUUCCCGUGUAUUAUGCAUUGAUUAAUAAAAUAUUUGAUUACCUUUCAAAAAAAAAAAUUCAUAUUGGAUCUGCAAUUUGGAUGACUAUAACAUUAAUAUGUAGAUUGAAUUUGGAUGAUUAAUAUUUUUUAUUUCGUAUUGUAUAACAUUUUUUGUAACAACCCAGGCCUCGUACCCAAGUUGUUUUCUCAUGUACUUCCACUCCGUGAGAGUCUAAACCUAUCUGACUUCUCACAAAUUUCUAUAACGCCCUCAGGAUUCGAACCCAAGACCUCUGACUUAUGAGAGACUUAAACUAAAUCAAGGCACAAUGCUAGUGACAGGAUUUAGCUAAAGUCUCUCGUAAGGCAGGGGUCUCGGGUUCAAAUCCUUGAAGACAUGACAAAAUGUCUUGAGGAGUAAGAUAGAUUCAGGCUCUCCCAGAGCAAACAAUACGUAUGAUAUAAAGACUUUAUUAAAUUUUUUAUUAUGUAGGUUGAAUUUGCAUGAAUUUAAUAUUUUUCAUUUGUAUCGAGUUUGCAAUAGCAUUUUUCAUAUGUUGAUUGAAUUUGUUUUAGAUAGCGAAAAUGAUCCAACCUCAAAUGCGCCAAUCUUUUCAAAUUUUAUUGAAAUUGCCCCUAUAUUAAAUUAGACCAUCAAAGUUUUUAAUAAUGGCCAAUCAAGUUCAUCAAAAAAAAUGGCCAAAUGUGAAUUAGGCCCCCGACAAAAAAAAAAAAAAUUGUGUUCCUUGUGUGAUUCUGUUUAAAGCCCAAAACCAACCAACCCAACUCAACAACCCCACCCAACCUUCAUCAGUUAGGGUUGAGUUGAGUUUUAGACUUGUGGGUGGGUUGGUUCUGCUCAAUUUCUCAUGAAACUGAACGUGUUGGGUUAGGCCCAUUUUUUGGGCCUAAACCAACCCAUGCUCACCCAAGGUGCACACCACAAAAAUCAAAUAGCAUCGAGAUAUAUAAGCAAUAAUGAGCAUGCAUACAAUAUGCACUGUUAUUGAUGCUAACAGACUUCAUGAUAACUACUUAAUUGGACGUGCAAAUAGUAUUUGCAGUCAGGAGAAUAUACAAAAUCCUAUACUUAAUGAUCAAAUCGAGACAUCGAGGAUGUACAGUCAUAGUCAAGACUUAUGAAAGAUAGCUCUUAUAUUAAUGUAAACUGUUAUAUCUAGGACUUAAGACUAAAUAACAUCAAAGCGCGUCAUCUCAUUACUCUUCUAUUGAUGAAUACAUACAUGUAUAUAUACACGAAGCAUAAAGAUGAAGAAUGUAGCUUUAUAUUUGUGUGCAUACCUGUACUUCACUGUGAUUUUGAGCAUUAUAUUUGUGUUCACGUGUGUAAAGAGAGGGAGAGCGGGUCUAGUACUGUGAAUGGUUGACAAAUGAACAGACUGAAAGGAUUUUGUGAAUAAGAGAGAGAGAGUCUGCAUGACAACUCGAAAGAAAAUAUAAGGAUAAACACAAUCUUCAUAAAGAAUAUCCAAAAAUCAUUACGUGUUAUUCUACUUUUUGAAAAUAAAUUAUACGCAUCUUAAGAAAUUAAUCAGGUGUACAUUUGCAUUUAUCUUCAAAUUUAAUAAAAAGUUGUUUCAAGCGAUAACCAACAUUGUUUUAAUUGAUUUACCAUUAUUAAAACUGAGUAUUAACAAAUUUCCAUAUAAAAUGUGCACCUUGUCAUCCGCGCCACCUUCAAAUUAACCUAUUUGUGCAUGUGCAUUGCACAUCGACUAUACUAGUUGCUGCGUAUUAGGAUUUAUGACAUAAGGUUUUGUGUUACGCUCACUGUUAACCUACCACAACCCUCCUCUUUGCUCAGUUUUGCAACCUACUAUGAAAUACAUAGACACCAUUCUAGUUAUAGUGAUUUUUUUAAAUUUAACAAUUAAAAAAUAAUUAUUGAAUAGGAAAAUUAAACAAAAUGCUAAAAAACCAGCAAAUACAUUUAUGAUGUAGUUGAAAAAAGUGCAUGUAUACACAUUAAUUGCACAGUAGAUGAAUCAAGAUUAAAGCUGAAUAAAGAUCAAUUACCUGUAGACUGCCCAGAAGGUGAUGAUGCCAUCCGCAGGUGGUGGUGACAGAAGAAACAUAGGUUGAAGUGGCUAUGGAGCAGGCACAGAUUGCUGCACAGAUGCAGUCGUAUUGCCCCCAUUUUUAGUGUAAACUUCUUUCCUUCAUUACCAUGCCCAGUUUAUUGGGGAAGAUUUAUGUCUUUGUUAGCUAAUGCUUAAUGGGUUCAUUGCAUAACAUGCAUAAUUAGAACUACAUAAUGAACGGAACAGAAAAUUGUACAAUAGAAAAAUUCUGAGAUCAAUUUUAUUAUUUAGAGAUACAUUCAUAAAUUUAUCAAAUCUAUAUUUUCGGCUCCUCCAUCAGAUUUGAUAAGUUCUUUUUUCCUCCCAAUUCGACUUCCUACAAUGUUCACAAAUAUCUAUAGUAGAGUUUAUUGAUUGACUAGAUUUACACUGUGAGGAAUAUGAUUUAACAGUGACACCACCUAUAAUACUUUCCAUUUUUGUCAGUGAACUAAAGUACUGAACUUCCUGCUAAUUGCCUUCCUGAUAUUUCUCACUUUCCAAUUUCAGAAGUUUCAAGUUUUCGUAGCAGUAUGAUAUGCAUAAAAAUAUUACUAACUAAAAGUACUAUGGCAAGUAAGUCAUAAGCUUGUCUGAGUUCCUCUACACUAAAUAUGGAAAAAUAUUAAACUGAAACAGAAUCUUGAAGCUAAAUUAAUUAAAGACAAUUAAAGUAUUACAUUUAACAUGCAAUUUACAAAAAAAAAAAAAAAGAAAAAAAAAAUGAACCUGUGUAAUUUGUCUUUUUUUCUUUAAAAAGAAUUAAGAGAGCAGUCUACUGCCAUUUUAAGUAAAGAACUAAGCUAAAAUUGGAGUACAAAGAGCAAAUCAAAACACAAUCUAAACAGUUCUUAUUCAAACAAAAUAGUUACUCAUGAAAGUCAAUGUGCAACGGGGUGUGGAGUAAACAACACAAUCAAAACAGCUAUUACUCAUUCAAAACAGUUACUUUUGGAAGUGCAAGUGCAACACAAGUGCAAACUACCAGGAAAAGGAAAUAGAGCAUUAAAUUGAAAUACGUCAUCUAAAAUUUCAAGAUGAUAGAGAGAUUAUAUAGUUAUUUACUUAUAUUUUAUGGAAACAUAUUUAAGUUUUCCACCAAAAUAAAUUUAUGAUCUAGUAAAGGUAAAAUUGCCUCUUAAUAUAGGAGGUUCAUGGACUAAAACAACUAUGGAAGCAAAUAGUUUCAGGAAUUUUUCAUUGCAUCCUUCAAGUUUCAUUUCAGGAAGCAAUGAUAAUUCUAUUAGUAGACUGUGAAGGAGUAAAGCCAAUCAAAGAGUAAUGUUUGAGAUAUAUGGGGCACGUGCAUACCUCGUGCUAUGUCUGUGCUAAAAGUUAUUUUCAGCACUAGGGUUACAUUUGGAACUCUGCUAAGAAGCAUGGAUUGGAAUGGGGGCCGUGAAGCACACUAUUCCCGAGGCAGAUGCCUCAUUGAAUGAGAAGCACACCUCAAGGGGAGUGAGGUGUGUGCGCAGUUUUUCCCAGGAAUGACCUUUUUUUCCUUUUUUAUCCUUCUCUUUUUUAUCUGAACAUAAAUUUUAAGGAAUAUGAUGUUUGUCCAGACUCAAAGACAAGGGAAAAAAAAAAGAAACAAACUGACUUGGCAACAGAUGAUUGGAUGUUUGUAGUUUUUAUUUUUCAAAUAGUUCAAUUAUGUGUUAACAUAUUGUAACCUGUUUUUUAGCCUGUUUGUGUGCAUAAUUCCAUUUUUAAUUUGGCCCAUCAAUUCUUUUACUUGUUUAACCUAAUCAACCCCACACAUCACCAUCCCCGAAACAUUCAAAGCUUACUCAAUAAGAUUUCAAGGCAGCAAACUCCGGCAUUCUGAAAAAAUCCAGCAGGUAUUUAAAUUUUUUUUUUUUACCCGUCCUUUUUUCAACAUUUCAUCUUUAUUUUUUAUAAAAUUAUAUUAUGGGUGGUUUCUUUAUUUUGGCGUUAGCUCUAUAGAAAAUUUUCAAGAUUAUUUAUGGUUUAUUAUACCUUAUUAUACCUUUAUUUUAUAUUAUUGUACAUUAUUUGAUUUAUUUUUUUUUGGUUUGCAGAGAGGCUUAGGCCUCACUUCACAACCUAGUUCCAUCUUUUUAAACAUUCAAGGAAGAGGUAAAAAUUAAUGAUUCCGACACCCAUUCAAGAAUCAUCAUGCCUAACAUGGAGUAAUUGACACCAUAUCACCAUAUUGAAAUUCUGCAGUGUUCCAACAUCAAGUCAUAUCAUAAGCCAAUGUCAUUUACAACUACAUAUCGCAAAUAUGCAAACACUGCAAUUUUCUUAUAUAAUUGUUGGAACAACUAUGCAUUGCUCUUAUGUAAACAAUAUGCAUUACUCCUCGUGUUCCCACUUGCAACUAAUUCAUCAAUUUUUCUCUCCUAUGACAAGUGAAUUGUCAUAAUUGCAUACCCGAAGUUAAUGUCAAUAUCUUCCAAAAAAAUUAAACAAAGCCCAUUACCCAAUUGAGACAAACCAUCAAACACUUCAUACACGAGUGUAACAGAAUCUAGAGUGAUACUUUCAAUUACUAUUGUGAAGAAUCCAGAUUUUUUCUAUGAGCUACCAAGACAAGAGUCUAUGACUAAAUAACAAUUUAAUUGUCUUUGCUACUAUGUAACAAAAGAACACAAGCAAAUCAGUAAAUAGGUUCAUACAGGCUUUUAUCCACCUUGUAAAUUUAACUACUCGCUUCCAUCCUGGGAGCACUUUUGCAUUUAAUCACAUGUAAAGUUCAAAAACAAAUAUGUUUUUGACUUCAAUUUGAAAUAAUCCUUGUCUUCGCAUACAAUUUUAAUUAGAACAACGGAUCCUUAAAAUAAUGGGAUAACUUAAUCAUGUCGAGGAAACGUCUAAUGCAAUUCUUAGAAGGUAAGGGGAGAUAGAAGUCAAAGCAAAUGUUUGCAUAGUAACUCGUCUCUCCAAGAGGAAGUGGUAGAUGUGGUCAUGGAGCGAUGCACUGAACCAUGUUGGUGGCCUAAUGUCAUCCUCCUCUUCUUUCCCUCCUCUUAUUGACCAUUGCUUCUCAUUAUCCCUAUGUAAGAGCAUCUCCAAGAGACCUUUUAAAAGUGAAAUGUGAUAAGCCCCCAAUCCCCAUAUUCUGUUGCUAGGGAAAGUAGUUAGGCAGAUUUAGCUAAGAGGCUAUAAAUAGAGGUAGAAGGAGAGUCUAGAGAGAGGCAUUAAUUUAGUCGUAAAAGAGUCCAGUUAAUUUCUCUUGUUUCUGUUCCGUAAUUCCAUGCACAUCAAUACCAAGUUCUAUAAUAAUUGUUCCAGUUUCCUUUUCUUCCAGUUGAGUCUUAACAAAUUGGUACCAGAGCGAGCAAUUUUGAUGGCCCAAAAGAAGAUAGAAAUCAGAGUGGAAGCUAUGGAGACGGAGAUGAAGCGAUUGAAAUCUGAGAUGCAAUGCUUACCAAAAUUGGAAAGGUCUGUGGAGCACCUCAUACAGAGCAUGGAAAAGUUGCUGCUGUCCAUAGAAGAAACCCAGAAAAAUAUGGUUGCCUUGAUUUUCCGUAAGGCAACAAUGAACCAGGGUACUCAAUGAAGAUAUAUUCAGAAAUUUUAUGGAAGGGGGCUACCUCCUAGUGUCCACUAGGGACUCUUGAUGGAUCAACAGCACAAGACAAAGGAAAAGAGUCGAAAGAAACAAGGAAGGCCAGCGCCGGAGGAAUUACGGUCGCUUCUAAUCAGAUUAGAGAUGGUGGUAAUUGGCAGAGUGUUUGGAAGCUUGAGAUGCUUGAAGUCCUAGCUUCUCCUUCUAAGAACAUCAUCGCAAGACAAGCUGGAAAAGACGAAAACAUCGACUCAUAGAUGGAAGGAGAAAUAUGUCAUGGGCUAACAUAUAAGGCUAAAAUUUAUAUUACAAUUAAAUGCAUUCAAAAUAUUCCAAUUUUCAAUGCUCCAUAUAUUAAUCCAAUUAAAUAGUAAUACAAAAAUGGAGGGAAAAUCAUAUUAUAAUUUGGAGGGAAGCUAGUGAAAAUAUAAGACAGGGAAAAAUAAUAAUUACAUAUUUGGAGUAGUAAAAAUUAAGUGUUAAAGAUAAAGAGAUUAUUAAAGUAUUUAGAAGUUUUUACUCUCUAAAUUUAUAGAUGCUCUUUAAAUUGCAAAAUGUGCUCUUCAAAAUAGAUAAUCUCUUGUAGAUGCUCUAAAUGUACUUCCGUUCACCGGUUUGGGCUGUUGGGCCUCAAUCAUCAUCUUUUUACAGAGUUAAGUAACAAUUGACAAUGGAUAAUUCUCCAUACAGUCUAUGGAUUCUUUCCUAUUUACCUUUUACUUCUAAUUAUACAUUUUUGCAAUGAUACGUCUUUUUCUAAAAGUAGAGAAAGCUACAAUCACCUAGUGAUCAGAAAGAAAGAUGCAAAAACCAUAAUGUCAUCAUUUCAUUAUAUUGCUCCAGUGUAUUCCCCGUUCUGUCCUUUUUUAGGAAUCGAAUGUAAACCAUUAAAUCUGAGCUAAGGUUCACAUUUGGUGGCUGGUGAGUCUAAAUAUUGUGUUCAACUGUCCCAAAGAAAUUAACAUUUGUUAAAUCAAAGAACAUUUUUUAGACUAUAUAACUUCUCUACAACUUUUCAAUGUAAGCUAUGGAAUUGAAUGAUGAAGUGUAUCAAGAUAAACAAAAUGUGCAAAACUGAUCAUCGGCAGUGAGUCUUCAAGGCUAAAGAUGGUGCAUUUUGUAGAAAGUCAUCACGCAUUCUAUGCAGUGGAAAAAUAUUAAGCAUCCAAAUGGCACUGCAUAACUAUUUUAUAGUCUGCUUGCGCUCUUAACACUAAACUAGGGCAAGGUGAUAGAUGAUUACAAUAAAAGAUUAUAGUAAAAUGAAAACGUAGCUAUGGCACUCCAGGUGCUUGGCUAAAUCAUGAUGGUGAUCAGAAUUUGAAAGGAAUAAAUAAGAAUGCUAUAGUAGUCAGGUGUAAGCAGGUAGAAAUAGUGCAGAUUCAUAUGCAUGUUGGAAAGGCAAAGCUAAAAUGUGUGCUUGAACAGUCAUCACCAAUAGAUCACUUUCAUGUGAAAAUGAUUUGGAUUUCAAAUUGGAUACACAUACAAGAAGGAUGCUCCCCAUUAAUUCAACUGGGGAUGAUUUUUACUUCAGUGAAGAAGAUUUGGCAUCAACUUAAAGCACACAGACUUCAUCAUAUUCAAAUUAGAGUUCAUAAAAAUCACAAUAUAUAAAAAUCUUAGGCUGUAAGGUGGGCAAACUUUCAAUUUCCUGAAACAGCAAUGAAAAAACAUUCGGCAGACAGGUUUCAGAUUAGAUUCUCUGGUUAUAAAUCAAAAAAGAUAUGAGCAGUCUAACGACCUCUGUUGGCACGACGCCGUCUCUGAGCCUGCUGAACAGAAAGGGGGGGUCGCCUGUUGUGUGCCUACAUGUUAAAAUGAUAUAAUCACGAUUAGAUUUGCCCCUUUACAAUAAUAAAGUUUCUUUCACUUCAAUUUUGAAGAGAUGGUCAAGUUUAUCUUAGUAUCCAUUUUACAACUUAAAUAAUUUCUGAGCUAUGAUUAUCUUUCAUUUCUUUCUCAUUUACCUUAGACUCCCUUUAGAUUACGGAUGCCAUUGAGAAAGUAAAAUCUUCUCUCUCCAAAUUUGUCAAUAAAUCUUGACAUAAAUUUAGUAGCACGUCAAAAUGGUCCAGGUAAUAGAUCAAAUUAUGUGAGCAAUACACAAUAUUUACUUUAUGAGUAAUGUUAUAGUCUUGAUAGAUUCAACAAUCUCGAGAUAAUUAAAUUAAAGAUUAAAUGUGAAUGUUCAUCUAAAUGUUUAUUCAUAGUAAAAUUACAUUAAGAGCAUGUUUGGUAGAGAUUAUAAUCCAAUUAACAUCAAUUUUUUUACCGUUAUUUCACUAUUCCAGCCGUUAUUUUUGAAUUCUUCUCUCACAAGCAGGACCCACUUUAUCUCUAACGGUCAAAAAAUCAAUUAAAAAAAUCCCUACCCAACAAGCACUAAAUAAAUUUUAAAUGUGAACAUUCAUCUAAUAUUCUUAGUGAAACUACAUUCGAAGAGAGUCAUAUACAUAUCUCCGGCAUCCAUGCAUGAGUUAAUUUCCAUAAUGAUGAUUUUGGUGAGUUCCAAUUGCAUUAAGAGUGCAUUAUCAUGCAUCUUUAGGAACCAUAGUGACGAUUUUGGUGAGUUGAAAUUGUAUUAGGAGAGCAUUAUCAUGCAUCUUUAGGAAAGAAGAGACACUGACUCCAAUUUGUGUCACGAAAUGGCAAGAAGAACAUUGAACCGCUGGUGCUCCAUGUUGGUACAUAAGUAAAACUGCACAACCCCCACAAUUAACUUGUCCAAUUUGAUAGGCUGCAAAAACAAAGAUGAAAUCCUAAAUCACAUGAGACCAAGCCAUCACAAGACCCUAGUUAGCAAUUCAGACACAUCAACCUGAGAUUUAAUGCACGAAUCCAAAAAUUUUUAAGGAAGUCUUCUGUUCUUCUGUUUAUUUUUUUCUAUCGCUCGCGUAAAAGUGAAGCAUUUUAGCACGUCAUGGCAUGGAAAAUUUGGUGGCCCUCAAUUACAAAGACAUGCAAGAAGAUCCCCUUUACUUCAAAAGAGAGGAUCCAACAUUUACUAUUCAACCUAAGGUAGCGGUUUCACACUUAACUGGUUUUAUACUGUAGUUGAACUCGUUAUGCACUAUUCAUCACCAAAAAAAAAAGUUUUCUGGAAAUAAUAAUGAAAUAUGGCAGCAUUAUUGCUGUCUUUAUUGACUUUAUAGAACCAUUUGCUAACGGUUACUGUAGCUUCAAUUAAAAAAUAUCAUUUCACUUCGUUAGAUGCUGUAGCUUCCAGAAAUGAAAUUAAUGAGACCACUUUAUUGCCUCCAUUGUUGACUUACACAAGUGAGUUACUAUAGCUGUCCCUUCCAAAAAAAAAAAUUCUUCUCGUGCAUCAUGAGAGAGUGAGACAAAUUAUGGCAACGAAUUGUAGGAAUUUUUUUAUCAUGCCAGUUACUAUUCGUUCAGAAAGCAUCUCAUUAUUGCCCAUUUGACCCUUACAUGCAUACCGAUAAGUCAUUCACUCCUAACCGGGUAAAGCAUUUUUUUUCCCUUGGAUAAUUGAUCUUGUGUUUUAUAUCAUAUAAUAUUUUUAUUAUAAAAAUUGUCACGAAAAAAUAAUAAAUAUUAAUAAAUAAUUAAUUUUUUUUAAAGAAGAAAAACGAGUUAUACGUAUUUUUUAAAACAUACGUUUGAUGUACGUUUAACUAUUUUCGAUAUUCAUUUAGAUCAUUCAAUGCUUCUAUGACAUAGUUCUCAAAAUGAGUUUCGAGAUAAUAUAGAAGAUAUAUGCAUUCGACUACCGUACAAUCGUCAAUGAAUUUAUAAAAUUAGCAUGUUAUCAAAAUUCUUAAUUUUUUAAAUGAUGUCUAUUUUAACAUUAAAAAAAUUUAAAAGUUUAUUAGGAAAUUUUCUAAAUGACGUCAAAAAUUAUUGUUACGAAAAAAUAAUAAAUAUAAUUAAAUAAUUAAUUUUUUUAAGGAAAAAACUAGUUAUACGCAUUUUUAACACACAUUUGAUGUACGUUUAACUAUUUUCAAUAUUCAUUUAGAUCAUUCGAUAUGUUUAUGAUAUAGUUCUCGAAAUGAGUUUCGAGAGAAUAUAGAAGAUUUAUGGUAGAUUUUUAUAAAAAUAAAUAAAUAAAUCACUUAGUGAAAAAAAAAUUUAACCAAAAAAAAAAAAACAAUAGAGCAACUCCACGCAUCACGAAGCAAAUGCUCCGUGAUGCGCGGAGCAAUUUUGCUCAUGGCAUCCAGGAGAAAUUGCUCCGUGCAUCACGGAGCAUAUCCAUUAGGCAACUUUUUUUUUAUAUAUAUAGAUGACGUUCAGUGUCAAAAUUUAUUUUAUUUUUAUUUUUUAUUAGGUGAUUUAUUUAUUUAUUUUUUUUUAAAUCUAUUAUAAAUCUUUAUAAAUAUUCUAUAUUCUUUCGAAGUUUAUUUCGAUAACUAUAUAAUAGAUACAUCGAAUGAUUUAAAUGAAUAUCGAAAAUAAUUAAACCUACAUCAAGCAUGUAUAAAAAAAUGCGUAUAGCUCGUUCUUUUUUCUUUUAAAAAAUCAAUUAUUUUAUUAAUGUUUAUUAUUUUUUUGUGACAAUUUUAUCAAUAUAAUUUUCUUUUUUCCUUGGUGAUUGAUAUAUUUUUUAUACAAAUCUAUUUUACCCUUAUUUAAUAUGACACGGAGUAUAUUAAAUCAUGUAUAUUGUUUAUUUCCUAAAAGUAGUUGUGAUAAAUCAAAGUAAAACUUAACACAAUAUUGAAAAAAAAAAUACUCAAUCAAAAAAAUAUCGAUUAAUUUAUUUGACGAUACUGAAUAUUUUAGAUGUAUAUAAAUUUUGGAGGAUUAAAUUCAUAUAUAUCAAAAUUGGGUGAUUAAAUAAAAAUCUCAACCCCAUUUAAGUGACAAAACAUUAUAUUGUGGCUCAGCUUGUGUUUGACUCCAUUAAUUUUUUCUCAUUUUUCUCUCUUUUAUUUUCAAUCGCAGAAUCUUCUAUAAAAUAAUAUUAUACAUAAAUAAAAAAAAAUUCAUUAAAUCGAUUGGAUAUUGAACAAUAAAAAAAAGAUUCGACUAAUUACACGAUUUAAUUAUAUUGAAUAGUUAUCAUCAAAUAAGUCCUUUAUAUGUAAAAUAACCACUCAAAUUAAAAUAAUGUUUGAUUUAUGAGCUCCAAUAAUUGUGGUUUUUAAUCUAUGCAUCAAGGAAACAUUUAUCCUAUCCCCAGAAAAUACAUUUCAAUUAUAGCAACACAAAAUUGAUGCCAACUAAUUUUUCAUCUUAAUAUUUUGGGGCCGUUUGAGCCCCAUUAUUUGUAAAUUAUGAGAUAAAUAGUGUUUUUUUUGAAAAAUGAAUGGUUGAAAAUUUUUGAUUUACGUGUAAUAUUAUUUUAUUGAAGAUUGUGUGGUUAUAAGUAGGAAAGAGAAAAUUUUAAUUUAAUUUAAUGAAAAAUAAUGAGGCUCAAACGGGGGCUUUAACAUCUGAAAACUUUUUAUAUAUAAAAGAAAUUCGAUCAUUUUUAGAAAUUUUUUUCUUAUUGGUAAUUUUUCCUCUCGAUCAAUUAAAUUUUUAAAUAAUCUAAUAAAAUUUUUUACGUCAUUUAGAAAGCUUCCUAAUAAACUUUUAAAUUUUUUUAAUGUCAAAAGUGUGUUAUAUAUGAAGAUUACAUUUCUGUUUAUCAUUUUAAAUAAUUAAUCAAAUUUGUAGAUUUAUUGAGAGAACUGAACAGAUAUUUUGACAUGUUAAUAAUUUAAUAUUACCUAAAAAAAUGACAUAGCCCGUGCAUUGCAUAGGCGGAAAACUAGUAAUAAUAAAAUAUCAGAUGUUAAGAGCACAACAUGUCUCAGAUACUCAAAACUUCAAUUUGCCAUAAACUUCAAUACAAGCAGCCUAUGUAUUAGAGGAUGUCGUGAUGUCGUUACCAUGUAUAACUUGAUUAGAAUUAGGGAUUUAUUUUGAUUGUACAGAAAUUUACUUUCCUUGUAUGUUCCUUGUAUAUUCUAUAAAUUGAAUGGAAUACAUACCAAAGAUUUAUUCAGCAAAAUCGGUUUUAGCAUGGUAUCAGAGCCCUAAUAUUUCUCGUGCGUGUCGCUAGCAAUCAGCUCUUAGUUCUUUAUAGUAGAAUCACGAUCAUCGCCUCUUGCAUUUCCGUCGGCAGUCACCAUCAAUUGGUUUCUUCAUAGUCUGCGUCUUUAUCAUCACUUGGUUUCUUCAUAGUCGGCGUCUUCGCGUUAGCUUCUCUCUGCGUUCCAGUGGUCAUCUUCUCAGUGUGUUACAUCUACGUGGUCGUGAUCCAGUGUGUUCUUAAGGUCAAUGUGUUCUUUGAUUUCUCAGAGAAUCGAACUGUGGUUUCUGUGGUCAGAGCAAAUUGUCGUCUUCGUCGCCUCUGUGAGUGAUUUUCUUGCCUUUGGCCAAUAUGUUGGGCCUUAGUAAAAUUAUUGGUUUUAUUAAAUACUUGUGGGCUUGGGCAAUUGAACUAUAUUGUCUUUAAUUGGAUACUGGUAGAUUUGGGCCAGGGCUUGGACCUCUAAUUUAAGUGGAUAUUUAAUUGGACAAAUUUAAAUUAAUUGGGUUGUGAUAAAUUUAUUGGCUAACAACCAAUUCUCCUCCUCCGUCAAAAUCUUAAGGUCUGAUUCCAGGGGUGAAUAUAUGUCUAACGCAUUUCAAGCUUUCUUACAAACUAAAGGCAUUAUUUCUCAGCAAUCUUGUCCUUCUACUCUUCAACAAAACAGGGUGGCAGAAUGCAAGAAUUGCCAUCUGCUUAAUAUGGUUCGAGCUCUUCUGAUUGAAUCUUCUGUCCCUCUCGAUUUUGGUGUGAAACUUUGUCUACCGCUGUACAUCUCAUAAAUCAGUUACCUUCUCCUACUCUUAAUAAUGUCUCUGUUUUAUAAGCUCUUUGGUCAUCAUCCCUCUAACUCUUAUCUGCGUCCUUUUGGCUGUGUGUGUUGCAUUCGUUUACAACCAGAAGAAAGGACAAAACUCACUCCUCAAUCGGUCAAGUGUGCUUUUUUUGGAUAUGGUGGGACUCAAAAAGGGUAUGUUUGUUAUGAUCCUGAGACACAACGAAUUAGGAUUUCUCGCAAUGUUGUUUUCUUUGAAAAACAAUAUUUCUUCACUUCAGAAACUAUUACUUCCCCGCCUAAGUUUUCUGUCCUACCUACUUUUCCUAUAGAAUUCUCUCAAUAUAAGCUCGGUCUUGUUUACACUCGCAGGCAUGAUGUACAGUCUACUAAUCCCACACUUCUCAGACGACUGUCCCCCACAUCUCUGAUCCUCCACCUACGACAUCAGAUCCUUCACCAGAUGAUUCUCCACCUACGACAUUAGAUACUUAACCGGGUAAUCUCCCACCUCCUGUCAGUCUUUGUCGCACCUCUCGUGUCCCUUGACCACCAGAUAGGUAUGGCUUUUCCUCCUAUAGUUCUAUAUCUACUACUCUUAACUCGAUUUCCAUUCCUUCCUCCUAUAGACAGGCUAUAAAACAUUUGGAAAUAGACGAUGAAUGCAAAACUUGAGGCUCUUGAGUCCAACCAAACAUGGGAUGUUGUACCAUGUCCACAGAAUGUAAAGCCUAUUGAGAGUAAAUGGGUACAUUCUAUCAAACUUCAUUCUGAUGAUUUUCUUGAGCGGUAUAAAGCUCGACUGGUUGCAUGGGGUAAUCGUCAAGAGUAUGGAAUAGACUAUAAUGAAACUUUUGCUCCAGUCUCUAAAAUGACAACUAUCCAUCUUUUGUUAUAGCUUGCCGCUUCUCAAUCUUGGUCUUUACAUCAAAUGGAUGUAAAGAACGCAUUCUUACAUGGAGACCUCGAGGAAGACAUUUACAUGAAACUUCCAUCUAGUAUGCCUCUUCCCUUAGCUAAUUUGUUUGUAAGUUAAAAUGAUCUUUUUAUGGUCUUAAACAGGCUCCUCGCGCAUGGUUUGACAAGUUUCGCCGCACUCUUAUGGAUUUUUUAUUUACUCAGAGUCAAUAUAACGCAUCCUUGUUUCUUCACAAGAGUACUGCUAGCAUUGUUUUUCUAUUGGUAUAUGUGGAUGAUAUUAUUAUUUCUGGAUCUUAUCACAUCCUUAUAAACUUCAGCAACAUCUUCAUUCAAUUUUUCACAUGGAGGAUCUUGGUCAUCUCAAUUUCUUGGUAUAUUCUUAAAUCAACAUAAGUACAUUCAAGAUUUAAUUCGAUUGGCUGAUUUAUCUUAAGCCUCCUUAGUUGAUACUCCACUGGAACUUAAUGUUAUAUAUUGAAAAGGCGAAGGUAAUAUCCUUACAGAUCCUACCCUCUGAUGGAGGUUAGUAGAUAGUCUCAUCUAUCUUACUAUAACUCGUCCAGAUAUUUCAUUCGCAGUUCAUACUGUCAACAAAUUCAUAGAUACCCCUCAUUAUCUUCAUUCGGUAGCUAUCUGCCAUAUUAUCCGAUACCUUAUUGGGACCCCUCACCUUGGUCCGUCCUUCCCUGAGGGAACGUCUCUUGAGCUCACGGCUUAUAGUGAUGUUGAUUGGGCAGGUUGCCCUGACUCUUGUCAAUCAACCACUGGGUGGUGUAUCUUUCUAGGUGAUGCUCUCAUUUCUAGGAAAUGUAUGAAACGGGAUAGUGUUUCUAAGUCCUCCACUGAGGCUGAAUAUCGUGCUAAGUCAGCUGUGUGUUCUGAGAUUGUAUGGUUGCAUGAUCUUCUAACAGAGCUUGGUAUUUCACAAACAAAGCCUACCUCGCUUCAUGGUGACAACACUAGUGCCAUUCAGAUUGCAGUCAAUCCUGUGUACCAUUAACGCACCAAACAUAUUGAGGUGGACUGCCAUUACAUUCAGGAUGCAUAUGAUUCUAAGAUAAUCACUCUUCCCCAUAUCUCAACUACCCAACAGGUUGCAGAUAUCUUUACCAAAUCAUGACUCAUCUUCGUCAUGAUUCUCUUGUUCGCAAAUUGAUGCUUGUGGAUUCCCCAACACCAAUUUGAGAGGGGGGUAUUAGAGGAUGUCGUGAUGCCAUUACCAUAUAUAACUUGAUUAGAAUUAGGGAUUUAAUUUGAUUGCACAGAAAUUUACUUUCCUUGUAUAUUCUAUAAAUUGAAUGAAAUACAUGCCAAAGAUUCAUUCAGCAAAAUCAAUUUUGGCACUAUGUACUAUACACACAGAUGAAUUAGGUCAGCUAGUCCCCCCCAAACAAUGUUAUAGUUGUGGACAUCAAUUCAGAAAAAAAAAAAUAAUGAUGCCCAAUCCAAAAAACCACAAGUCCAAUGAGACAAAUGUACUAGAGCUCCAAUUAGGCUGACCAUUAGUAUGACAAAGUCACCAAAGAUUAAAGAAACAAGAUUUGAGUAGUCAUCACUACUGGAAAUUAAGAUACACAAGUAACAUUGGACAUUCUCUUGAGGAGGAGGAGGGAGUAAAUAUGUGAUUGAGCUUACAUGUUAAUAAAUAAAGACCUUGGAAUCAAUGCAAAUUAUAGAUUUCAAAAGAAUGUUCCACUGAAGGAAUUAACUUCAUAACAGAUUGACGAAUAUUUGACUUAAAAACAAACAUAUAAGUAAUAGGAGACAGAAAACCUUCUAGGACGAGAUUGACUUCCUGGCAACCAGGACAUUGGACCCAUUUUGCUCCUCGCGGGUACAAAAGCAAUUUCCGGCAAGUUCCACAAACUAAUUGAGCCUUUUCUGCAUCAGCAUAACAUAGAGGCUAUGUAAGUACAAGUAAUGAAUCCAGAGCCAGAUUUCCAGAGUCAUAGCCAACUAUCGAUUUCAAAUAUUCCAAAUGUGAAAGAAUAAAAUAGAGGAAAACUAGGUGCAGUAGCAACAGGUAACAACAUUAGAUACAUAUAUUUAUAGGAGGCAGCAUCUCACUGUUGUCUUGAAUUAAAUUGGAUUACUAGUUACAUCAGCUCUGCUACAAAUUAAUUUAAAUUAUGAGUAAGAAUAACUUUUCUGUUUGUUGUUCAUGCCUCCAAUAGAAUCAGGAAAUUACAUAAGAUGACAUGUUUAGCAUAUUACAAACUUUUUUAUACUCACAAAUACGAAAUGCGUCAAACAGAAAUAGAAAAAAUAACGAUGGGGUUAGUAGAUUAGAAUUAAAGAUAGUUUAAUUUACAUUAGGCCUAUUUUAGUUUGUUAUAGUUUUCUAGUUUGACUAAAGCUAGGGUUUUGUUUUAUAAAUUUCCUAGUUUGACUUAAAUUAGGUUUUAUUUCCUUUGUAUCCUUCUUAAAUUAGGUUUGCUUAGACUCCAUAUAAAGAGGGUCUAUUCAUUGUCAUAUUCAAUCUUCAAUAUUGAAACUGAUAUUUUCCCUUUCUAGAAUUUAUCUAUUCUCUUCUCCUCCUCCUCCUCCUCCUCUUCCUCUUUCUCCUCUCCUUUCUGUUCUCUUCUUCCCUACUUUCCCCUUCUUGUACAAGUCUCGGUAUUUGUUCGUUGCGAUCUACAUCAAUUUGGCAUAAGAGUUUCGGCAUUUUCCUUUGACUAAAUAAUUUUGAAAAGUUUUGAUCGAUAUUCAAUUUCGAGAGAUCACAUCAAAUAAUAUGCAAGAAAAUUUUCAGUCACCAGGGAAAUUGUUGCUGAUUAAUUACAUAGUACAAAAUUCACUGCAAAUCAGAAAGUAUUUUUUCCUUCACAGUGUUUGUAUUAAUUCUGAUCAUCCAACUUGGAGAAUCCAAUCGCAGGCUUUGCAAAAGCCCAUUUGUGGCGUUCAAUCACCCACCGAACCCACCCAAGCACCAAACUUGGAGCCCAAAUCAUUUACCCACAAUGAUAGAUCAUAACCAUCAGCUAAAUUAGCCCAAUUUAGUCAGGCUCAUUAACCCUGAUCCACUACAAAACCAACAACGAUAACCCCCGACCCAUUUGGCCAAGUCCAAACUACAGAAAUCAAGCCCAACAACCCAACCCACCUUCAUCCACCCAUAGCAAAAACACCCCACCAAACCUUAAUCUCCACCUGCAACCAUUUUACCCCCGUGCACCACCACUCACAAACCUCUAUUAUUUUUCCCCACCUGCCUACUCAUCUACAUCCACUCACGCACAUUCAGAUUACACCAUCACCAACGCAGUAGCUUCACGAUCUGCUAACCAUUUGCUCUCACAAGCCUUCACUAUCAAUCAAUUAGCAUCACUCUUGAGAGUCACAUGUGGUCAAGUGCAGUUGUGUGGCUUAAAUACUGAUCGGACACUAUGUGCUUAUUGAAUAAACUCAUUUUUUCUCCGUCUAUGUUCUCUUUUGAUUUUUUCCCCUUUCUUGUCUCUCUCCCUUUCUUUUUGACUCUCAUUCUUGUUUAUUGAAUCAUGCGUUGAUUUGGUAUGAAAAAGGUAUAUCUCUUUUGUUAUGAUUUUACAUUACUUUUAUUGUAAGUGUCUGGCUUGCCUGACUUAUAAACGGAAAAUGUUUUUUCCCCAACAAAAAAUAAAAAUAAAAAUAAUUGUUCGAUUUAAUCUUAAAAAAUAUUAAAUCACUUUGACUGACCUUUUGGAGUUUUUGCUCUAUUUUAUGCACGUUCUAAGUGAUAAUUUGCAAAUAUUUAAAAUAACUUACAUUUGCCUCGACGCUUCACUCAGCACCAUGCACAAUUCAUAUAGCAACUCUUGUAGCCUAUAAGCCCUAGUCAGAACCAAGAUAGCAUGCAUUCAUCUUUUUCCCUUCACUGAUCGGUUUAGCAACUAAAAAGAAAAAGCGUAAAAACAUCUCCUUCUUAUAUUCACAUUUAACUAUGGAAAUUCUUCUUAAGAGCCAUCCUCAAGCCUCCCAAAAAGAGAAAAUUCUCUGAUAAAUAGUCCUUACGCCGACAUUAGCAGCCCAUUUCCGAAAUGAAAGGGGUGAGCGACACACCUAUUACCAUUACCAUCCCAAACAAUGUCAACACAGUUGAAUUUGGUUUAGAAUGCCUCUCCAAGCGAGAGUUGCUUCCAAUUAAUAGUGUGAGCACUUCUGAUUACAAAGCUAAAUAUCAGCCACUGCAACAAUCAUGCCUAUCAUCCCAAUAAUCAUGUCUAACUAAGAAAAGACAAUGUACAAUAAUUAUACUCAUUACAUAAAUCAUUCCAUAAUUAGACUAUAUUAUAUCUCCUACUCACAUCCCUCUGAAAUUGAUGCUAGUCGAUCAAGAAGCAUCAAUUGGAUUUCUUUGAAAAAAUGUCAGCUAUUGGAAGGGCAGUGAAAAUGUGAGAAAGAGUAACGAUAUGAGUAUCCAAUGCCUCUUGAAUAGAAUAACAGUCCACUUCAAUAUGCUUAGUAAGCUCAUGGUAAACAAGAUUAGUAGCAAUCUGAAUAGCACUUAUAUUAUCAACAUGGAGUAGAAUAGGAACAGAUUGAGAAAAACCAAGGUCAGCUAAAAUCCCACGUAGUCAAAUAAUCUCAAAACAACCAGCAGACAUUGCCCGAUAUUUAGAUUCAGUAGAUGACUUAGAGACACGAUCUUGUUUCUUGCUUUUCCAAGAGAUCAGAUAAUCCCCAAGAAACAUGAACCACCCAUAACAAAUCAUCAGGUAUUUGGACAACCUGCCCAAUCUACAUCACUAAAAGCAAUAAGGCAGAGAGGAGAACCGGUAGGAAAAAACAAUCUGUGACUGUAUGUGCUUUGAAGAUAGCAAACGAUACGACGAACGACAGCUAGAUGGAGAUGACAUGGAGUGUAUAUGAACUAACUAACCUGCUAGACUGCGAAAGAAAUAUUAGGCAUCGUAAUAGUUAAAUAAUUCAGGCUCCCCACCAGUUGGUAAAACACAGUAAGAUCGGAUAAAAGAUCACCUUCCUCACUACGAUACUUUGUAUUUACUUCUAGAGAAGUUUCCACAGUAGAUGAAUCAUGAAGACCUGCUUUAAUCAAAUCUUGCGUAUACUUAUGUUAAUUUAGGAAAAUACCAGAGGAAUCAAUGAAAACCUCCUCUAACCAACCCUAAGAAGUAUGUAAGAGAUCCAAGAUCCUUCAUAUGAAACAAGCCUAAAGAUGUUUCUGUAGACGGGUAAUCAAAGCAAAAUCCAUCUCGAUAAUAACAAUAUCCUCAACAUAGAUAAGAAAAACAACAAUACUAGUAGAGCUCUUGCAAAGGAACAAGGAAGAGUCGUACUAGCUCUGUUGAAAUAAAAAGUGAAGCAAGGUAGAUCAAAAUUUGUCAAACCAUACCCAUAGAGCCUGUUUCCACCCGUAUAAUGAGCGCUUAAACUUAUACUUCUAAAGAAGAGGUGGUGGUCAGACAAGGAGGUAGUGUCAUGUAAACCUCCUCUUUGAUAUCUCCGUCAGCACUGUGGUCGUCUUAGCAACCGGAGCAGAAGUCUCCUCAUAAUCUAUACCAUACUCCUGUUUGUUAUCAAGAGCAGCCAACCGUACCUUAUAUCGAUCCAAAGUCCCAUUAAAGCGUAGUUUGAUCGAGUAAAACCCACUUACAAUCAAUAGCUUUAACAUUCUCAGGACAAGGAACAUCCCAGGUAUCAUUGUCCUUGAGUGCACAAAGUUCACCUGCCAUUGCUCACCGCCAGCAUUCAUGUUUUACUGCCUCAAAGAACCAGGUAGGUAUGGGAACGGAUGACAAAAUAGCAUGAAGAGAAUAUGAAAAAAUCCAUUGUGACGACCCGGGUCUCUGUACCCAAGUCAUUAGCUUACGUACUGUCCGCUUUGGGUGGGCUUUGCGCACACUUACCCCUUACGGCUUUUUGUCGCGUCCCCCAAGAUUCUAACUCAUAACAUUUCCCUUAAGUAAGACUUAAGUUGAAUCCCGGUACCAAUUGGACAUGAGGGCUUUCUGUCACGUCCCCCAAGAUUCGAACUCAUAACAUUUCUCUUAAGUAAGACUUAAGUUGAAUCCUAGUACCAAUUGGGCAAACGCGACAGAAAGCCGUGAGGAGUAAGUGGGCGCAAGGUCCACCCAAAGCGAACAGUACAUAAGCUAAUGGUUUGGGUACAGAGACCCGGAUCGUUACAAAAAAAGAGCUCAAUUGGUACCAAGAUUCAACUUAAGUCUUACUUAAGGGAAAUAUUAUGAAUUCGAAUCCUGGGGGACGCGAUAGAAAUCCGUGAGGGGUAAGUGGGCGCAAGGCUUACCCAAAGCGGACAGUUACGUAAGCUAACGGCUUGGUUACAAAAACCCGAGUCGUUACAAUACCUAUUAGGAGGACGAGAAAUUCUGGUAGAACUGCAAAGAUUAGUGUCCGAAUCCAACUCAUUCGUGGAAGGCAGUGUUAGAGCAGCCUCAAAUGGCAAGUCAGGUUCAUGUGGGGCAAAGUAGAGCAUCGUCAUUCAUAUACGAAUCCAGACUUGAACCGUUUAGGAGAAGAAGACAACACAUCAAAGUGUGGAAGGGCAUAUAUCUUUGGUAAAGGUUCAACAUGAGUCGGAAAAAAGUAUUGAUUUUUUAAGAAGACUACAUGACGAGAGAUACGAAAUCUAUUAGAGCAUGAUCAUAACAAAAAUAGCCUUUAUGAGAGACACUAUAACCCAUAAAUGCACAUCUAACAGAUUGAGCGGAAAGUUUGUUUCGUUCAUGAGAAGGAAAAUAAACAAAACAAACGCAAUCAAAGGCAUGCAUGUCAAGGUAGUUGGAAUGCUGAUGAUGCAAGCGAUAAUAAGGAGUUUCAAAUUUGAGAACACUGGAAGGUAAUCGAUCAAUUAAAGACUGUCGUAGAUAGAGCCUCGACCCAAAUUUAGGUGGAACUGAGGAUUCAAGUAAUAAUGUAUGAACAUCUAACGGAUGACGAUUCUUACAUUCAGCAACACCAUUUUGCUCUAGAGUAUGGACGAAUGCUGGGAGACAAUGCCCUUUUGGUGAAGUGAAUCGUGAAACUUUAGAGACAUUCUUCUACUAAAUCAGAUCUUAACACUUUAAUACUCGAAGAGAAUUGAGUUUCAACAUAAGCGACAAAUUGUUGAAAGACAGAACACCUCAGAUUUAGAAUGAAGAAAAUAAAUCCAGAUAUACCUACUAUAAUCAUCAAUGAAUGUAACAAAGUAUUUAUAAUGGGUAAGAGAUGACCGGAGACAUACCCCAUACAUCAUUGUGAAUCAAAUCAAAACUUCUUUCAGCACGACUAUCAUGAGAAGAAAGCGAAAGAGACUUGCCCUUACCUAAUUUGCAUGUGGAAUAAUCAAGAGAAAUAAGAGAUGAAAAUUGAUCUUUAUUGCCCAUCAAUCCAAAGUUUAUUAAAUGAGAUAAAACUACGGAAUUAGGGUGACCCAAACGUUUGUGUCAUAUUUCACCCUUAUUGUUAACUUUAUUAUAAGCCAUGGAAAUAAAUGGUAGAAUGAAAAAGUGCAGAGGAAACAAUCGACCAACUUUAGGCCCCUUCACGAGUAUCUUCCCCGACACCUGAUAGUGCACAAUACAGCCAUCACGAGAAAAUUGAACAUCACAGUCAUUAUCAACCGACUUUAUAGAUAUAAGACUAGUGGAAAGUGCAGGAGAUAGGAGAACAUCUUUAACAGAAGAAUUAAUGUCUCCAUCAUAAAUAGGUAAUUGACUACCAUUAGUAAUCAGAAUGUAUGAGGAUCCCUUAUAUGUCCAAAUAUUGCUAAGAGCAUUAGAAAAACCAAUCAUAUGAUUAUAUGCACCAGAAUCAACAAGCCAUGAUGAUGAUGGUAAAGAAAUGUUACCUUGAAGCCCAAGGACGAAAAGGAUAAAAUAAUCAUUUGCUGGACCAUCUCAAGAGUUAGGACUGAUGAAUUAUUAGCAGAAGAAGUACCAACUGUAGUAUUUAUAUGCACCAGAAUCAACAAGCCAUGAUGAUGAUGGUAAAGAAAUGUUACCUUGAAGCCCAAGGACGAAAAGGAUAAAAUAAUCAUUUGCUGGACCAUCUCAAGAGUUAGGACUGAUGAAUUAUUAGCAGAAGAAGUACCAACUGUAGUAUGAUAGGCAUUAGUUUGACGAUUCUGAGGGUGAGUGGGGCAUUCUUUAAUUUUAUGCCCUAGUUUCUUGCAAUAGUUGCAAUACUUCUUUGCACAGUGGACAGCUCUAUGUCCAUAUUCCUUGCAACUAAAGCAUUGGACCUUCCGCAUAUCUCUACCCUUCCCUUUCCCUUGAGCCGCAUAGGCAACUACAUUAGUUGGUAGUUUGUUUUGCUGUUAAGUGGCCUAUGCAGCAAUAUGUUGCUCCUCCCGAAGUAACUCCCCAAAGCACACAUCCAAAGGAGUUGGAUCGCGAUUCAUCAACUUAGAUCGAGCUGCCUCAAACUCAGGCCGCAACUUCAUCAAAAACUUAUCUCUCUUGCUUUGCUCAUGUAAUUCUUGAACUAUAGCAAGAAGGGCAUCAGGUACCUUUGCAUAAAUCAUAUCAGUAUAUUCUGCCCACAUAUUUUGAAACCCAUUUGCAUGACUUUAACAUUGAGUUUGUUCCGGUAUUACCUUAAGUCAACGAUACUCCUCGGGCUUCUACAUUUUCACAGGGCUCUUAUCCUGGUGCCACAUGUAUCUAAUUGUUUGAGAAAAAGAUGAUUGCUCGCUAAUUUAUAAUUCCUAUACAUAUUUGAUUGUUGUCUACUGAUUAAAUUCACAUUAUCUCCCGUUCGACCACUUGUGCAUAGUUCCAUGAUGAUAUUUAAAAGAUUGAUUAUUUUAAACAACAGAAAUUAUGAUUACGUACAUGGUAGGCACAUAUCAUAUAAUGGAGAUUUUUUUUUCUUUGGUAAGAUAACUCAAAUUAAGAAAAGGUUUUUAUAUAAUUCACUUGAAAUUAAUUUGUUUGACUAGCCAUCGAACUUGAAUAGAAGUUUUGUUUUCAAUAUAAUAGAUUAUUUCCUUAAUUAUGAUUACGUACAUGGUAGGCACAUAUCAUAUAAUGGAGAUUUUUUUUUCUUUGUUAGGUGUUUCUUUGGUAAGAUAACUCAAAUUAAGAAAAGGUUUUUAUAUAAUUCACUUGAAAUUAAUUUGUUUGACUAGCCAUCGAACUUGAAUAGAAGUUUUGUUUUCAAUAUAAUAGAUUAUUUCCUUAUCAUGGAACAUUCGAGCAACCGGUAUUGCACUUAUUUGUUUCUGCAUGCCAGUCUACCGGGCUAGUGUACUGUGCCGCUCAUUAUGUGGAUUCAGUUGUAGUUUUUGUGGAUAAGUUCCAAAGGUUAUUGUUUGAUGUUCACUGUCAAUAUUUGAUCAAAAAGAAAGAUCAUCCCCUUGGUCAGACAAUGUUAUUGAAGAUGAUUUUUGCUUUCAGUUGUCAUCAUAUGGUCAAUAUAUUCAGGAAGAAUCGCUCCUAUGAUGAGAAGUGAUCUACCUUGUUGGAGUUGAAAUCUCUUGGCUGGAGAGAAAUGAUGAGGAAUGAAGAUAAGAAUAUCAUCAGUAGAUUAGGAAUAAAGAUAGUUUAGUUUACAUUAACUUAUUUUAGUUUAUUAGAAUUUUCUAGAUUGACUAAAUUAGCAUUUUAUUUUGUAGAUUUUCUAUUUUGACUUAAAUUAGGCUUUAUUUCCUUCUUUUCCUUCUCAAAUUAGGUUUGCUUGAGGGUCUACUCAUUGUGAUAAUUAAACUUUUAUAUUAAAAAACUAAUAUUUUCUCCCUCUAAAUUUUUCCUUCCUCCUCCUCUUUCUUUUCUGCUUUCUCCUCUUCCUCCCCUCUUUCCCCUUCUACAAGUCUUGUUCUUUGUUCGUUGCAUUCUCUGUCACAUAAACUACAAUCCCAGAUUGUCAUCAUGAAUUUUCAUAGAGAACAACAUAUUUGCAUAUCUUCCCUGGACAACUUGAGCACAGCUUGCAGAUUUCACAAUGAUUUCCGUAAAAGCAGAGUACAAAUUGAACACCAACAGCUAUUUAAAUUUGGAGUAGAGAGGUUGUACUUCUUGUGUGCUUUUCCAUUUUCAUUUCUAUAUGUGUGUCAUGGAGUGAUACGUGGGAUUACCGUGUCUCUAACUAAAGAAAAAGUGAGAUUAUUACGACGACACAAUUUAGGAAAGAUUAAUAAAAAAGUCAGAUAAUAAAAGUCGACAUUAAUUUGAAAUGUGCCAAAAGAACAACAUAAGAGGAAAUGAUGUGCGAAAGUUUACUUUAUGGAAUUAAAAGUAGAGUAUGAGAUGGAGGAAAGACAGUUUAGUAUCACCAAUUCAAUGAGGUGUGUAGGCAUUAUUUGCAUAGUAGAUAAGCCAACAUUAAAACAAGGAAGAUCAAUUACCUGUAGACUGACCAGAAGGUAAUGACAUCACAGGUGGUGGUAGUGGUUGUGAUGGAAGAGUCAUAGGUUGUAGUGGCUGUGAAUAAAGCACAGAUGUAGGUCUUUCGCCCCCAAUCUUAAUGUCAACUGUGCCCCCCAAUUCUUUAUCUGAGAUGCCCCCAUUCAUCGGGGGAGAUUUAUUUCUACUGGUAACUCUUGAGCAUACUAUAAAUAGAAGAACACCAUUAAGAACAAAACAGAAGUUACAAGAAGAAGUAUCUGAGAUCAAUUAUCAUAAACACAUUACGUAUUCACGAAAUGAACUCUUGUGAGAAUGUUAGUUUAAGGUGAACAAUGCAUAAAUUUACCAUAUAUAUUUAGCACACUGCUACACUCGGGGAGAAUUUUCAAAAAGAAACAUGAAUAAAUUUACGAUAUCUAUAUUCAAGGAAAUAUUCUACCCAAUAUGCAGUCAUAAUGGUCGGUCAUCUUAAGGUGCAGUUAAGAUGUAGGUGAAAGGACUUACCAGCAGGUGGUGCUGAUGAUGGCAGCAACUGUGGUGGCGGGAUAGGUGGUGACAACUGUUCUGGCACAGAUUCAGGUCGAGACCCUGAUGGAUGUCCUUCAACAUCAUUUUUUAUUUCUUUUUUGCUCCCCAUUUCACGUCCUACAAUGUUCACAAUUCUUUGGUUAUUCUUCCUAUUCAAUAUCCAAUUUCUAAAUUGUCAUAUCAUUUCACAAUGCCAAAUGGACAAUCGAUAAUUUGCAUGAAGGGGGGAGAAAAUUGCGUGAGGAAGAAAAUUGAGUCAGCCAGAUCUCACCUUUAAAAUUAUUAAAAUGUAUUCUUUUCACUGUCCAAAACCCUAAGUUCAGCAAAUACAUCUACCUCACUCAGCAAAUAAACCCUCAAAAUCUUGCACGUUCGCUCUAACUUGAUAUGCGCAGCAUUUAAAAAAGCAAAAUAAGGUAUUGAGGUGUUUCUCUUUCGAGGCAAGGCACAAGCCUCACCACAAAUCAAAAGAACAAGUAAAAUAUAAAAAAAUGCAAAAUUUAACCAUGUAUCAAACCAUAAACAAACUUUAAAAUUCAUAAACACAAAAUAAAUCAAUGAAGUAGCAAAAUUAAUUUAUUCCCUACUCUUGGUGAGCCUCUUUUGGUUAGAACAUGCAUGCAUGUAUCAUAGGUACAUGACUGUAGUAUUAGUUAAUUGGUGGAAUGUAUUUCUUCAAUACACAUCAAACAUAAAUUCAAGUUUGAUCUUAUCGUAGAAGGGAAGUUAUCUCCUAUUACUAUAUUACUUCCUACCUAACCAAGGAAAUACAAGCAGCAUAACAAUCUCUAAUUCUAUACAUUCCAAAUCCCCGCUCAAGUUGGUACAUAGAUAUCACACAGGCCUAACUUGGAUAGCGAUUUAUGGAAUGAUCCACUAACAACAUUAUGGGUCAUUAUAUCAGCCAGUUGACAUAUGAGCAAUUGGCGCCAACCCAACCUUUUUUAAAUUUUACGUUACACUGCAUCCCUUCGAACUCUACACUCUUAACGUAUAGGACCUAUAUACUCUGGAAGUCGAGGUUACCCUUGACGUAAUUUCUGCUAAGUUCAACAUGCAUGGUUCAAACAUACUGUACCAAGUUAUUAGCUGUCUCAAUAGCUAUAGUGUUAUAACAGAAAAGCACCAUGGGUUUCUUUGGAGAAUCACAGGCUCACUAAGAAGAAUUUUCAACCAUUUAACUUUAGUAGAUGCAUGAUGAAGAGCAAGGUAUUCAGCUUCAGUACUCAAGGGUGAUACCACUUUUUGUUUCUACUCUCUGAGUCCUCAAAUUGCCUCCAAUAAAUGAUACAUGCCAUAAUGUAGACUUCCUAUCAAAUCUUUACCCAACAAAAUCAGAAUGUGUAUAACCCAUAAUAUCUACAUGCCCAUGCUUAGAAAAAUGAUAACCAUGUCUCGAAAAUGUUUUAAAUUUACCAAUAUACGAUUUACUACAUUCUUGUAACAAUCAUUCGGAUAAUGCAUUAAUUAGCUCACAACAUACUACAUAUUACAAGGUGUUCUAUGUAAUAUACAUCAACUUCCAUACAAAUCUUCUAUAUAUCUCUUUCUUCUUUGGAGUUUGAUCGAGAUAAAUAGAAAGUCCAUGAUUUACCUUAAUAGGAGUGUAUUCAGGCUAAGUUUUUGGUUUCUGUUAAGAUUUUUAGUGUAUAUUUUUGUUGGGAGAAGAAACCCUUGCUUGGAAUGAGAUAUUUCAAUGCCUAAGUAGUGUUUUAGAGUCCCCAGAUCCUUUAUUUCAAAUUCGCAACGUCUCUUAUCUCACUGGAGUUACUACUGUAACAAUCAUGUAGUCAACAUAUCCAAUAAUCUGCGUGAUAUCAUCACCAUCUCCAGAGCCUGCUUAAAUUUGUACUCUUUCAUUAAGCAGCUCAGUAUCCCAAACCAAGCCCUUAGUGACUACUUGCAACCGUACAGGGGUUCUCCAGCAUAUCUACGUUACCUCCUGGAGGUGUUGUCUAUCGAAUCAUCAUGAAAGAAAGCUAUCGAAUCAUCAUGAAAGAAAGCAUUAUUAACAUCAAAUCAUCUUAAUGGCCGGUCUAGAUUAACAGUUACCAAUAGUAUGACUAAAAAUGUUAAUAUUGGCCACCAAAGCAAAGCUUUUUAAUAAUCAACCCAUAAGUCCACCUGCAACCUUUGGUUCUACUAUAAUAGACUUCCACUUUCCAUCUUUAAGGGCUCCCUAAAAAUGACUAGGAAUAAGCACAUAAUACAAGUGAAAGGCAGAUGUCAGGUAAGUCUUAAUAAGAGAUUUUGAGAAACCCAACCAAUCGAGUUCUUUCCAAUUGCAAAGAGGGAAUCUUCAACCUUGACUGCCAGCUAAUCGAUUCAAAGUGGUAGUUUCUGAAGUUCCAGGGUUAGAAUCAGAAGAUAGUGUUAAGAAAAAGGGGGGAACAUGUAACUCAUGAUUAUUUUCGAAGAGUCAUUAAAUGGAACAGUAUUAUUAUCAAGGGAAAGGUUGGAAUUGUUUCAGUAUGGCAAUGGUUCCACAAUAGAAUUUUCUCCUUGUAUAACUUUUUUUAAACAACCUAGGUGAUCUUUGACUCCAAACAUCAGUUUCAUCUUGUGGAGUGAACGGUUCAUCUACGGACUCUUACCUUUACCUGAAAUCCACCAUCUCUUCUUUCCCAAACACACCCAUUCCUCUUGUUUACUACUUUUAUCUCCCCUAAAAAGGAACCAACUAAACAACCUCAGAGUAGGACUCCAGUAAACUAAACAACUACAGACAUGCAAAAUUGACCUGUAGGAAAAUGGACUUAUAGUUUUUUUGGGAGUAAGAAUAUCCAAGAAAAACAUGUAAGAGCAUCAGGAUCAAGCUUAUCUUAAGUUGAGAUUGCACAAGAAUAUAACACAAAGAGCCAAAUGCUUUAGAACUAAGAUUUCAGGCAAAGGAAUUGGUGUAAAAUCAUGACACCUUUAAAGGGGUUAGUUAGAUAGUCAAUGAUAGGAUCUAUAAGAAAGAUAGCUGUACUGCGGUAAUGACAGCUCAGCCCAAAAAUAUUUAGGAACACACAUAGUAAAGCAUAAGGUUAUACUGGCCAAUUCUACGAUAUGCGAGUUCUUACGCUCUACUAUACCAUUCUGUUGUGGUGUGUAGGAACACAUUGUGAUGAGGACAUAUAUUUUAGACUAUUUAGUUUAGUAUUUUAUUUGGGUUUAUAUUAUGUUUUGGGCCUUUUUAUUUUUCUUUGGGCUUGUAUAGUGUUUUGGGCUGGCCCAAGCCCAAUCUUUUGUUUGUAUAUUAUAUAGAGGCAUGCAGCCUGUUGCAUGCAGAGGAGAUUUGAUGGAAAUGAAUAUGAAUUGAAAGCCACAGGCUUUUCCACCGCCCCUCUUCUUCCCCUUCUCCUUCUCCUUCUCUCCUCCUCCUCUUCUCUUUUCUUACUAUAUGUAUUCUGCUUCUUCUUCUGCUGGUUUCUUCAACCCUCACAGGUUCUAAGUUAUCAAGCUAUGCUACAUCACAUUGGCUGUUGAAGUAUGCCAUAUGCGAAGAUUUGUUUAGAGAUUGAUUCACAAAUUCUUGAUUUAUAACCUUCUUUCUAACAAAUAAACCCAACUCAUCCUAGUGCAGUCAUCCAUAAAAGGCACAAUGGCCUAAACGGUAAUGCCAUGGAAGAAUUUUCUCCCUAGCGGAUGUUUCUCUCACCACUUGGAAACCCCUGCUAUAUUGUAACUGCAACUCACUUGCCCCCUCUUAAGUAGUAAAGACCUCCCCUUUAUCUACAACUGCCAUCAUCAUCUUCAUUACAUAGCCCUAAAACACAUAAUGGCAGAAUAAAUCACACAAAGAUUAAGAUGCUUGAUGAUUUUGCUCAUCUCUAGAAAGUUAUUAGAGUGUUGGUGCAUAUAAAACAGAAGUCAUAGAGAGUGGGAGAGACGUUCCAUGCCCCUAAAAUUGGCAUAGGACCAACAUGAGCACACGUAAAAGAUGAGCAUAUGAGUGACCCAAGUAGGAAGAGUUACUAGUCAUAUGGAUAUUGGCCCCUGAAUCAAUAACCCAAGCAUUAGCGACAGCAAAAAUAAAAGCUUAUUUAGAAUUACCUCCAUGGGAGAAUACUCGAGAUACGUGAGAAGCAAAGGAUGGAGAGAUGCCAAUUGUUUCGGUCAAUCUUUUAUAUAAAUUAUUGAAAAAAAAAUGAGAUUGAGAAGAAAAAAAUAACCAAAUCUAAAUAAAGCCCAAAACAACCUCAUUCGAAUAGCAAGCUCAAUUCGCUAAAUACUACUAUUACCCAAUAACAAGCCAGUAUACAAACAAAAAGACUUGUCGAUUCAACAGUAAGAAGUGUCAGCGUAGAAACCUAGGGCAAUGAAUCGCUGGGUCAACCAAGAAGAAGCGCUGCCCAACAGUUCGGAGGUCGCCGAAAAGUUACCACAACAAGGUCGCAAACACCACAGAAAAUUUUGUGCAACAGCCACACCCCAAAAACCGUUUGCCCAGCAACGAUCAAAUUUGUUGAUAGAAAACAAUCAAAUAUUACUACUUCCCAAUAGCGAGCCCAAUUAGCUCAGUUGUCUAAAAACAAGCAAAGGCAGUAGAUGAUUAAAAAAACUUUUCAACAGUAAGAAGAGCAAUCAGC
rnacentral:lncRNA from 1 species